AAAGAGUAUGAAGCAGGUGGUUAUUUACAGCGAAUAAUGUUAUGAAAUUGUAAAAGAAGCAAACUAAAUUUUUUUUUGGCAUAAUGAUUACUUUUUUAUUUUUUUUUCAAGAACUAUUUGGAUACACAGAGAUAUUUGGAUACUCAAAAUAAAAUAAAAUUGUAUAGUACAUUAUAUAUUUCCUGAAAUUUCGAAAUUUUUAGGGGAAAAUAAAAUUUCAUUUUUAUCUAUGCAAAAAAGAGAAAAUAAACCAAGGCUUUCCAACAAAAUAAAAUUAGUGUAUUUAUAAAUAGGUAACUCUCUAUUGUAACACAACUUUCGAGUUAAAAGAAUUAUUUUAUAAAUGUUUUUAUGAGUUACCGAAUACGUUCUAAAGUGUAAAAGGAAAGGGCCAAUGAUAGCUUUACUAUUUCAUAAGUUUAAUAUAUUUAGUAAGUUAUUGAUAAGAUCGGCAUAUAGAUAUUGUUUCAGAUUCUAGAAAUUGUCACGAAAUUCUAUGUGACCAAAAUGUCGAUUAAAUAUUAUAUUUGAUAUUUAAAUUAUUUUUUCAUACAAGAUAAAUUAUCUGGUUUUGAUAUAUGCUAUUCAAUCAAAUCAUGAUGAAGUAAAAAAAAAAAAAUUUUUUUUUUUUUUAAGUACACGAAAUAAGGAUCUGCCUGGAUACUCCACAAAACAGAGUAAUAAUUUAAUUUAAAGUGUAUCUUUUACAACUCUUGAAAUAUUGCAAGAGGCAUAUUUGGAUAAGUUUUGAAAUUGUAAAAAAAAAGAAGAGGUAAUUAACUCAAAAUAGAGUUUUUUUUUCUUUAAAGGGAAAGAAACAAAAGUGUAGAUCACUUUUUUUUUCAAAGAACCCAUUCCUCCUUUUUCUUUCUUACCCUCUGCAUCCUCCACCACCACCUCCUCUUAGUCUCCCGUAACGCUCAACUUUUCAGCGGGCAUCCAUUCUAAGACUAUUCUUGUUUUAGCAUAUUUAAUUCUUUUAACCUCUUAAACUUAGCCACAAUCCAAAAUAAUUAAUCCGAAUUAAAAGUAUUAGCUUCAUUAUAUCAUAUAUAUAUAUAUAUAGAGAGAGAGAGAGAGAGAGAGAGAGAGAGAGAGAGAGUCAAGUUCAAAUAACAUAAGUGUAAUAGUUAAUAGUAUUACAUUCUUGUUGAACCGUAGAUCUAAAUACAAUUCAUGGGUUGAGAUGAACCAAUGGCAACUUUUUUUGUUUCUAUAUUAAAAUACUUUUUUUAGCACAUAAAACAUUCAUUUUUCAAAAGUGUGAAAGCAUAUAAAGAAGUUUAAUAGUAAAAUAUAUUAUAGGGAUUAUUGCUAUAAUUGGUCCUUGAACUUUACUUUGUUAAUAAUUUCUUGAAACUUUUAUUCAUUUAAUGUGAAUUAUUACAGUCAAUUAAAUUUAAAUUUUUUAUUAAAUUAAAUUUCGGUGUAUUAAAAUCAAUUGCAACCAUCCAAAAGCAUCGAAAGAAAUAAAAUAUUGAUGAUUUUUUAUCUAAAUAUUGUUAGUUUAUUAUAUAAAUUAUUUUUUAAAAAAAAUUUAGCUUAUAUUAGAAAUUAUUAAUUGAACUGUGCAUGGAAUGUGCGUGCAAGGUUGUCUCAAUUAGUGAAGAAAAACUGAUUACAUAGUGGAUUUACAAUGGAGGAAAAAAAAAGAAAGUGAAAUCCAAGGUUAUCUAUACAUAUAAUAAAAGGCGAACCCUCAACAUGCCACGCGUCGCCUCCGCAGCGAACCCCCGCCCUGCGGCGAGCUCCCCGUGUUUUGCAGGGGCCUCGCGCGAGAGAGAGAGAGGGAGAGAGAGAGAACAGAGGGAGGGGAGAGAGAGAGCAUACAGAGAGAGCCAUACCUGUAAUGGCCUAUAAAUUAUAAUCCAAGGUUAUCUAUAAGUGCAGUGACAUUUAUAUCUUCAUCAAUUGAGGUUGACUCAUCAGAAGAUGAAUCAUCCUAUGUAAUGGCUUGCAUCGCCUUCUUUUUCAAAGAUGUUUUAUUAGGACAAUCCGAUACAAUAUGACCAAAUCCUCUACACUUAUAGCAUUGGAUUUGUCCUUCAAUAUUUUUCUUUUCUUUUGAAAAAUCUUUUGAUGAAUUUUUAGAUUUUUUAAACUUAGAUGAACUACUCCCUUUUGACUUGUGUUGCUUGAAGGAGGUUGCCUUGGAUGAUAGUUUCUUUCUAAAGUUCCGACGGAACUUUCUCGUUAAAAGCGCCAGUUGCUUCUCGAACUCCUCCAAGGUUACGUCUGAGUUCGAAUCUGAAGAUGAUGACUCCAACUCGUCUCUUUUUGUUGAUUUUAGCGCCAUACCUGAAGCUUUAGAAGACAAUUUGGAAGAAGAUGAAUUAGGAGGAAAAGUUAUUUCAUAAGUUUGAAGUGCACCAACUAAUUCUUCUAUUUUUAAUUCGUCAGGAUGUUUUACCGUUUCUAUGGCAGCAACUUUUGGACGAAAUCGUUCGGGAAGGGUUCUUAAAAUUUUUCGAACAAAUUUAGGUUCAGAAAUCUUUUCUUCCAAGUUAGCACAUGUAUUCACAAUAUCUUGAAGACGAGUAUAAUACUCGAAAAAGGUUUCAUAUUCUUCCAUGUGGAUUGAAUCAAAUCUACUAGUUAGCAUUUGCAAUUUUUGAACCUUUACCAAGCUUGUACCCUCAUGUGUAACUUGUAAAUUGUUCCAAAUUUCUUUGGCGUUUCACACACACCGAAACUCGUGAAAAUUCAGUUUGAUUUAAAGCAUUGAACAAAACAUUAAUACCCUUUCCGUUAAACGAUAAUAAUUCAUUUUCUUCCUUCGUCCAUUUAUUUCUAGGUUUAGGGACGGUAGAAUUAUCGACAACUUCAUUAGGAUGUUUCCAUCCAAAUUCAAUCGAUUGCCAUACCCGCUCGUCAAUAGCAAUAAGAAACACUUUCAUACGAACUUUCCAAUAAGCGUAAUUAGCACCAUCAAAGAGUGGGGGUCGAUUAAUGUUACCACCCUCAGCCAUAGUUUACAACCUAUACCCGCUCUGAUACCAGUUGUGAGAUAUGGAUCCCGAAGAUCUAAAAGGUAAAUAACACCUAGAGAGGGGUGAAUAGGUGUAAACGACAAAACAUAUAUCUCGAUGCAAAUUUAAACUAAAAUCGAAAAAAUAAAUUCAGCACACCGAGAUUUUACAUGGAAAAACUCCAACUCGGAGUAAAAAAUCCACGGGACCGAUUACACGAAACAAUCCACUAUGAAUAAAAUUGAGUACAAGUGAUUUACCAAAUACACGACCCAACUUUUACCGAAUCCUCGUCGUAGAUCGUCUUCGUCGGUCCUCGAUCGAUCGAACUCCUCCAAUCGACCGCGCUGCAAAUCCUCGCAGCCACAACGCCUCGAAUACACGAUGUGUCCACCGAAUCCACGGCCUCACGCGAAGUCCUGGCGCCAACACUCUAUCCGAAGCUCGUAAAGAAUAAUAAUUCGUGGUGAUUCAAUCUCUUAGAAAGAUUAUAAGAUAUAAGGAGAAACCCUUUCAAUCCAUCACCGAUUCGAUUCUUAAAGAAAAAAAUGGAAUAGAAACCAAGAAUUGAAUCGACGAUCUAAAAAUAAAACUUGUUUUCAAAACAUUGAUCGAAAAUCUCCAAAACAAGUUUUUAGGAUUUCAAAACAAUUUUCUUUCUAAGCAUAUAUCAUAGGAUGCUCCUCAUAGCUUAUUUAUAGGUUUAGAAGACUUAUAGAUAGAUUAGGAUUUUAAAAACAAAAUACGGUCUCAGGGGACCACCUGAAGGGUCCGGACCUUGAAUGUCCGGUCCGUGAAGCCAGGGUCCGGACCCUCUCUGCGUACCAAGAAAUAUAGGCUACGGGGUCCGGUCCCUAGCUCCAGGGUCCGGACCCUCGCUGCGUAAUAGGAAUUCCAACGUACGAGGUCCAGUCCCCUGCACCAGGGUCCGGUCCCUCUAUACGCACACGCAGAGGGGACCUACGGGGUUCGGACCCUCACUUAGGGUCCGGACCCUGAACCUCGAAAGGCUAAGUUUUGUCCAGAUUUUUACAUUUAAAAACCUUAUAAGUCUUCGAACCUUUUAUCAAAAGUGUAGAAUUUCACCACGAAUCAUUAACACACAUACCUGAGAUAUCGAGCGUCACAAACGAGUCUUUUGAUCUUGAAACACGCAAUCUUCGCUUCACUCUUCAUCUUCAACUCUUCAAGACUCCAUUCGACUUCACGAAAUCCGCCAACUUAGAAAGUCCUUAACAUAUUUCGUCCCAAUUUCGACACUGCAUUGUCUGCAGCCAAUGUAGUUAUCAAGAGAAAACUGAAAUACCCGAAGACCAUCGCCGACAGCCAGUGAGAGACGUGACAAACAAAAUAUCAAGCCAACUGAUACUUCUUUACUGAACCAAAAGUUCACCACCAAAACCGUCGAAAAAUCGACUUUGCAAGUCGACUUUCAAAACAAGAACAACCUUGAGCCAACUUAUUAGGAGUCCUUUAGCUCUUAACAUCCAAUAGCUACUUGCGACACUAGGCCACGAACUAUACAAACUAAAACCUCAGGAAACGGUUUCUUUAACCGAUUUCUGAACUACACCCAACCAAUACCCAAAGCUCCAAGACCUCCAUCAACACACUAGAGCAUCUUGCGACAAAACAAAAGCCUACAAAGACCACCUACUAUCCUAUAACACACUAAUUUAGGUGUUAGGAUAUCCACAUACAAUGUAUGCACCAAUAAAGACCUGACACCAAAACUGUGUCUACCCAGUUUCAGUAUACGUCAGUUUGACGUAUGAAUUAGCUGAAGGUCGAAAGACCUGUAUCGACAAUUCUAUCUGCAAAAAGAAACAGGGGUAGGCAUCACAACCAUACCGAUAAAAUCUGAGAAAGCAACACCAAUGUUGCAGCAGCCCAAACGACCGCUACCAAAACCUUGGGCUACACUCUAGCAGCCCCACUAUAGUCGCAACCUAACCACUGUCUCUGUGAAGACGCUCACAGUAGCUCUCAUGCUCUACAUAGGAAAUGGAGCCUGGCAAGUAGCAGUCGAAUCAACUGCAUGGACCCAAUAAGUGAUUUCAUCUGGCCGUUAACGCCACCACCUGCCAACAAGUGGCUAUACUCGAGGAAUCUCACCCUGCCACUUGAUGUCUACAUGUAAACCGCCACCACUCCUAGUAGAAGCAUGAGUCUGCGCCCACACUAUAAUACAUACACAAAGUAGAGAAAUAAUUAAACACCUGUAGAACAAAAUAUGGGAUAAUAACAUAACCAUACACCUCGAGAUUAUUCAAUCUCGACCCAGACACUGGGACUGAAUCCCAACAACCCCGCGCUUUUACGUACCUAAAAGCCUUAAGUUAUCCUACGGGUCAUCCUAAACUGUGGCUGAUUAUGGUCGAUAUUUUCUCUGAUACCAUCUUAAUCUGUCACGCUCCGGAGUUCUUUUGAAAAUUCUUUUUAGAAAAGUUAGUGAAAAAUGUGUAAAUUUUUUUUUUAAACGCCUUUGAGAACACUCUGUGGAGGCACAUAGACUCGCCACAUGGAUAAAGAAUCCCCUACACAUGCAGACAGAGUCUCUCUUAUACAUGCACCGCAUAGCAUCAUAGUAUAAGGUCAAGUACACAUACAACCACACAACACAAGUAUCAUGAUCAUCAAACAAUAAUAUUCUCAUACACCUAUUAACAUUUAAAUAUUGGAAGGUAAUAAACUAAACUUUUCUAGCCGCAGGGUAAUAACUAUCAAUGACGGAUAAUUCUAGGCACAACUAUCUAGCACCAUCCUCACGCAUCGUCCGGACCCUCACAACUCGCAUCACCUAAAAAAUGGUGGAGGUGAGAACAUAUAAACAUAUCUCCUCUCCUAGUAGGUACUGCAAGUCGAUUAAGGCGAGGUGUACUCACCGGCAAAGAAAGAGAUAACCAAAGCAAUAAACAGAGAUCGGAAGGUCAGUAAUAAUGAGUUAAUAACAUGCAAUAAAGGCAAAAAAUACUGCUACUGAGCAGAAAACAACCACUAAGCAUAAUCAACAAGUAUACUGAAAUAGUAGCAAUAAUGGCUAAGAAGAAAAUACAACUUUCAAUCAGUAUAUAAAUAUCUGCUACUGUAACUAACCAUAGAAGGUACCAAUGCAUUAACUGGGUAAAUGAAAUCAAUAACCAAAACCACUGUCAUAUUAGUCGAAAGACCUCAAGCUAAUCCACAUCUUGCUCGCCCAUCUGACAUAUAAACCUACCAUGUAAGGAUGUGAAUUCUCGAAAUUCGAGAGUUGGACUUCGUUCAGGAUCGACUAAUUGUCGAGUGGGUAGGCUUCGGAGGAGCUAAAGAUGUCCAAAACACAAAAAGUGCUUUGGAGUCGAGUCUGCGAGAGCAAAUAAUGCAGAAAUCUGCUCUGGGCAGAGUUUGCUCUCGGGGACCGGUCUCUGGCAGGAAAGACCGGUCCCUGUAGCUGGUGGUUGCGGUGGAUGCUUGAUGCAACCGGUCCCAGGCCUGAGGGACCGGUCCCCGUAAGCGAAACCAGCGAGACGGCAAAAAUUUGGCUAAGUCCUAAGAAUUCCACUCUCGGGAACUGGUCUCUCAGGCAAGGACCGGUCUCCCAGGGACCGGUCUCUCGGGCAGGGACCGGUUCCCGUACGCGUGAAGGCUGGCAGAGAGCCUUCCUCCCGCAUGGAUUGCUCUCGGGGACCGGUCUUCCCGACGAGGGAUUGGUCCCUCCGCGCGAAAUCUGCCCAGGCAGAGUAACUUAAGGGAAGCAAAAGUGGAGGGGCUAAACUGAAAAUGUGACAUAAGUAAGGGGUAUAGAGAGCAAAGGGCUCUCUCUCCCUCUCUCAUUUCCACCCUCACUCCCAUUUCUCUCCCUCUCUUUUUCUUUCUCUAGAAAGAAGGAGAAGAAGAAGAAGAAGAAGAAGAAGAAGAAGGAGAAAGGAAGGAGAAGAAGAAGAAGAAGGAGAGCAAGCUAGGGAAGGUUUGGAGCAUCUUCUCCUCUUCCUCUCCUCUCCAUUGGAGCUAACCUAGAGGUAAGCUCUUGAACCCUAAUGGUAGAACUUAGGGUUUUUGGGCUUUUGGCUUUUGAGAUGAGGUCAAAUGGACCUCUGGCACCAUUAAUGGUGGAAUAGAGCUAGAAGUUAGGGUUCUAUAGUGCUAAUUGCAAGAUGUGAACCCUAGGGCACCCAAAUGGGGGUUUUUGAAAAUACAUGAGAUUGAUCUCAUCUAGUGGCUUGUAAACCUAAUUGAUAGGUGUCUAAAUGCGGGGGCGAAGUCGGAUUUUCAAUUCGUCGAGCGGGUGAAAAGCUAUCGGCGAAAUAUAGCCGAUUGAGCGCCGUUUUGGACCAAGGAGGCCGAGACCUCGUCGUAACAUUCGUUGGGAAGCGGUUCUAGAACCUUCAUACCCUCAAAAGGUUGGGGGUGUCAUCCCGAAGCAACCGAACUCUUUUCUAUGUCUUAGAAAUACAUGAUUUUCAUCUCUUGCAUGUUGCAUUGUAGGAUUGCAUUGUAGUAGUUUUUUCUUAUGCUUCUAAAUGUUAACCUAGUGUGCAUGGAAUAUUUGGUGAAAUGGAUAGGUAAGGAUUGGGUCGGAACAUGGAUCCUAUGGUGCCAAAGGAAAGAGAUAAACUCGAUGGUUAUUUAGUGACAUAGAGAGUAGCAUCUAAAUGUUUAGAGAACAGAACGAGUGGCAUUAUGUAAUGUAUUUGACACUAGAGGUUCGUGAACUUAGGGAUAGGUGGAUUUCCUAAAAAAUGACUCGUGAACAAUGAACUUAGUAGAGCUAAAUAACUAUGCAUGAAUGUCGGAAUAGGUGAGUUCCGAGGGAAAUGUUGGCCCUAGUUCGUAGGGUAUCCUCAUGUGGAGAGGAUAGAUCAAGCUCACGAUCUGUUAUUCGGGGUGGUAAAGCUAUCCAUAUCCUUACAUGGAGAGGAUUUGUCGUCGAGUACUCCGGAGUGUCGGGCGAUUAGUACAGAUUGAUGUCUGCAGACAGUCCCGGGUUUGGGGACACAUGGAGUCUCCUUACCCUAUGGGAUGGAUAUGUGAGGCGUAGGCAAAACCAAGGGUUUCGCCACAGAUUGGGUAAAUGAAAAGUUAAUAUUGUCAUCGAACAUUGCUUAUCGAAUAUGGAUCGAGCUUAUUAGCAUAAUAGUAAACUUUUACUAAAUGAUGCAUGUAUUCAUUUCACAUGAUUAUGGGCAUAGUAGCAUAGUUUUCCUAUUAUGUCUUUACAGCUUUAAUAUAUAUAUCUAUCUGUUUCGUUGUUAUUUGUGCCCACUUGGACCUGGUGGGGAGAUCGGCGGAGCCGGCGGCCAAGCCCGCUGGAAACUAUGGAAGAUAGUUCUCACCCCACUUUAUUUCCAGGGCUAGGUACAGGUUUGCAGGGCGAGGACCGCGGCAAGGGCAUUGCGCCAGACCUGUGAGUAUUAUUGGCAGAGUAAUAGCUUUCCUUUUGCAUUAGCACACCUAUGUAUUUGAGAGAGAUUCGUGUAGGUGAGGACUCUGGAGAGCUAUGUACUUGAUGAGCAUGUAUUCAUUUUGGGAAAGAAAAUGUAAUUGUAUAAAGAAUGCAAAUGUGAUGUAAUAGUUAGUAGUUCUCUCUUUAUUUCACUUGUGUAUCUUGUGGAUUACUUGCUCUUCAUUGUUGGCACUAUUUGUGCCCCGUUGAUCGUGUAUGUAUGAAUUUAAUUUUUUUGGGUAAAUUCUUGUACAUGAUCAGGUUGUGAGCCUUGGGCGGGCAGGGGAGUUGCUGCCCGUUCGACGUCCGUUCACCGCGCCCGAACUGUGCCAAAUUGGUAGGAAUUUUGGGGCGGGGGCAUGACAGGAUGUGGUAUCAGAGCAAUAAGAGUAAGUAAAGAGAGAAAGUCUCGGAUGACCUAGGAGACCCUAGGUUGGUAAACUCUAAGGCUAUAGGUGCGUGAGUGGAACGUGAAUCUGUAACGGUGGCGGAAGUGAUUCGAUUGGGUCGAAGUUGGUAGUAUAGCUCUAGUAGUGGCUAGGGAUGGAUUCAAGUGGCAUUAGUUCUUGACUUGAGGUGGUUAUGUCGGCGGCCGGCGACAUGGUGACAAGAGUCUAGAAUGAGUACACUUGUGUGCUUCCGCCCGAUUUCGUUGUUGGGGUCGUUAUGCGUCGUAGUCGCAACGAAGUAAUCGGUUAAGGUGAUUAACCGUGCUAUAGCGUUUCAGGAGCUAAUGGCACCAAGGGGACGCCCGAGUACGAGAUCUACUCCGGCACCACCUCCUGAGGUGCCCGAGCAGGCUGAACUAAGUAUGAUGGAUCUGUUGCAGGCGCAAGUGACCGCAUUGACUAAUGUGGUGCAGCACCAGGAGACCCGAUUCGAGCGGCUCUAGGAGCUUUUGGAGCAGCAGGUUGCAGCGGCGGCCGCGACGGUAACUGAAGGCGGUGGUCCGCCUACACCCUCGGUGCGCGUACCUGAAGCGGCUGAGGGUGAGGGUAUUGCGGCGGUUGACGGCACAUCCACCGCCGGCAAUUGUUCCUCAGGCGGCGUCGGGAUCGGUGACACCCGAUGUGACGGCCGAAAACGUGGAAGGAGAGCGGGCAUUGGUGGCUUUUAUCAAGUUCAAGAAGUUCAACCCGCCCAUCUUCGAGGGGGAGAAGGUGGAGCCAGCGAUGGUCGAGUCUUGGAUCAACUCGAUAGAGACUCUCUUCGAAGAUCUGCGUACUUUGGAGAGAGAUAGGAUAUAUCUCGCCACCCAUUGCUUGGAAAAAGCCGCGAAGGUCUAGUGGAAGCGCGUCAAACGGGAUCGACUUCCCGGCCUUCCGCCGAUGCUGUGGGAGGAGUUCAAGAGGGCGAUGUUCGCCAAUUAUUUUCCCAACUCAUUGAAGCGGAAGCUCCAGGAGAAGUUCUGCAAGUUAGAGCAAGGGGACCGCUCAGUAGCGGAGUAUAAGCAGGAGUUCUCCCAUAUUAUUGAUUGUGUCCCGAACAUAGUACGAGAUGACCGGGACAGGGCCGACUGGUUCCUGCGAGGACUUCGGCCGGGGAUCUACAAGACCGUGGAGAUACUCAAGCUCACGACCUUCGCGGAGGUCUUUGACCGAGCACUCUGGGCGGAGCACGGUGACGCCUAUGUUCGGGAGAAGCGCGAGAUAUUGGCCGAGUCCAAGGACAAAGGCAAGAAGCGUCAAGGCGGCGGUUCGGGGGGACAAGCACGUUCCAAGAAGCCCCCGAAGUAUUCGCGGACCCAGCCAAAGGGCAGUGGAGCGCGACGGUGCGUCAUAUGUGGUGGAGACCACCCGGUGUCACGUUGUGAGCAGCGCCAAGGCAAGUGCUACAAGUGCGGGCAACCGGGGCACUUCAUAUAGGAUUGCCCGGGAGGAGAAGCCUCACCUGCCCAAUCCACUGCAUCGGCGCCGGCGAUUCCGACUCACUAUGGAGGAGUUCCACCGACGGUCGUGUCGGUAGGACGUGCGAUGAUGCCGCGCCACCGCGAAAUGGCGCGAUCGGCCCCGAGCGGACGGGUAUUCGCAGCUCAGGUCCAAUCCGAGGAGCCUGCGGAGGUCGAGGAGCAUCGCCUAGUGGCAGGUAUGGUUUUAAUUAACGGAGUUCGCUCCAGGGCUAUGUUUGAUACCGGAGCCACGCAUUCAUUUAUCAGUAGAUCUCGCACGCAUGCAUGACAUACUCAUAGAGGCGAGUGGUGGCAAGUGGCGAGUUGAGGGCCCUAGGUCGACGUUUAACACUUACACGGAAUGUUCAUCGUGUCCAGUACAAGUAGGUGACUGGAUAAUGCCCAUUAGGAUGCUUGAACUCAAAAACCUUAAAGAGUUCAAUGUCAUAUUGGGCAUAGACUGGCUCUCAAAGUAUCACGCAACGAUCGACUGCAAAAAUAGAGUGGUUACGUUCCGUGAGCCAAGACAGAAGGAGUUCACUUAUCGGGCUUGUCAAAGCUCGUGCUUCGCCGCGACGGUGUCGGCGACGAGAGCAAGAAAGUUUGUCAACAGCGCUUGCGUAGCGUUUUUGGCAACUGUUGUGGGAAUGGAUCGAGUAGCUCCAACAUUAGAGGAGUUAUCGGUGGUGCGGGAGUUUCCGGACGUGUUUCCCGCGGAGUUACCAGGGAUACCGCCGGAUCGGGAGAUCGAGUUCGUCAUAGACUUGAUUCCUGGCACUACGUCGAUCUCGAAGGCUCCGUAUCGAAUGACGCCGGUGGAAUUGAAAGAGUUGAGGAGUCAGUUACAGGACCUUCUCGACAAGCAAUUCAUCUGACCAAGUGUAUCACCGUGGGGAGCCCCGGUGUUAUUUGUGCGGAAGAAGGACGAAUCGUUUCGACUCUGCGUGGAUUAUCGAGAGUUGAACAAAGUCACGAUCAAGAAUAAGUACCCACUUCCCCGAAUUGAUGAUUUGUUCGACCAGUUGCAGGGGUUGUGUCUGUACUCGAAAAUAGAUUUGCAGUCCGGCUAUCACCAGUUGAAGAUCAAGCCGGAGGAUGUGCAGAAAAUCGCGUUUCGCACGCGGUACGGACACUAUGAAUUCACGGUUAUGCUAUUUGGACUCACGAAUGGUCCAGCAGCGUUUAUGGACUUGAUGAACCGUGUCUUUAGGAAGUAUUUGGACCGAUUUGUCGUAGUCUUUAUAGACGACAUAUUAGUCUAUUCUCGUAAUGACGAGGAACAUGCCGAGCAUUUGAGGAUAGUGCUUCAAGUCUUUCGGGAGGAGAAGCUAUAUGCUAAGUUAAAGAAGUGUGACUUCUGGCUCCGAGAGGUCGCAUUUCUGGGGCAUGUGAUUUCUACGGGUGGAGUUUCAGUAGACCCGAGGAAAGUUGAGACAAUCAAGGAUUGGCCACGCCCAACAAACGUCACUGAAGUUAGAAGCUUCGUGGGUUUGGCGAGCUACUAUAGGCGGUUUGUGGAAGUCUUUUCAAAGAUAGUAAUUCCACUUACCCGUCUGACUCAGAAAGGCACCAAAUUUGUUUGGAGCGAGGAGUGCGACCGAAGUUUCAAAGAGUUGAAGGAAAGGCUAACUUCGACUCCGGUAAUCACUUUACCGGUGCAAAGUGAAGACUUCGUGGUCUACAGCGAUGCUUCCUAUCUAGGAUUGGGGUGUGUUUUGAUGCAGGGCAGGAAAGUAAUUGCUUAUGCGUCCCUCAGCUGAAGAGCUAUGAAAAGAACUACUCCAUUCACGACUUGGAGCUAGCGGCGGUAAUCUUCGCUUUGAAGCUGUGGAGGCACUACCUGUACGGUGCCCAUUGUGAGAUCUAUACCGACCACAAGAACCUGAAAUAUCUGUUCACACAGAAAGAGCUCAAUAUGCGUCAACGGCGGUGGUUGGAACUAUUAAAGGAUUAUGAUGUUGAUAUCCUUUACUACCCGGAGAAGGCGAAUGUGGUCGCGGAUGCACUGAGCAGAAAGUCCGCAGAGAACCUCGCUAUGUGGGUUACGAAUCAAACACCUCUAUGGCUGGACAUGGAGCGAAUGAACCUUGAGGUGGUUGCUCCCGAGACUUCGACUCAAUUGAUGGCGCUCGUCGUCCAAUCGACCUUGUUGGAGAGGAUCAAGAAUCUGCAACCUGCGGACCCGAGUCUCCAAAAGGUGCGGCGCAACAUCGAGGAGGGACGAGGUGGCGAUUUCAGUAUAGAUGCAGGGGGUGUACUACCAUUUCGAAACCGGUGGUGUGUGCCCGAGAACGGAGAGCUUCGUGAGCUGAUUCUGCAAAAAGCACACCGGUCUUCGUAUGCUGAUCACACGGGCAGCACCAAAAUGUACCAAGGGUUAGAAAUGCACUAUUAGUAGCCGGGAAUGAAAAGUGAUAUUGGAUGCUUAGUGGCGAAAUGCUUAGUAUGCCAACAAGAGAAAGCGGAGCAUCGGUUUCCAGCGAAAACGCUUCAAAGCCUACCAAUCCCCUUUUGGAAAUGGGAGGAUAUAUCGAUAGACUUCGUGGUCGGGUUGUCUCGCUCAAUGGGCGGUCAUGAUGCGAUAUGGUAAUUGUGGACCGAUUGACGAAGUCGGCUCACUUCUUGCCGAUCCACACCACGUGGGCAGGUGACAAACCAGCGCAGGUAUACCUUGACGAGAUAGUGAGGUUACACGGGGUGCCGAAAUCGAUCGUGUCGGGUCGCAACCCCCAGUUUACUUCACACUUCUAGAAGAGCCUGCAGGAAGCCGUUGGCAUACGGCUCGAUUUUAGUACAGCAUUCCAUCCUCAGACAGAUGGGCAAACAGAAAGGACCAUUCAAACUCUGGAGGAUAUGCUGCGAGCGUGUGUCAUCGACUAUAAAGGGAGUUGGUGUGAUCAUUUGCCGAUGGCCGAGUUCGCCUACAACAAUAGUUAUCAUGCUAGUAUAGAGAUGGCACCGUUCGAGGCCCUCUACGGGCGGAAGUGUUGGUCUCCUAUACACUGUGGCGAUGUGGGUGAGCGUGUAGAGUUCGGUGUCUGCCGCGAACGAACCGGCCCCGCCUAGGGUGUUUCUAGGGCGAGUGGUCAUUCAUGGUAGAGGUUAAAUUUGUAUGAAUUUUACUUUGAAAUCAGGAUUAUAGGUUCAUGACUUCCAACAGACUCAAGAAUCUGCUGUUAAUUACCCCACACUUUCGGUGUUAAGGAACCCUCGAUUGAGAGACCAAAUAUAAAUGCUGAUAAUAAAAGAGGCAAAACAGGCAAAUGAAAUUUUAUUGAUAUGAUUUGCCGUUUACAUGGCUAAGCAGGGGCAUACCCCCACUGUACUUGAAUUUUAUCAGACUAAAUAUUCAAUGGCAGUCGGUUGAAGUUUUGAUGCUCAGUUUAAUGACAUGACGGUCAAGUUUAAGUUUUGAUGCUCAGUUUAAUGACAUGGCGGUCGAGUUCAAGUUUUGAUGAACAACUUCGCAGUCGUUUAGAUUGGGUUUAGUUUAACGACUUUCCGGUCGUUUGAAGUUGAGUUUAGUUUAGCGACAUUUCGGUCGUUUGAAGUUAAGUUUAGUUUAGCGACAUUUCGGUCGUUUGUAUUUUGGGUUUAGUUUAGCGACAUUUCGGUCNAAGUUGAGUUUAGUUUAGCGACAUUUCGGUCGUUUGAAGUUAAGUUUAGUUUAGCGACAUUUCGGUCGUUUGUAUUUUGGGUUUAGUUUAGCGACAUUUCGGUCAUUUGAAUUGGUUUUGGGUUGAACCGUUAUGCCUUGGUUCAGGACCCAUCAAGACUUGGUUUGGGUUGGGUCGUUCAAGACCCAUCAAGACUUGGCUUGGUUUGGGUCGUUCGGGACCCAUCAAGACUUGGCUCGGUUUGGGUCGUUCGGGACCCAUAAAGACUUGGUUUGGGUCGUUCGAGACCCAUCAAGACUUGGUUUGGGUCGUUCGGGACCCAUCAAGACUUGGUUUGGGUCGUUCAGGACCCGUCAAGGCUUGGUUUGGGUUGUUCGGGACCCAUCAAGACUUGGCUCGGUUUGGGUCGUUCGGGACCCAUCAAGACUUGGUUUGGGUCGUUCGGGACCCAUCAAGACUUGGUUCGGUUUGGGUUGUUCGGGACCCAUCAAGGUUUGGGUCGUUCGGGACCCAUCAAGGCUUGGUUCAGUUUGGGUCGUUCGGGACCCAUUAAGAUUUGGUUUGGGUCGUUCGGGACCCAUCAAGACUUAGUUUGAGUUGGGCGACUUCAAGUUUAUUUGGUCACUUUGGAUUUGGUUGUUUAGUUUAGCGACUUUACGGUCGUUUGAAUUGUUUAGUUUAACGACUUUUUGGUCGUUUGAAUUGUUUAGUUUAACGGCUUUUCGGUCGUUUGAAUUGUUUAGUUUAACGACUUUUCGGUCAUUGGCUUUAUUUGUAGGCUUUGGAUUUUGGAUUUUCUUUGUGGACUUUGAGUUUUGGGUUUUGAGUUUUGAGUUUGUGGGGUUGAACCGUUAUGCUUUGGUUCGGGAUCUAUCCAGACUUGGUUUGAAUUGGAUUCUUUAUGGUUUGGUUUGGGUUGGAUCCACCUUGGUUCGAGUUAGACCCUGAUUGGAUUGAACCGAAUUUAGCUCGAGUCGGUUCAAGUCGGAUCAUGUUCGGUUUGGAUUGGACCCACUUCAGUUCGAGUCGGAUCCUGAUCGGGUUCGGUUCAAGUCGGAUCCCUUAUGAUUUGGUUCAGACGGGAUCCGGUUCGGUUCAGUUUGGUUCGGAUCGGACGGGAUCCAGUUUGGUUCGGAUCCGGUUCGGUUCAGUUCGGUUCGGAUCGGACGGGAUCCGGUUUGGUUCGAAUCCUGUUCGGUUCAGUUCGGUUCGGUUCAAGUCGGAUCCAUUUCGGAUCAAGUUGAAUCCUUUGCAGCUUGGUUCAGAUUGGAUCCACUUUGGUUCGAGUUGAAUCCUUUGUGGUUCUGUCCGGAUCAGAUCCACUUCGGAUCAAGUUGAAUCCAUUUGGUUCGGAUUAGAUCCGCUUCGGUUCGAGUCGAAUCCUUCCUGGUUCGGUUCGGAUCGGAUCCAUUUCGGUUCAAGUUGAAUGCUUUAUGGUUUGAUUCGAAUCGGUUCCACUUCAGUUCGAGUCGAAUGCUUCUUGGUUCGGUUAAGACGGGAUCCGGUUCGGUUCAGUUCAAAUUGAAUCCCUUAUGAUUUAGUUCGGACCGAAUACGGUUCGGUUCAGUUGAAUCCUUUAUGGUUCGGCUCGGAUCGGAUCCACUUUGGUUCAAGUCGAAUCCUUUAUGAUUUGGUUUGGAUUGGACUCACUUCGGUUCGAGUUGAAUCCUGUUCGGUUCAGAUUGGACCCACAUUGGUUCGAGUUGAAUCCUGUUCGGUUCGGAUUGGACCCACUUCGGUUCGAGUUGAAUCCUUUGUGGUUUAGUUCGGAUUGGACCCACUUCGGUUCGUAUUGAAUCCUUUGUGGUUCAGUUAAAUCCUUUAUGGUUUAGUUCAAGUUGGAUCCACUUUGGUUCAAGUUGAAUCUCGUUCGGUUCGGUUCAAACGGGAUCCGGUUCGGUUCAAACAGGAUCCGGUUCGGUUCGGAUCCUGUUCAGUUUAGUUCAAAUCGGAUUCACUUUGGCUUAAGUUGAAUCUCGUUCGGUUCGGUUCAAACAGGACCCGGUUCGGUUCAAAUAGGAUCUGGUUUGGUUCGGAUCCAGUUCGGUUUAGUUCAAAUCGGAUUCACUUUGGUUUAAGUUGAAUCCUGUUCGGUUCGGAUUGGACCCACUUCGGUUCGAGUUGAAUCCUUUGUGGUUUGGUUCAAGUCAAACUAGCUUGUAGUUUGAUUUGGUUCGGUUAAUGUCUUUAAUGGUUCAAUUAGACUCAUUGAUUAGACUUGAUCGGCUUAUAAUCCGAUUUGAUUUAUCAUUAUGGUUUGGUUGACUCGGGUCAAGCCUAUCACGAAGAAAAGAGAAGAGAUUCGAACCGAACUCGGUCAAGCCUAUCAGACAGACGCGGACUCUCUUAAUUAGCUGAACUCCGGGGUAAGCCUACCACGAAGAACGGCGACGCACGGUAUUAAUUAACCGAACCCAGGGUCAAGCCUAUCACGAAGGACGGCGACCCGGUUUAAUGAUCCAUAAGCCCGAGUCAGGCCUAUGCACGAAGACGGCGACCGCGGUGUUAAUUAUGCCAACUCUUGAUUGUGUGUCAAGCUUCACCGCAAGCCGCGACCCGUUUAAUUAGCCGGACUCGGGUCAACUAUCACGAAGACGAUCCCGGUUUUAAAUUGAACCGAAUCGGGUCAAGCCUACUCACAAGAGGCGAUCCGGUUUAUUUGAACCGAGACUCGGGUUUUUUCCAAAGCUAUCACGAGACGGCGACCCGGUUUAACUAGCCGACUCGGUGGUCAAUAACACGAAGACCUGAGCGCCGGUUUAAUUAACCGAACCCAGGUCAAGCCUAGUAACGAGAGACGGCGACUGUCGGUUUAAUGAUCCAAACCCCGAGUCAGGCCUAUCACAAGCCCGACGAAUCCGGUUAUUAAUUUAUCCAAACCCGAGUCAAGCUAUCACACGAGAGACCGCGACUGCGGUUUAAUUAUCAACACCGAGCAAGCCUAUCACUGAAAGCUGACCCGGUACAUUAGCCGGACUCGGGGUCAAUGCCUAUCAAGAAGAACGGCGACCCGGUUAAUUGAACGAACCGGGUCAAGCCCUAUCACGAAACGGCAACGCUGAUUAGGCGGACUCGGGUAGCCUUAUCACGAGAGAACGGCGACCGGUUUAAUUAACCGAACCCCGGUCAAGGCCUAUCACCGAAGACGGGCCUGAGCCCGAGAAAAAUAUUUAAUUAUANNNNNNNNNNNNNNNNNNNNNNNNNCGAGCGACCGGUUUAACUGAACCGAACUGGGGUUAAGCUAUCACGAGACGGCGACCGGUUUAAUUGAAGCCGAACUCGGGUCAAGCAUCACGAGGACGGCGACCGGUUUAAUGCUCCAAACACGAGUCAGCCAUAUCACGGAGACGUGCGACCGGUUUAAUUAGCCGGACUGGGUCAAGCCUUCAACGAAGACGGCGACCAGGUUUAUUUGAACCGAAUUGGGUCAAGCUAUCACGAAACGGCCGACCCGGUAUAAUGAGCCGAACUCGCAGGUCGGCCUAUCCGAUGACCGCCCGCCGACCCGGUUUAAUUAGCCGGAUCGGGUACAAGCCUAUCACGAGACGGCGACCGCAGGUUUAAUUAAGCCGAAACCCGGGUCAAAGCUAGUCACAAAGAAGACGGCGACCCCGGUUAAUUUAGCCGGAUCGGGUCAAGCUAUCACGAAGAGCGGCUGACCCGGUUUUAAUUGAACGGCCGUGGUGGUCGGGAACCAUCCGAAACAGCGACCCGGUUUUAAUGAUCCAAAACCCCGAGUCAUGCCUAUCCGAAGACGGCGACUCCGGUUUAAUACCUGACCCGGGGUCAAGCGUAUCACGAAGACGGCGACCGGUUUAAUGAUCCCAACCGAGUCAAGCUAUCACGAAGAAGGCCGCCCGGUUUAUUAUUCCAAACCCGAGUCAAGCUAUCCAAAGAUGGCGACCGGUUUAAUAACCGAACUCGGGUCAAGCUAUCACGAAAGACGGCGACACCGCGUUAAUUAGCGACUCGGGUCAAGCCUAUCACGAAGACGAGACCCGGUUUAAUUAGCGGAUGGGUCAAGCUAUCACGAGGGACGGGACCCGGUUUAUUUGAGGACGAAUCGGCGUCGAAGCCUAUCACGAAGACGGCGACCGGUUUUAAUUAGCCGCGACUCGCCGGUCAACCUUAUCACGAAGACGGCGACCCGGUUAAUUAACGAACCCGGGUUCAAGGCCUAUCCGAAGCGGCGACCGAAGAAUAAUAUUAUUAUCAUUUUUUUAUUUUGUUUUUAUGUUUCAUUUGUUGAUUUGGCCGAAUCGAAAUUCAUACCGUGUCGGAGCUAUUCACCGAAGACGGGGCACGCCGUCGGUCAUGAUCAUAAACAAAACAACAAAGUCCAAUGGAGCGGUAACUGUAUCCUAACGUCAGAUUGAAAGUGUCGCAGCCUAUCACGAAGCGGAUUCCGCUCAAUCAAUCCGACCAAGAUCUGUCACCGUCGCGGUCGCUCGAUGCGCCAAUUUUUCUUUUGGUGUUGAGCGGAGAACAGGCUUAUUAUGAAUACGCCCGCAUGAUUAUAGUAACGAUGAAUGGCAACAUUGAUGGAUCGACCUAUCACGAAGUACGGUCGUGUUGAUCAACCGACUAAAUGCGAUCGAUAUAGUUUGCGGAUAUACAACGAACCCGCUCGCACCAUCGUAGAAAGAAAAAGAAAGGCCCUAUGGCCUCUUUGCGCCGUCGUUGAAGUCGUCUGUUAGCGCGCCUUUGUCGACGCGUCACGUUGUCGUUGAAGUCGUGCGCAUUGUCGAAGUCGUCGUUGUCGUCGCGCCGACCGCCCAUGAAAGAGCUAGAUUCCUUUUUUUUUGGUUAACGGUUUUGGAGGGGGUUGCUGUACUCACAUUGGACAACUUCUUUUUGGCUGCUUGGCGCGCAGGAGUAGAGAGGGGGAGUUUUGCCUGUGUGCACACAGUGGAGAGAGAGAAAAAGAAGAAAAGAAAUAUUAUAUUAUUUAUUCAUUUUUUUUACUAUUCUUUAUUUUUCUUUCACUGUUUUGUAUCUUCUUUCUCCUUUGUUUUUUUUAUCUCAACUUUCUUCUUUUUCUUUCUAGUUACUGCCUAAAAAAAAGCCACUUACAUCUCGGAUCCAAUUUAUAGUGAUCAAGAAAAUCUUAUCAUUUAGAAAAAAUUCAAACAACCAUCUAAAAAGGAAUUAUAUCAUUCUCUUAUGCUUUAAGGAUAUUUAAGUAUUUGAUACUAUUUUAAAUCCCUUCCUUAUUUUAUUUUAUUUUGAAAUGACAAAGAAUUUUUUUUUUUUUUUUUUUUUUGUUCUUUCUUCCAUCUUUAUCUUCCUCUUUUUUCUUUUUUUUUUGUUUUGUUUCCUUCUCUCUUUUUUUUUUCUUUCUAUUUUUUUUUUUUUUCUUUUUUUUUGGUAACUUUUUCUUUGCCUUUUCCCCUUUUUUUUUUUUGAAACGAGAAGGGAUUUUUUUUUUCUUUUUGUCUAUUUUUUUUUCAUUCUUUUUUUUCUUUUUUUCUCUUUUUUUUUUUUUAAUUCGGAACAAUGUAUUUGUUAUAGAAAAAGGCAUUAUAUUAACCAACAAAUAAAAGAGCAAAUAGUAGAUAACAAUAUAGAGAAAAAAUAGAGGCUUUGCACGUCCCGCUCGCCCUUAUGUGUCGGGGUUGGCCAUUCGUCAAACAGGCGCCGACACGGACAGGCUCCUCACCUGCCUGCCCAAGACUCUAGCAACAAGUAUGAAUUAACAAUCAAAUAAAAUAUUACUACAAUUAUACAAGGCUUGCACAAUGAGGCAAGCAACAAUAUGGAAGAAAGCUUAAACUCACAUAUAAAUCCAUACAUGGAUAUUUGAUUAGAUUGUAACCAAAUACAAGUUAAACUAAAACUAUUACAUCAUGUUCCUUUCAUUAUAAUGUCUUUACAUCUUUAUCAAUUUCACUUAAAAAUACUAUGAAUGUUUCCCAACUCUCUAAUCAUAGAUCAACAAAAAAGUUGAUACGAUGAAAAAAAUGGCCGAAAUGACUAAAUGCAAGUCUCCGGUUGCAUUAGCUAUAUGCGAUCACCUUUCCCGCAUCCUCCGCGCCCGUCCCGUGCGUCGAUUUGUAGGAUUAGUGGAUGUGGAGAACUAUACGAAGACUCCAGUGGGGUUCCAGGCAACGACCUCGCCGAUUACAACUAGGUUUUAUUUAGCUAAGUAUUUCAGAAAUAGAAAGUAACCAUAUAUGUAAUACUUAUGCUGCCAGAAAGGCUUGUCAGAAGAUAAUAUAUCAAAUAAAGAUGAUUAUGCAUGCAUGCUUUUCCAGAGUCUUUAUUUGGCUUUUACCCAAUCUUACUUGUUACCUUGUUAACCUUAAUUAAUCACAACCUGAAAUCCCUUUGUUCGAUGGGAGGCUCUAAGCAUGCAAGACCCGAAGGGACCGUCUUCGUGCCACUAUCCCCAGUGACGUGACCAAAUCCGGAGCGCACCGCUUGAGGGGAGCAACCCCUCAAGCCAAGGACUGUAUGUGCAGUAUGAUUAAAAUUCCAAUUGGAUGUAUAGCACUUGUCACAAUGCACUAUCAUAAAGGUUUUACAUUGUUUAUCUGCCCACAUUCUAAAUUAUCUUGUCACAUGCCACUAUUGUUAAUCUGUGUUAAUGGUUUCAUGUCUCAAUGCUAUUCUUGUCUUAUUGUCGAUGUCAUCUUUAUUUCUGUUAUUCAUUGUUCCGGUCUCAUUUCAUUACAAGUAAUAUAGUUCCAAUAUCAUGUCCAUCAUGGUUCAUAUCAUCACUAUGAUUCAUCUACGGUUAGAAGCAUUAAUAUGAAUCCAACCAUAUGUUCACAUGUGAGCUCGCUAUCAUGCAAUGAAUGAUAUUGUCGCAUAUGCCCUCAAUAAAAGUGGAUAGACAUAGCAAGGAUUCAACGAUUCCGGAAUGCACCCCCCUACCAUCGAUAGUAGGUUGUGGUUCAAUUCUUCGGAUUUUUAGAUCCGUAUCCGCGUGUACGGACGAUCUGUACUAAAUUAGAGCCAAAUUAGGCUUUUUACUAAAUACAUUUACAAUAGUCUUUCGUUUCGCGCAAGCGCGCGUUGUACAAAGCGUCGGGACAUACCCUAUUAUGUUUCCUGGAGGUCCAAUUUACUCGAAACGAUCGGAUGGCAAAAGCCCAAAUUUUGGUGCCCUAACAAUGCAUUAUAUUGUUUCUCAACCUGGAUUGAUACUUUAACUAAGCAAAUACUAGCUUAGAAUCAUCUAGGAAGCUCUUAAUACCAUUCCUAGCUCAUUGAACUUCAUUCCUUAGGGCAUACUAUUGCAACUAGAUGUUACACUAUUAAAGCAUUUUGAAGAAACCAUGAUUAUGUCUUCAACGGUCUUACGAUGUUUCUAACUGGGCCAAGGAAACUCAAAACUCCAAAAAUUAGGUAAAAUCCAAACCUAUGUGUUCUUGAUAAACUUACUUAGCCCCAAGCACUCCAAGGGCUCCCUUGUAGGAUGAGAUUCUAAUUCUUCAAAUCACCAAAAUCUCUUUCAUGCCUUCAAGCCUUCUCUCCUUCUCCUUAGCUUGGAUUUAAAAGUUUCUAAAGAAGAGGGACGAGAUAAUGACGAGGAGAAGAGGAUUCUCCUUGCUGCUUGAACAAAGGAGAGAUAGUGGUAUUUUAUAGGUCUGCAAAAUAGUGUCUGCACGAACGAAACUGCCGGUAGUGUUGUUUUUAAGGCGAUGUGGUCAUUAUGGUUAGAGUUUAAGUUUCGCUUUGUAUUUUAUUUUAAAAUGGAUUAUAGGUUGCAUAUCUGUCCAACGACUCAGGAAUUUGUUGUUAAUUACCGCACACUUUCAGUGUUAUAGGAACCCUCGAUUAACGGACCAAUAUAAAUGCCUGAUUAAAAAGAGACCAAGCAGGGCAAAAAAUUUUUAUUAUAUGAUUUUGCGUUUACAUAAUCUUUUAAGAGGGGCAUUACACCACUGUACAUAAAUUUCAUAAAUGACACAGCAUUCGGUUGAAGUUUUGAUUAUUAAAUCCUAAGUUAUAUGUAUUAGGAUUUAAUUGGAUUGAGAUUGACUAGGUCCUAAGUGAUAUGUGUUAGACUACGUCAUAUUAGACUCAUGUUAUUGGUCUAAUUGCUCUAAGUAUGGUGUUUUAGAGUCCAAUUAUAUACCUUGGUUAUAUUUCCAAUAGGUUGGAUGGAUGUGUGACAAACCUCAAGUAUAGUAUUAGCGUGGGUCGGGUUCGAUUACCCGGAAGUAGAGCUAGUGGCCUGAUUCGCUGAGUAUAUGUAUCAGGAAUUAACGAGUUUAAUAUGUUUUCACUUCUUAGUUAUAUGUGCUAGAGUGAAGAUCUGACUAAGGCCCUAGGUUAUGUAUUAGUUGUAGUGGAUUUGAUUCUAUGACUCUAAGUAUAUUAUAUUAUGAGCAUCGUCGGGUAUGAGUUUACUCAGCGUAUAUGUACUAGAUGUGAUAAGGACUGACUAGCACCUAAGUUAUAUGGGUAGGAUUAGUCAACAUGGUUUGCUUCGCUCUAGGCUAUAUGUGCUUAGAGCAAAAGACUCGACUAGACCCUAAGGUAUAUGUGCUUGGGUAGUCGAGCAUAGAAUUUAACUUACAGCUCUAGGUAUAGUGUACAUAGAGCCAAAAGGUUGCUGACCUAAGCUAUGAUAUGUUAGGUUAGCCGUCAUGACUCUAAGUAAUAUGUUUAUAGAGUCCGAAUGAAUUUUGAUAUUCAUUGAUGAAAUUCUAAUUAUAUGUUAGAACUCUGUCGAUUUGAGAUAUUUCGCUUAGUUAUAUGUUGUCAAUGGCGAUUGACAUAGCCUAAGUAUAUGUAUUAGGGUGCGUCGAUGUAUUAAUUUUGGUUUUACUCUAGGUUAUGUGUGUAGAGUAAAAAAAAAAGGUUCAUGAGAUUUGGGUAUUGGUUCAUAGAUUUGGUAUUGGCUCUGAGAUUUGGGUUCAUGAAUUUGGAUAUGGUCAUGGAUUAUGGUGCUAUUGAGAUCUUGGUUCAUGAAUUUUGGAUAUGGUUCAUGGAUUUGGGUUGUAUGUAUUGGUUAUGAUACUUGGAUUUAUGGUUCAUGGAUUUGGUGUAUUUGAACUUGCAUAUGGUUCAUGUAUUUGGUGUAUUGGUCUUGGUCAUGAACUUGGUAUGGGUCAUGGAUUUUGGUGUAUGGGUUUGGUUCAUGAAUUGGCAUAUGUUUAUGGAUUUAGUGUAUGGACUCGGGUUCAUGAACUUGUGAUAUGGUUAUGGAUGGUGUUGGCUUGCCGCGAACUUCAUGAACUUGGGUAUGUUCAUGGGAUUUGGUAGUAUGGCUUGGUUCAUGAACUUGGAUAUGCAUUCAUGGAUUUAGUGUAUGACUCCGGUUCAUUGAACUGGAUAUUUGUUCAUGGAUGGGUGUAUGGGUUGGAUUUCAUGAACUUGGAUAGUCAUGAACUUGGAAUAUGAUCAUGGAUUUGGUGUAUGGACUCGGUUAUGAACUUGCGAUAUGUUCAUGAUUGGUGUUAUAGGCUUGGUUCAUGGUUUAUGAAUUUGGUUUAGUUUACGGACGACAUUUCGGUUUGUUUGGAUUUGGGUUUUAGUUUAACGCGACGUUUCGGUCGAUUGAAAUCGAGGUAUUCAUGAAACUAUCAUGAAUUAAAUAAUGCUAGGAGCCUUGGUAAAAGUCCACCAAGUUAUUUGAGAAAAUUAAUUCAUGAUAGGGGCCAUUUGGAAGAGCCAUUGUUAUUGUAUUAAUUUAUGACAAAGCAGGACCUAUAAACUAUAUUCAUAGAUAUUAUUCGUGAUAGCGAAUACAUUUGGAAAGCCCAGAAAAAUUAAUUCAUAGAACUAAUUACUAGUGAGGGGACCCAUUGGGAAGUCCAUGGAUAUUGGUUUGAUUGGAGGUAUUUGGGAAUAGGUUUAUAGAUUUGGUUUGGUUUUAUUUGUAGAAUUUAAAUUUUGGAUUUUAUUUGUGAACUUUGGGUUUGGUCUUUAUUCGUGGACUUGUGGACUUUGGUUUUGGAUCUUUAAUUUGGUAGGAUUUUGGACCGGUUUUUGGCGUUUUUAUUUGUGGACUUUGUUGGGUUUGGUUUUGGGUUUUUAUUUUUGGACUUUUGUGGGUUGGAUUGUGGAAUCUUUAUCUAGUGGAUUUGUGGGAUUGAGUGAGGGAUUUUAAUUCAUAUGUUUUAUUGGCUUUGGAUCCAAGAUCGAAUGUAGGCUGAAAUGGAUUUCAGACUUUGCAUAUUUGGGCCUUUGGACCCGAAGCUAUAUGUGGGUUGAAGUAUGCUGUGGGCUUUACAUGUUUGGCCCGAACAUGCAUGAUUGGAGCUGAUUUUAUUGAUUUAUUAUCUGCACUGGGCACUGGAUGUCGGCCUCCACAUGUUUUGGGCUUGCGACCGUAUUGUGUUUAUGAGACUGAGAUUGUCCUUGGGUUCACAUGCUUGACGCCUUGGCAAAACCCGGAAUCUGCAUCUGGGUCUGCUAUUAUUUUUUAUUGCUUAGAUAAUGAAAUUGGCCAGUAUAUGGAUUAAUCCAUUUGAAUUAAAUAACUCCGUUAAUUCUCAACUUUAUUCCCUUUUCUUUUUUUUUCUUUUUUCUUUUCUUUUUUUUUGCAUCUCUUUUUUUUACUAAGAGUGGGGCAAAAUAAAAUUUUUAUUUUUUUUUUGUUGACUGUCAGAUGAGAGGAGAGAAGUCCAACUCCUCUCUUUUUGUAUUGUUUUUCAUUUACUUCUCUUUUUUUUUUUUUUUUUCGUUUUCAUUUUUUUCUUUCUUUUUUUUCUCUUUUCUUUUUUUGACUCCGUCAGGAGAGGAGAGAAGUCCAAACUCUCUUCUCUUUUUUUUUUGUAUUCCCUUUUUUUUUUUUUUUUUUUUUUUUGUGACUGCCGGCGAGAUGUGAAACAAAUCCUUUUUUUUUUUGUUGCUGCGAGAGAUGGGAGGAGAGAGAAACAACUCUGCUCUCUGUUCUUUCUUACUUCUGUACGAAACAGAGAUGAGAAAUGUGAGAAAUUGCUCUAUUUUUUUUUCUUUCUUUUUUUCUUGUUUGUUUCUUCUACUUGUAUUGUUUUUUCGUUUCUGUUUCUUCUUUUCUUUUUUUGCUCUACCAAUAAAUGAAACUUGACCGACGUCCAAGCAUACGAUGCAUUCGAACGGAAGUGACGGAUCGAAACAGAACUUGUCAUUUUUUUUUAUUAUACGAUUUGUUCACGUGCGCAGAGAGUUUAAUGUGUCGAGCUAUCACAGAUGGCCACAUGGUUUACGUAUUACCCAUGUCGAAGCUAACACGAAGAUCGGCCGCACGGUUCUUUUUUUUAAUACCCAUGUCGAGCCUAUACGAGUGGCUCGCACUGAUUUUUAUACUCAUGUCGAGCUUCACGAAGAUGGACGCACGGUUCUUUUUUUUUAUACCAUGUUGAGACCUAUCACGAAGAUGGCGCACCAGGUUGAUACAUCAGACGGAAGCAAGCGAUAAUUUAAUGUCAAAUUUGAUCGCGUUCGAAACCUAUACGAGAUGGUCGGAUUGAUCAAAUUGACAAAAAAAAAAAGACCGUUUGGAGAUUAUAAUGAUGCGCAAGGACAACGACGAUUUUAUGUGGGAUGUUUGAUUUGGUUGAAAAACCUAUCACGAGGAUGGAUGGUGCUUGUCAAACGAAGAAAACCGACUUACGCUGUGCGUAUGCAUGCGUAUCCUAUUUGUAGAAAUCGCUCGUGAUUGUGUUGUUGUCGUGUUGCGAUCCUUAGAACCAAAGUCUCUUUUUUUUCUUCUGUUGAUGUGUACGGACAAAUCAGUGAUGGGGGUGCCACCGUGACCCCUCUUCACCAGCUGAGAGAAUUAGAGUGAAGAGGAAAGAGGAAGAGUGCAAAACUCUUUUUUUUUUUGGUUUUCACCUUUUUUUUUUCCUUCUCUUUCUUUCUCGGCUUUUUUUUUUUUUUCUUUUGCUGUUCUUCUCUUCAGAUCCCCUCUUCUUUUUUUGAGGCCUUAUAAUAAAUCCCUAACUAUCUUUUGGAAAUUAUUCAAAAACAUAUAAAAGGGGAAUGUAUUUUCAUAACAAGUUAUGAAUCAUUUUUUUUUUUACCAUUUUUUCUUUUCAAUCAAUUUUUCUUUUCUUUCCUAUCCCUUCUCUAUAUUUCAUUUUGCAAUUUGAAUAUUUUUUUUUCAAACAAAUAGCAACCAAGCCCCGAAAAAACCUAUUUGCAUCAUAACUAUAAUUGUUAGCUGCCGACCAAAGUGUACCGGUACACUUAUCUAGUAUCGAACCCGGAUCGCGCAAGGCAACCGAGAUGCAAGUUAUCUCGGGGUACGCAGCAGUUUAUACCGAUACAAAAUAUUUUGUACUGUUUACACUUUCAGAUUUCUAAACCUGAGAGACUUUUAUCUCUCCUCGGUUGCAUGUUGUACCGGUACAACCUUGAUGUUGUACCGUAUACAAUUGCCAUGGAUGAGUAUUUAGCUAUUGUUCGAAUUCUCUUCACGCGAGCAAUGCUCAAACUCUUUUAACUCCUUUAAACUCACUUUAAUCUUUCGCAGAUAUUGUUGUAAUGUACUAAUGGAUACCUUUGGAAUUUUGAGGAGCCAAGGAUCUUAUCUAAGAUGAUUAUCCCUAGAGGGGGACGUGAAUAGGUGAAAGGCCAAAAAUCACGAAAUCUCGAUGCAAUAAAUAUAAAUGCCGAAAAUAUAAAAGCACACGAGAUUUACGUAGGGAAAACUCAACGUGGGAGAAAUACCCACGGGACAACACGGCGAAAAAACAAUUCACUAAGAGGCAAAAGAUUACAAGCAGGUGUUACGACUCCACGCGGACUUACCUCUCUUAACUCUUAUGAUCUUCGCUACCCUCGUUGUUGUCCACGCCUACGUUCCGAAUCCACGAACGCUUACUUCGAAAUCCACGAACUUCAACACGCCGAAUCACGAGCCCUCGAAUCACGACCACGAUCCGAAUCCACGAACAACCGCCUGGCGUUCACGCCGAAUCCACGCGCCCGUUCAUGAAGAGCUUAUCUGUAUAUGUGAUCUCUCGCUUUGGAAGUAUCGUUAAGAAAACCAGGGAAAACGAAUCCAAGCAAAGCGGCGAGAUCAAAUGAAAUGCAGAAUGCGAAACGAUAUCUCGAUUUGAUCUAAGAGGAUAAUUUGUAGAAAAUAGGUUUUAGAAUGAAAUUCCGAGCCUCUAUGUUCUAAAACAUGUAUUACUUAUGAAUGCGUGAUCAAUUAGGACCUAAUAGAUUAUUUAUGACUUUGAAUCAAUUGGAAGAUGAAUUAGAAAGUUUUAUUCAAAAACAGCACCUGCUGUACCGGAACAAAGGAUGUUGUCCAGCGGCUACACCAUGCCGAAAUUUUAUCGCGACUGCCCUGUCAUCUCUAUCUUUGUUUUUUUUAUUAUUUUAUUUUUGUUGUUAUCAUUUUGGUCCGAAUCGGGGUUCAAGCGUGUCGAGCCUAUCACGAAGACGGCCGCUCGGUAUGAUCAUAAGUCCAAUGAGGGUAACGAUCCAACGUCGAGAUUGAAAGUGUCGAGCCUAUCACGAAGACGGCCGCACAAUCAAAUCGGUUGGAGGCUCGUCGUCACAUCAUCCGCUCGCUCGUGCAGAUCUUUCGUCGGUGUUGGGGAGACGGAUGUUUAGUGAAUACGCGCGCACGAUAUAGUAACGAUCCAAUGCCGGAUUUGAUCGGGUCAACCUAUCACAAAGACGGUCGUGUUGACCAAACCGACAAAUAAAUCGCUACUAUACGUUUGCACGUAUACACUAAUCCGCCGUCGUCGGAGAAGAAGAAGAAAGAGGCCACGAGGCCUCCUCGUGCGGGGCCUCCUCGUGCGCCAUUGUCGUUGUCGAAGUCGUCACAGCGCCGCCGUCGCCGCUGCCGCCGCCGCCGCCGCCGCCGUUAUCAUCGUCGCCGUCGCCGUGCCUUCACUCUCUUUUUUUUUCUUCUCUUUUCUUUUGCUUUCAUUUUUUUCUUUUUUCUUUUUUUUUUUUUUGAUUUGAGAGAGGGUUCGCCAAACCCCUCCCUCUCUCUCUGGAUCGGACAGAGAGAGAGGGAGGUGCCCCUUUUUUUUUCUUUUCUUUUUUUCUUUUAUUUAUUUUUUUUCCCCUCCAAAAGAGCUUUUAUUUUGAAUCUUAUGGUCCAAUUUAUAGUGGUUCUAGGACCUCUUCAACUUGGAAAUGAUUCAAAAUUUUUUUAAAAUAAGGCAAUAAUAUAAUUUUUUAUUUCUUUUCCUUUUUGAUGGUUGGCCAUCUAAAGAAAGUAGCAAUCAUUCCCCAUUAAUUCUAUUGCCUUCCAUAUUUUCAAUUUGAAAUUCAAAUUUAAAAAAAUUUUUUUUUUUUGAUCCCAACAUUCGGCCCUGAUGUUCUAUGAGAAGCGGAGGAGAAAGUCCGCCUUGCUCGGAAGCGAUUGCUCACGGCGCAGUCUAGGCAGAAAAGCUAUGCAGAUAGGCGCCGUCGAGAUAUAGACUUCGCGGUAGGCGACCGCUUUUGCCGUGGGCGACCGCGUAUUCUUAAAAGUUUCGCUAAUGCGGGGUGUGAAGCGGUUUGGAGUGCCGGAAAAGUUGAGUCCCCGGUACAUUGGACCCUAUGAGAUAUUAGAGGGAGUUGGCUCAGUGGCCUAUCGGCUUGCCUUGCCGCCGAAGCUCGCGGAUGUACACAAUGUGUUCUAUGUCUCCAACCUUCGCAAGUACAUUCAUGACCCCGAGCACGUGAUGCUAUACGAGCCGCCGGAACUCCAAGAAGACUUGAGCUACGAGGAGUUUCCGGUGAUGGUUAUCGUCCGAGAAGUGCGAAAGCUACGAAAUUGUGAGAUUCCCUACGUGAAGAUCCAGUGGAGCAAUCAUGAUGAUUGCGAGGCCACUUGGGAACUCGAGGAUCUGAUAAGAAAGCAUCAUCCUCACUUGUUUGAAGAAUAAGGUAUAGAAACUAAGUUUUAAAUUAAGUUGAAUCAGUUUUGAGGACGAAACUCCUUUUAAGGAGGGGAGGAUGUAAGGAAAUGAAUUCUCGAAAUUCGAGAGUUGGACUUCGUCCAGGAUCGACUAAUUGUCGAGUGGGUAGGCCUCGGAGGAGCUAAAGAUGUCCUAAACACAAAAGUGCUUUGGAGUCGAGUCCGCAAGAGCAAAUAAUGCAGAAAUCUGCCCUGGGCAAAGUUUGCUCUCGGGGACCGGUCUCUGGCAGGAAGGACCGGUCCCCGUAGCUGGUGGUUGCGGUAGAUGCUUGAUGCAACCGGUCCCAGGCCUGAGGGACCGGUCCCCGUAAGCGAAACCAGCGAGACGGCAAAAAUUUGGCUAAGUCCUGAGAAUUCCACUCUCGGGAACCGGUCUCUCAGGCAAGGACCGGUCUCCCAGGGACCGGUCUCUCGGGCAGGGACCGAUUCCCGUACUCGUGAAGGCUGGCAAAGAGCCUUCCUCCCGCAUGGAUUGCUUUCGGGGACCGAUCUUCCCGACGAGGGACCGAUCCCUCCGCGCGAAAUCUGCCCAGGCAGAGUAACUUGAGGGGAGCAAAAGUGGAGGGGCUAAACUAAAAAUGUGACAUAAGUAAGGGGUAUAGAGAGCAAAGGGCUCUCUUUCCCUCUCUCAUUUCCACUCUCACUCCCAUUUCUCUCCCUCUCUCUCUCUCUCUUUCUCUAGAAAGAAGAAGAAGAAGAAGAAGAAGAAGAAAAAGAAGAAGAAGAAGGAGAAAGGAAGGAGAAGAAGAAGAAGAAGGAGAGCAAGCUAGGGAAGGCUUGGAGCAUCUUCUCCUCUUCCUCUCCUCUCCAUUGGAGCUAACCUAGAGGUAAGCUCUUGAACCCUAAUGGUAGAACUUAGGGUUUUUGGGUUUUUGGCUUUUGAGAUGAGGUCAAAUAGACCUCUGGCACCAUUAAUGGUGGAAUAGAGCUAGAAGUUAGGGUUCUAUAGUGCUAAUUGCAAGAUGUGAACCCUAGGGCACCCAAAUGGGGGUUUUUGGAAAUACAUGAGAUUGAUCUCAUUUAGUGGCUUGUAAACCUAAUUGAUAGGUGUCUAAACGCGAGGGCAAAGUCGGAUUUUCGAUUCGUCGAGCAGGUGAAAAGCUAUCGUCAAAAUAUAGCCGAUUGAGCGCCAUUUUGGACCAAGGAGGCCGAAACCUCGUCGUAACAUUCGUUGGGAAGUGGUUCUAGAACCUUCAUACCCUCAAAAGGUGGGAGGUGUCAUCCCGAAGCAACCGAACUCUUUUCUAUGUCUUAAAAAUACAUGAUUUUCAUCUUUUGCAUGUUGCAUUGUAGGAUUGCAUUGUAGUACCUUUUCCUUAUGUUUCUAAAUGUUAACCUAGUGUACAUGGAAUACUUGAUGAAAUGGAGAGAUAAGGAUUGGGUCGGAACAUGGAUCCUAUAGUUCUAAAGGAAAGAGAUGAACUCGAUGGUUAUUUAGUGACAUAAAGAGUGGCAUCUAAAUGUUUAAAGAAUAGAACGAGUGGCAUUAUGUAGUGUAUUUGACACUAGAGGUUCGUGAACUUAGGGAUAGGUGGAUUCCCUAGAAAAUGACUCGUGAACAAUGAACUUAGUAGAGCUAAGUAACUAUGCAUGAAUGUCGGAAUAGGUGAGUUCCGAGGGAUAUGUUGGCCCUAGUUCGUAGGGUAUCCUCACGUGGAGAUGAUAGAUCAAGCUCACGGUCUAUUAUUCGGGAUGGUAAAGCCAUCCAUAUCCUUACAUGGAGAGGAUUUGUUGUCGAGUACUUUGGAGUGUCGGGCGAUUAGGACAGAUUGAUGUCCGCAGACAGUCUCGGGUUCGGGGACACAUGGAGUCUCCUUACCCUAUGGGAUGGAUAUGUGAGGCGUAGGCAAACCCAAGGGUUUCGCCACAGAUUGGGUAAAUGAAAAGUUAAUAUUGUCAUCGAACAUUGCUUAUCGAACAUGGAUCGAACUUGUUAGCAUAAUAGUAAACUUUUACUAAAUGAUGCAUGCAUUCAUUUCACAUGAUUAUGGGUAUAGUAGCAUAGUUUUCCUAUUAUGUCUUUAUAGCUUUGAUAUAUGUAUCUAUCUGUUUCGUUGUUACUUGUGCCCACUUGGACCUAGUGGGGAGAUCGGCGGAGUCAGCGGCCAAGCCCACUGGGAACUAUGGAAGAUAGUUCUCACCCCACUUUAUUUCCAGGGCUAGGUACAGGUUUGCAGGGCGAGGACCGCGGCAAGGGCAUCGCGCCCGACCAGUGAGGAUUAUUGGUAUAGUAGUAGCUUUCUUUUUGCAUUAGCACACCUAUGUAUUUGAGAGAGAUUCAUGUAGGUGAGGACUCUGGAGAGCUAUGUACUUGAUGAGCAUGUAUUCAUUUUGGGAAAGAAAAUGUAAUUGUAUAAAGAAUACAAAUGUGAUGUAAUAGUUAGUAGUUCUCUCUUUAUUUCACUUAUGUAUCUUGUGGAUUACUCGCUCUUCGUUGUUGGCACUAUUUGUGGCCCGUUGAUUGUGUAUGUAUGAAUUUAAUUUUCCUGGGUAAAUUCUUGUACAUGAUUAGGUUGUGAACCUUGGGCGGGCAGAGGAGUUGCUGCACGUUCGGCGUCCGUUCGCCUCGCCCUAACCGUUCCAAAUUGGUAGGGAUUUCGGGGCGGGGGCGUGACAUACCAGGUACCUUGUAGGGUUCACGGGUCAGAUGUACGAUCACUUUUUCGGAAAAGAACACCCUCUUGUGGUGGAUCAGACCGCUGGUGUCGGUGAAAAUGCUCACGAGCUGUGACAAUCGAUGCAAUAUGCUCAAUGGCCGACAACGGCAACUAGCCGGAGGAGUAAUCCACAAAUGUCUAACGGAAUUAGAUCCACUAAUCCCGAAGGAAAUGUCACCAUAUCACUGCCCUAUGAGAUCUAUAUAAUCAAGUCACUAUGUACGGGAUACAAAAGGUCAUCAUAUCAAGUUAUGCAAUAGGUCACUAGAGAUGUCACCGACCGCAAGGUCGUCUAAUGUCAAAUAAUGUUAUGUAUAAACACGAGUGUCAUCGACCACAAGGUCAAUUAAUGUCAUAUCAUCUACUAUAAUCAUGCAAAAACAGAGGUUCCACCGACUAUAAGAUCAACUAAUAUCAAAACACAAAGUAGAUGACUACGAGUGCCACCGACUCUAAAGUGAACUAAUGUCAAAUUUACUACGAGUGUCACCGACUAUAAAGUCAACUAAUGUCAAGGUCAUCUAUUAUGAACAGACCAUGGAUGACUCAAUCAACAGGAGCACUGGUCUACUACUAGAUCAUGACAAUAUAAAAUCGAAGUAUAGAGCGACUAACUACGAAAUCAAGUAGUGUAUGAAAGCUCAACCACAUCAAGCAAAUGGAAAGAGAUAACAAAGGUAGAAAUCAUCGAGUAGGCACCACUUUACCAACUUCGGAUCGAAGUACCCACCUCUACCGAAGAAUAAAGUCGGGUCGUCGACGCCCAUUGUCACGCCCCACAGCCGCCAAUUUGGUCGGUUCGGGCACGUCGAACAGAUGCCGAACGGACAAAGUCUCUCCUGUCCGCCCAAGGCUAACAACAAAGUCAUAUACAUCAAGUUGCCCAGGUAAACUUAAACAAUAAAUAUGAAGCACCACAAGUGCAAUAUAAGUGAGAGCAAGACACAAGUAGAUAUGCAAGUGAACAAAAGAAAGAGAUAGUUCUAGCUAUUACAACUUUCAUUCAACAUUCAUAUUUUAUUGCAUUUACAUCUCCCAAAAUGAAUACAUGAGUUUUAAAACAUCACCUCUUCAUACAUGAUAGCCCUACAAAAUACAUCAUCUAAUGAUACAUCAUAUACUACUCAUGUAUACGAAAGUACUCUAAUGCAAAAGGAAAGCCGCUAACUACUAGGGCGCUACGCCCUUACCGCGGUCCUCGCCCGGUCCACUCGAACUCAGCCCUACAACAAAGUGGGGUGAGAACUAUAUAAAUAUAGUUUCCAGUGGGUUCGGCCGCUGACUCCGCCGAUCUUCCCACUAGGUCUAAACAAGCAUAAACAGAUAGAUAGAUAGAUAGAUAGAUAGAUAGAAAUGAACUGCUACAUUCUACUAUGCCAUCAAAUGCUAAGCAAUGCAUGAAGUGUCCAUCUAAUAACAAACCUACUAUCAUGUUAGUAUGCUUCAACAAUGUCAUGAAUAUAAAUACAAACAUAGUUAUACAAUCUACUAACAUCUACUAUGUCUACUCAUGGUAUGAAUGCAAAUCCACUAUGCUAUUCAUGUUCAUUACUCAAUCAACUUGGCUAGCCUGAAGGUUUGCCCCGACUAACCUUUCAAUCUCAUAGGUGAGGAGAAUCUGCAUUCAUAUACCGAGACCGUCUGCGGGACAACUACGUCUGCUCCUAUCGUGAAGUACUCCGGAGACCACUACUUGGGUGGAGCGACCACACAAGUGUAAAUAGAUUAGUGAGUAUGAUCCAAUCCUCACAAGAGGAUACCCUAUCUACAAGGGUCAUAGUGCUUCUACCGCACUGAUUCCGAAUGCACAAUUCGAUAUCGGGAACUCUACUAUCCCUAGAAUCAUGUCAUAAUGUGUUACUACACUAGAUUCGAUGCCACUCGUUCAAAUCAUUAGUUGUAAAUGUUUUAACUAGUUCAUAUGCCACUCGUUCAUGUUGUAGUGUUUCUACUACACUAGUUCAAUGUCAACCGUUAUCAUCAUCUCAAGUUCAAGUCGUCACUUAUCAUAUCACUAUAAGAUUCCAUGUCACCAGAUCUAAUUCUCAUGCACCCUAGGUUCUUGUGUCAAGCUCACAAUGCUACACUACUAAGGAACAUGCAAGGAAAUAGAAAUGUCACUAUACAACAUCCUAUAAUGCAUAAGUACAACAUAUGAAGAUAUGAUCAGUAAUAUGACUCAGACAUAAAAGGAAGCCCAACUGUCGCUAGGUUUCGAAUUUCGUGAUUUUAGGACGUUGCCUCGGCCCUCCGGGCGGAAACGAAGCCGGAAACGUCCCUUUUGCCAAUAUCUUUGCGCAGGCUCGACGGAUCGCAGAACCGACUUCACCAGCGCGUCAGAAAGCCUAACAAAUAGGUAUAAAAGAGAUCAAUCCUAACUUUGGAUCUCUUUUUCACAAAACCCACUUUAGAACCCUAGAUCGGAACUAUUGCAAGAAUCCGACAUAUAGUUUCACGAUUCAAGGAAUAAUCAUCUACUUAACAUCUAAGGGUUCCAUAAAAAUCAUUUCUAAAGUAUAAAAACUUAACCCUAGAAAUCUACCAUUAAAGCUCUACGAAGCUCACCUCAAAAAACUCGCUCCAACAGCGAGGAAGAAGAUGAAGAAGACGAAAAUCCAACUUCAAGCUUCAAUCUCCACCAAUUUCUUCCUACUUCACCCUUGGAGAAAGAGAGAAAAGAGUUUAGAGAGAGAGAGAGAGAGAGAGAAAAAAAACACAAGUAGAGGUGCCUCUGGCUGUGAACAAGAGAGGGGGAGUUGGGGCCCUUUUAUAAGCUGUCACAAUAGCAUAAAAGCCCCUCAAAUAAUCCCCAAUUGUAACUGACCAAAACUGCAGUUUUCUGCACUUGGUACCGGUACGCGGGACUUUUGUCACCGUUUCAAUGAUUACGCAGCAGCAACCUGAGAGCAGCCUUCUCGGUCAGCAGUCUGGUACCGGUACCAUUUGGAUUUGUCAUCGGUUAACAGCCUUGACAGAGGCUAACCUGAGAGCAACUUUGCUCUCGGUUUCUGCAGUGUAUCGGUGACACCUCUGGGCUGUCACCGGUUCACAAUGCUCCAGACUUGAUUCUCGCAUUGUUUCGACUCUAAUUCACGCCGAGCAACGCUAAAACCUCUCCAACCCUCUUGGAACUCAACUUUAACCCUUCCAACAUGGUUGGAAUGUUAAAUGGACCUUGUCCAAGCAUCCGUCUCGCCGCACUUUGGUCAAUUUGGCCAAAAGUGGUUUAUUACUAUGAGGAUUCAAUACCUUACACCCAUCGAUGACUGUCGUCACAGUCCAGGCCUACGCAAAGUCCCAAAAAAAAUGUAAUUAGCUCAAGCCCGCUAAUUACAAAAGUUAUGGUUUUAAGUACAACCAAUAGGCGAGCAAUCGGGUUUCUAAUCACGUUCUAUAGUCAUCGAAAUAUCGCCUGAUUGUCACACCGACUCAUCGAAAUGACACCCUAACCUACGGGGCAUUCCAACACAAGUCCCACACAAAGCCUAUCUCGUUUGUUGUCCCAAUACAUCAAUUUAAUACUAUUGGGGCAGCCGCACAAAUAGUGCGUCAGAACGAAAAGCCGAGAUCUCGAGAAUCAUCGGUUUGGCUCCCGGGGUACCCAUUCCAGCACUGGAAUCACCCUCAGCCCUUACGCUGUAACCAGAGGUGUCAAACCUCAUACUAAAACUGGCCAAUAAGGCUUAAACUCUGCUGUAAAUAGCAGUGACCCACACGAUAAGAAACUAGGCACAAAAUUGCUCGAUUUCCAACUCCGGGAUUCCCAACAAGCCCCGAAGUGUUCCAAGACACUCCGUGGCUCAAACGACCACCCUCGCUAUCCUAAAACACUCACUUUUGGGUGUUGGGAUAGCCGCACGUUGAGUGGUGCGAUUCGGGUGCGCAAUCUCCAAAAUCUGUUGUACUGGGUUCCCGAAAAUCAAAAAAUAGCUCCGAAAAUCACCUAGGGUCCCUCGCUGGUCCGUGCUUCACAACAGUAAGGUCCCAGCCAGCAAACAAGGCUUCUCUACUACUAUAACCAGCAACUAAACUCACUCUGCGAAAACGGAGCCAAAAAGCACAUCAAACACACUUAAAUUACCGUUUUGUGUGUCGAUCGCUGUGAAAUCCCAAUUGAGGGAUUCGAGAGAGAGAGAGAGAGAGAGAGAGAGAGAGAGAGAGUUGGGUUAGAAUACUAUUGAUAGCAAAAUGCCCUUUUUGCUAUCAAGUUUUUAGCCUUUCGAUCAACUCCUUUCAUCAUUUCUAACCAUUGGAUUAAAUAUUAUAACCCAGUAGGGACCACUCAACCCUAACUGACUAAUAUCAUCCUAACCCUACAAUUUCUCAUCUAAGGGUUAAAAACUUGAUAGGAAAAAGAGCAUUUUGCCAUCAAUAGUAUUGCAACCUAACUAUAUAUAUAUAUAUACACACACACACACACACACACACACACACAUAUAUAUACCUAUGUACCAAUAGAAAGAAAAGGACUUUUUUUGCACAAAAGCCUUCAUAACAUCCUAGAAUUAUGCACCCAAUUCUCAACAGCAUAAAAAUAUUUCAUUAAGUCCCUCUCCAAACCAUCUUGUGCACAAAGAUACUCGAAAAGCUGUGUUCCAAUCCGAAAAGUUUCUCGAUCACAAAACUCUCCUACGACUUUAUCUCAAUGUCAUUUCACAUAGAUAAACUCGAAUUCCGCAAAAUUUGAGAUGUAAGAUCCUCACUGAGUCUACAUUUAUGUGAACCUUCCACUUGCCAAAAUUACGAAAGUUUUCACAUGAAAUGAUAACAUUUUCGCAAAGUGCUCAAUUUUGACACAUUGCAAAAAUAACAAUUUAGCACUCAAAUCAUUGAAUUUAGUUCCAAAAACUCACCAGUGCGUGUAAUAUGUCCAGUGGCAUCGAUUCAUGGAUUUUCACACAAAAUCAAGUAGAAAAAGGCCAAAAUGCGAUAAAUUUUGAUUUUUUUCGAAAAUCGUGCAUCGAACAUGAAAUUGGGCAGUGCUAUCCCCUCCAGUAUAGCCGAACCAACAAGUUUUCAGCUAUUGGUGCUUCUGAGUUUUCAGCCAUUGGAUAAAAAUUUGUAGAGUUGGGAUAAUAGUGGUCCUCUGGAAUUUGGUAGGUGGUUGGUGAAAUAUCAUGAUCUAAAAGGUGGAAUUGAUCAAAGGAAUAGAUCUAACGGUGGAAAACUUGCAAACACCAAGUGUUUAGUCUUUUAAUAGUAUCAUAGCCAUGCUCUCUCACUAUAUAUAGAGGGAGAGAGUUGAGCUCCUAUGAUUUUAAAACUAUAGGAGCUUAAUGUACUUGUGAUUUUUUAGCUGUUGGAUCGCCUCAAGAUCCAUGUAGAACUAAUAAAAAAAAACUUAAUGGGACACAACAUUAAUAGAUUUGCAUGAAUCUUGAGGCCAUCUGAUGAUUAAAAAGUCACAAGCAUAAAUGCUCGUGUUUUAAAAGCAUAGGAGCUCAACUCUCUCUCUCUGUAUAUACACUACAAGAAAAAGCAAAUUUGGCGGCGACUUUUUCGUGGCGACAACAGUUGUCGCCACGAAUGUAGAAAAUAUGGUGGCGACAUAAAAAUGUCGCCGCCAAUACACAAAUAGUGGUGGCGACAUAUAAAUGUCGCCGCCAAUACACAAACAAUGGUGGCGACAAAUAAAUGUCGCCGCCAAUACACAAACAAUGGUGGCGAUAAAUAAAUGUCGCCGCUAAUAUAUAAAUAAUGGUGGCGACAAAUAAAUGUCGCCGCCAAUACAUAAACAAUAGUGGCGACAAAUAUAGGUCGCCGCCAAUAUUUAAUAAAUGUCGCGCGGAGUAUUUCCAGACAUCCCGCCCUUAAUUCCCUCCGCCUUUUUGGAUCAGAAAGUUAUCUUCUUUCAUCUCCCUCUCAAUUUCUCUCUUUCCCCUCCUCCUCUCCGCCCACCCUCUCUCUCUCUCUCUCUCUCUCUCUCUCUUUGUACGCUCUCAUCAUCCUCUCUUUCCCUCUUCAUCGUGCUAAAACCCUAGUUUCCAAUCGAAAUCCCGAAAUUUUUUCGCUCCCCGAAAUUUUUUCGCUCUCUAGCCUUGGUCGAGCGACGAUGGAGGCCUCUAAUCCUCGCCUCCACCCGCGCCAUCCUCGACCCCGUCGUCAACUCCGCCAAAUCCAUCGGCGCCGCGGAGGACGACGGCGUUCUCCGCCCUCGUAGGUCUCGCUUCGCCAACGAAGAUGGGGGCUCCGCCUCCGCCUCGCUCCGGCUCAAGGCCGGGAUCUCGUGCGGCGCCUGCCCCCAGAGACGCGUGCGUACUACGCCAAGUACGCACGCGAGAACUUCGUCAACUACCGCGACGCCGAUCCCUCCACCUCCCUCUCCGACCUCCUCCGCCGCGCCUACGCCUACUCCACCUGGGUUCUCAACAAGGUCCCCGUCCUCCCCCCCGCCCCACCAAAACGCUACCUACCACGCGAAGCCCUAAUCUCUUUCCCGCCCAACCUUUUUUUUUUUUUUUUACUUCUUUUGUGCGUGCUUUUGUUUUUUGUAGUACUUCGCUCGACGAAUCGGCCGUGCGUCGAAGGCUCCAAGGAGAUAUAUCGGUGCUGAGCAGUGGCGUUGGGCCGUCUCUAUACACGCACGGUACCGUUUUGAUGAAAUUCCUGUGUUAAAGCAAGUUUUUUUUUUCUUCUUUGGUUUCUUUACUUAAAUAAAUUAAGUGUUUUUUUUUAAAACAAAGGAAGUGGCGGAAUUGAUCUGAACAAUGUGGUUGUUUCGGGACCACUAGCAUGUUUUUGAAAGUUUUGAUUUUGCUUGGCGUCGUUGAUUUUUGAAUCAGUUAGCGAUUCUCCGUACUUUACUGAAACACGCCGGAAUUUAAAAUCUCCGACCUCAUAAAUUCUGAUGCUGCGAGAUGCAUGGUUUGGCCUUAAAAAUAAUGGUUAAUAAAAUUGUGCAUUUGGUCUAUCAAACUAAUCAAGGUCCGUGCAAAUUUUAAUUUGUUUUAAAUCUUUAGGCUAAAUGCUCGGGUUCUUUGUGACCAGCUUAUGUCAGGAGAGUGUCUAUCCUUAAAUGAAGGUGAGAUUUUAAACACUCAUUAGUGAUACAUAAGUGUAGUAAUGCAGUUUUGGUCGCUUGUACACACCCUUAUGACUGUGAUUUGGGGCAACUUUUGAAGCUGGUUUAAGGUGGCUUUAUAACUCCGCGGUGAAGGGAAUUAAGUUAAACCUAGUGGUGCAAUUUCCUUGUUUGUUGUAAAUUUUAUGUGAAAAUGCAAUUGGGUUGCAGCUAAAAGAUAGUUUCUAAAUGAUAGCAGGGGAUUCAGCUAUCAUGCCGCAUUGAUGAUAUUGAUAAUAACAAAGCCAAAUCCUCAAAUGUGCCAGUCCUUUAUGCAUUUCGGAGAUAUAUAGCAAAUCUGUGUGCUAAGAGGUAUACCAUGUUGAUUCUCUAGAUCAUCAUAGUUAUCGCGGUACUGCCAACAUUCAUUGUCAUUAAUUUCUAGGAGAGACAUAGCAACGUUGCAGGCCUUGCCUUCUGGUAACUUGUUGUUCUUUAUAGUGACAGUUUUGAUAAUUUGAGAUGUCCUAGCUUUUAGGAUAUUACCCAAUAUGCACUUUCAUAAUUUCAUAUGUAAAUCAUCUUGCUUUAGGAUUUAUCCAAUAUCCAUUUUCAUAAUUUCAUACGUUUUUGAUAUUUGAGAUUGUCCCUAAGCUUUUGAUCCCCUAGGUUGUUGACUCUAUCUGACACCAGUGUGAUCGCUUCUCAAGCAAUCUGAAUAGCGUCUUGUUGUUGCCUUUUGUUUUGUAGCCCUACAAUGAUCUCCAUUUGCUCCCAAUAACCUCCUGUGGCUGGUAGUAUAGUUACUAUCUUCUGGCUUUUGAAAAAUAUUAAACUGCGAAACGAAGCUAGAAACUGAAGCUGAAUCAAGUUUUGCAUGCUUUGCUAUGUAGAGAAGGGUAUACCAUCUUGGAAUAGCCAUCAGUGAACCAACUGAUGUGUUGCAAGCAAUGUACUUCGAAAAACUCUGAUGAGUUUAGGUCAAAAGGGCUUUUUGUUCAGCUUUUUAAUUCUUUCUUACUGGUAAACUACGUACAGGUUAAAUUUUCCAAAGUAAUCCCUGAUAAUGUCCGCUUCCUCCCUUCUAGGUAAAGUGCUAAAAGUAUUUCGAUACUGUAAGCAUGAAUGGAAACAUUUAAAGAGACAACCGUAAUGGUUGGUAUAUUUGUGGAAAUCCAAUAUGAGGUGGUUCAAAGAACCGCUAAAUUUGUUUUAUUUUGGUAGAUGAGCAUUAAAGAAUUUAAGAGUCUUAUUUAUGCAAGGUGACAUCUGAAAAAUAGUCAGCAACUGGAAAUGUAGAGUAGAAAAUUGGCAAAAGUAAGCAGGUAUAUCAGUUGUUGACUUCGCAUAUUUACCAACACUUUUAAUUAAGUUCUUGUUAUCUGUUUUCAGUUUUCGAACUUGUCGAAAGAUGUUGUUAUGACGACACAUUUUGGUACUCUGAUGGCUUAGUAGGCUCGAGGACCACCAGAAGCUGGCCCCCUGGCAGGAAGUAGUGCCAUAAAUAUAAUGGACUGUCCACUUUGCUUAAUUAUUUCGAAGAUUGUAUUGUAGAAAAUUCUGCAAAAGCUUAAUUUAUAAUAUUAAUGCCUAUUUUGCUAUUUUACAUUAGCUGCUAAUAAUCUCAUAGAUGCCAACUAAUUCUUUAUGCGCUUGUUGACUUGUCAAAGUAUUAUGAAUUAAUAUUCUUGCAAAGUCAGAAGGUGUUCUUGUAAUAUGAUUUUAUAGAUCAAUUCUGUAUGAGCUUUUGGUUGCGUAAUGUAUGUUUGCAUUUUAGAUGCAUUUUUGGGAAAUUGUGAGGUGUUUGUUAGUUUCAAAGUAAUGCUUUUUCCCUUGGGCCGUGGUGCAUGGUUUGUCCUACAAAAAUUUUUGUAAUAUGGAGCCAGGUGCUUUGCAAUCCUCUUUCAUUUAGGAAGCAGUAGAAUGAGCAGACUUAAUGCACUAAACUUUAUCAUCUGAGAACAUUCCAUAUCGUCUCUUGAAACGAGUAUUUAUUUUGGAACUUAGAGAAAGGUAAGAAAUUCAUUAUUUGCAAAAACCUGGCUGUUGAACACUCCAUCUCUGAUUGGCUUUUCUUUUAAAGGUUAAAAUUUAAGAAUAAAAUUUUUUUAUAAUUAUAGGUUAUUUUUUAGCAAAUUAUUGUCGCCACCAUAAAACUAUUUAGGGUUUUCAUGGCACCAGCAUGCCGCCACUAAUUAUCUAACUUUUCGCCGCGACAAAUUGUCGCCACCAAAUACUUCGGUCCCGGUUUAGGGGUUUCACGACGAUAACUUGUCGCCACUAAUUAUCUAACUUUUCGCGGCGACAGUAUGUCGCCACUGAUUAUCUAACUUUUAGCGGCGACAGCAUGUCGCCGCUAAUUAUCUAACUUUUAGCGGCGACAAUUUGUCGCCACCAAAUAGUUUUACCGACGGGGUUUUAGGCGGCGGCAUGCGGCGACGAAUUGUCGCCGCCAAAACGUUUUUCGUGGCGACAAUUUUGGCUAUGGUGGCGACAUUUGUCGCCACUAAAUCCUGUAUCUGUAGUAGUUAUAGUAGAGCCACUAUGCUUUCGAAAGCAUAAAGAAGUUGGUACUCGACGUUUUGGCACAUGGAUUAAGGGUUAGUUUGGUUUUAAGACCCAUCUAACGCUAUUAGAUAAAAUGGAGUUGGGGUAAAAGUAUAUAGGGAUAUACUUCUGUGUUCUUCAGUGGAACCAUAGAAAAUAUAUUGUAACUGACUCAUCGCGAUAUAAUUACAUAUGAAAAUAAACAGUAUUUUUUCAUCAUACUUUCUCACCGUACAUAACGGAAUCUUCCCGCAAUCUCAAACGAAACCUAAGAAUUGUAGGGUUGAGAUGAUUGUGGUACCCUUCGGAUUUAAUGGCUCCCUAUGGUUUAGUGGUCCCCCUGGAGGAAUAGUGUAACACACUGAACUUUAGCAAAUAGCAAGGUUCCAGUGUUGGAAUAGUAUUUGAUACUAUUCCUGGUGUGUUCGAGGGUUGUGGACUGUGUUCCGACCUAUUACUCGCGCCUUGAGAAGCGAGAGUGGGUACUUAGCACCAAAAGCUGCAAUCUACAGGUUUUGAGAUGCUGGGUACCGGUACCACAGUGAGGUACCGGCCCCCGUCGCGUGACCGAGAGGGGUGCUCUCGGGUUUGAGCUCUGGAAGGCUGAGUACCGAUACUGACUCAGCCAAGUACCGGUACUGGAGCCGAGUACCGGUAAUGUAUUGAGCAGGUACCGGUACACUGCAAGCUGCCCGCUUGAUAGAGGCUCGGAUUGCGCAUGUUUGGUUGCCGGGUACUGGUACUCCUGCCCGAGUACUGGUACGCAGUGCAGCCUGCAGUGUGGAUAUUUUUGAGGGGCUUUUUGGGAAUUUUACACUUCUAUAAAUACCCCAACACCCCCAUAAGGGUUUCCCUGUGCUUGGAACCAGAGAAGUAGGAGGUGAGUUUCCCCUCUUCCUCUCUCUAGAUUUUUCUACUUAAUUUGUGAAUUUUUGAGGUUUGAUCUCUUCUUUUUCCUUCUCCUUCAUGGGUGAUGGAUCUUGGACCUUGGAGAAGCCUUGGACUUGAGGAAUAGAGCAUUGUUGAGGAAAUAUCUCCAACUCUAGCACCUCCCUAGCUUGGUUUGGAGGUCUAUAAGAGAUUAGUAGCAUUUAUUGCUCUUUUGGAUUGUGAUUUGGAGAGUUUUUGGAGUUUAACCUAAUUCUUUGGAAACUAGGGUUUUAUUUUGGGAUUUCUCUUGUUUGAGCCUAUGAGACUUAAUUGUUGGUUUCAAUACUUCCUUUUAGAUUGGAAUUGAAGCAUCCUAACCUCCUUUGAGAGUUUGGAAGGAUUUUUUCUCAUCUAAGGUAUUUUCUACCUAUUUAUGGGUUGAUUUUUGAGGAAUUUCAAGGGGUGUUCGUUCGAAGCCUCUGACCCUCUUGGAAUUUUUGUUAGGGAGUUAGGAGGCCAGUGAGCAACCUCGUUCGCGCAAACGAAAGGAUUUCGAGGGGUAUCUAGUGAGUUUGACCUCACUGAAAUGGGUGAACUCCUCUUUUGUCAUUUUCUAAAUUGUAAAAUGAGAAAUCAUGCAUAUUCAUGUUAGUUGUAGCCUAAAUAAAUUUUUGAAUGCUUAAGAUAUAUAUGUUAUAUGUCAAGAUUAUAUCCUCUAUAUAGUAGAGUGAGAAUUGCACAUAGAACUUGUAUGUGAAAAGAUAUCCUUUAUCCCAUGUUAGAAAGCAUAUUAUGAUUAGUGAAAUAGCAAGUUUUACAUGCUUAUGGACAAAUGACUUAUGCUUGACAUAGUGAACAUAAACGUCAUGUAGUGACAUUUGACUUAGUAAAUGACUAAAACUUAACAAUAUGACAUUAUAUUGGAUCUUUGGGUCGUUAGUGCUUAUUCCAUAUUUUAGACAUGAUGACCGAGGACUGGAUACUGUUGAUCAUGCUUGCUGGCCACUGUGCGCAUUCACACAAGCUUGUGAGGAUCACUCCCUACAAGCCGGCACUUCGGAGUUAGCCUACACGACAUAAGCUCGCCCGUGCUGGAUUAGAUGCCUACUGGGUCGCCGUCGGGGAGGCUCAUUCCUAGAAGGGGAAUGUUAACCACCACGGGGCCAUUAGGCGGCACAAGCCAGACUACACCCGUGUAGGUCCCAAUUGAAAUUGAACAAUGACAUUUAAAAGUAUAAUGUGAAAACCACUACUAGAUAGUAUAUAUCAGUUGGACAUGUUAGACAUGCAUAUUAGUUGGACUUGUUGGACAUGCUUAUUAAUUGGACUUGUUGGACAUGCUCAUACAUGAUAGAAUAGCUGUAUUAUAUACGAAACAUCAUGUUAAUUGGAGGCAUAGUAGCUUAGUAGAUUAUUACCUGCUUGAUAAUCAUGUUGUCUAUUUCAUACUGCUUAUUUACUACUCAUGCCUCGAUGACCUAGUGGUGUAUUUCGUUGAUGUCGGCGGCUUACCCACUGGAAACUAUUGACUAAUAGUUCUCAUUCCCAUUUUGUUGAUAUUUUUGUUUACAGAGCCAUCCACGCUGGGAGAGGUUAGGGAUCGUGGCAAGGGAGUCGCAUCUAGCUAGUCUUAGCUUGGAGUUUCUGCUAGGUGGUCACCUCUCUUUUGUUUUUCGUUUGAGAGGUGUCUUGUACCUGAUGUUUAGAGACCACCAUUUUGUAUUUAGCUUCUUUUUAUGUGGAUUUUUAGGAUGUAUGUACUACUUGAUGGAUGAUUAUAGUUGUUUUGUUUUACUUUCCUACUUGUCAUUAGAGCGUAGUGGUAUUCAUGCUUUGAUAUCAUAUUAGAUGUUGUUAUACUCUUGUUUUAUUUUAUCGCAUUAUUAUAGACGCCUUAUAUGUUCUUGACAUAUAACGGGUCUGGGCACGCACUGGGUAGACUUCCGCUGGGGCCUAGGCGUGACAAAUAGUAUUUAUCCAAGGGUUAGAAAUGGUUCAAGGGUUUAAUCCCAAGGCUAUCAAUUGGAAGCACCACAGAAUAGUGCUUCUAGAAGCACUAUACUCGGACUCUAUCUAUAUAUAUAGAGAGAAAAGGAGAGUUGAGCUUCUUUUCUUUUAAAAGCUUAAGAGCUCAAUGUGCUUAUGAUUUUUUUAGCUGUCGAAUCGUUUCAAGAUCCGUACAAUACUAGUAAAGAAGACCCAUGGAACACAACGUUAAAUGUGUUGCACGGAUCUUAAGGCGAUUCAAUGGUUGCAAAGUCAUAAGCAUAAACACUCCGGUGUUUUAAAAGAAUAGAAGCUCAACUCUCUCUCUCUCUCCUUAUAUAUAUAUAUAUAUAUAUAUAUAUAUAUAUAGAACUAUGUUUGGAAUGCUUAUCUAAAUGCCACCAGGUUGAUUGGUGCUCACUUAGGUUUUCGGCCUUUAGAUGAGAAAUGUACAGUUAGGAUGGAUGUGGGACCCCUAGGGUUGAGUGAGUUGUUUGGUUGAAUAGUAUAAUUUGACGGGUGAAAAUAGUCAAGGGAUGAACAUCUAACGGCGAAAAACUUGGUACGCACCAAAAUGCUUGGUGCUAUCGAUAGUAUCCCAGCCGUACUCUAUAUAUAUAUAUAUAGUGUAAGCUACUAUAUCUUCCGGAAGUAUAAAAGAGAGAGUUGGUGCUUCUGAUUCUGUGGCUCUUGAAUCAAAAUUUGUUAGAUGAUAGUGGUCCCAAGAAUUUGGUGGGUGUCGAUGAAAUAUCAUGAUUUAAGAGGUGGAAAUAAUCAAACGAAUAGAUCUAACGCGCGAAAAAUUUGCAAGCACCAAAUGUUUGAUGCUUUUAAUAACAUCAUAGCCGGACACACACACACACACUCUCUCUCUCUCCUCUCUUGUAUAUAUAUAUAUAUAUAUAUAUAUAUAUACUAUAUAUUAUACUAUAUAUAUAUAUAUAUUUAUAUAUAUAAUAUACUGGUAGAGAGAGGAGACAAUUGAGCUCCAAUGCUUUUGAAACCAAAGGAGCUCAAUGUGUUUGUAAUUUUUUAGCUAUCAGAUCACCUCAAAAUCCGUGCAGUACUAGUAAAGGAGGCUUAAAGGGACAACGUUAAACACGCUUUCCUGCCCCAUCAUCCUUAAAUCAUUUGGUAUCCUCAUCGUACGUGAUCACCGUCUGCGGCAAUGAGCUUCACUGCAAGCUCGUCUCACGCCAUCUUAUAUCAUAUAUGAGUCGGCGUCGGCUGAGGUGUGGCCAAGAUAAGAGAGUGGAGGUCAGCGUAGAUUUUGAGGCAGCGGAGAAGGAAAAGGGAGAUGAAGCAAAAAGGAGAAGGGAGAGGAAGAUGAGCCGGAAGCGUAGAGCAACGAAAAAGAGAAAAGAGAGAGAGAGAGAGAGAGAGAGAGAGAGAGAGGAAUAAUGAUAUGUUUGUCAGUUUUCUAAAAAUUUGAAUCGAAUCUGUAAAAUGUAAAAUCAUAGUCUAUUUUUUAUAAAAGCACAAAUUAGUUGAUUUUUUAAGCAAAUCGGUCAUAUAUGUUUGAAGUGGAAUGAAAUGAGUAAAUCAUCUAUGCUUGAAAGAUGAAAUGGUUAUUUUACUUAAAAAAUUAUGUAUUGAUCGCAUUUAAUGAUUAAACCGUAUAGUCGGAUACAAGUAUACAACUACUCGUUACCAAAUAGCAUUUAUGGUUAAGGAGUUCUUAAUUUGUACUUUGUUUUUUCUUUUUAACAUUAGGUAGUGAUAGUGACCGCACUUGCAGGAAUGGCCUUAUUAACGCCUGCAGGAUAGGAUUACCUGUCUGCGUCCUUCAAGCUUAACGCCAAAACGCCCAUAUACGGGUCUGGUCCUAAGCAUGUGGCCACCAUACAUGGUCGAAUCGAUCAUUCGAUGAAAUGACCAAACGCAAGACCUCACUCCGUAUCCGGGACUGCAGGCUGUUCCCAGCCAUCCUCGACCGGAAGAUCACGGGUUUGAUACCACAAUUUUUGUUGUUAGCAGGUCUCACGUUUUUUAUGCUUGCCGCGUUUUAGUCAUAGCUUAGAAUUUGACCAAUUUGUUUUCAAGUUUCCUCUACUAGUUAAAGAAAAAUAAUAAUUUAUCUUUUACCAACAAAGCUAUUCUCUAGCAAGUACCAAAUAGUACAUUAUAAAUACGUACAUUUUUUAAUCAUUUUUUUAUUAGAUCCAUUCAAAUCUCUAGUAGAUAUUUUACGAGGCUGUGUUUUCAGUCUCUAAUUAAAAUAUUUGGCAUUCAAAUUUCAAAAUUCUACUCAAGAGUAUUUUGAUUUUCAGGCUUUUUGAAAUUAUAUUGAUAAAUUUGUGAUAUUACUAUAUCCCCAAUCAGUUGGUAAUUAAAUACAAAUAAUAUUUACAUUUUAUUUGACUUGGUUGCAGGUUGUAUUGUUGUAAAAUAUUCGUGGUGAUUGUUUUGGUCUUUUGUUGCAACUCAAACGCUUUACUAAAAAUUAUAGAGCAAUGCUCCUAUACACUAUAAGAUCUCAGCCUUUAAAUUUUUUAAAAUGGAUGGUGGAUAUGCCUUUUAUUCAAGAGAGUGACCGGCUUUUAUUGCCUUAGGUACCGGUUACCCUCUUACCAGGGGCAAAACAUUUUCUCAUAUGUAAAGUUAGUAUCAAGGGCUUUUUUGUAAAUUCAUAUUCUUAUCCCUAUAAUGCCCCUUUAGUAAAUAUAGAACAUAUCAUUCUCUUUUUAAAAAAUUUCUAUCCACAGCAUCAUCUUCCUUCGAACCCAUUGUCUUUUUUCUAUUUUUUUGUUGAGAGAGAAACCAAUGUCCAGAGGUCAUUGGCGUCACCAGAACUGACGUCACCAGAACUGACGUAUGGUAUAUCAGUACUUUCGGCCCAGAGGUCAUUGGCGUCACCAAAACUGACGUUGUAUUAUUGUAAAAUAUUCGUAGUGAUUGUUUUGGUCUUUUGUUGCAACUCAAACGCUUUACUAAAAAUUAUAGAGCAAUGCUCCUAUACACUAUAAGAUCUCAGCCUUUAAAUUUUUUAAAAUGGAUGGUGGAUAUGCCUUUUAUUCAAGAGAGUGACCGGCUUUUGUUGCCUUACGUACCGGUUACCCUCUUACCGGGGGCAAAACAUUUUCUCAUAUGUAAAGUUAGUAUCAAGGGCUUUUUUGUAAAUUCAUAUUAUCAUUCCUAUAAUGCCCCUUUAGUAAAUAUAGAACAUAUCAUUCUAUUUUUAAAAAAUUUCUAUCCACAGCACCAUCUUCCUUCGAACCCAUUGUCUUUUUUCUAUUUUUUUGUUGAGAGAGAAACCAAUGUCCAUUUUGCUUAAUAGAAACGUUUAGCUUAAAUAGUUAACAAAAUUUAUUUUUUAACUAUAAUAUAAAUUUAAAAUUUAAUUUUAAUCAAUAUUUUUAAAAUUUAAUGUUGUUUUUACUAUCGAAUGAACGAUUUGAAUUUAUUUUAAAAAUAGAAGUCUUUUAUUUAAAUAAAUAAUAAAAGUUGGGUUUAUAAGUACAGCAUACUUUAUAAUUUUAAAUAAGUUAAUAUAUUUGAACUUUCAUGUUAUUUUAAUAUCAAAUUAACAAUUUGAAUUGAAAUGUACUAUUCAUUUAAACAUAAAUUUUUUCUUUCUGAAAAUUAAAAUUAAAUUUGAAUUAAAUGUAUACAAUUAUAAAGUUUAAGCUCAAAUUGAAUUUUAAAUUCAAUUUUAUGAAAGUUUAUUACUUAUCAAAUUAGCCACUACCUUCUUUGGUAAGUAACAAAAUUAAAUAAAGAAACAAAUAUUUGUUUAGGGUUAAUCAAAUUUGGUAAUUAGCUAGUAUUUUUUUUCCAAUAUUAUCCUUAUUAUUGAUCUUGAAUGGUAACCUGUUGAGCAGGUUACUACUAUUUAAAAGUCAACCUCGCUCUUAAAAUAUGAAGGGCUAGAUUUAAUUGAGUCAGUGUAUCGAAGCAUUUCUUAAAAUUAUAUAUUAUUGCUCAUAUAUUAAUAGAGAGAGAGAGAGAGAGAGAGAGUUGAGGUAGAAUACAUCUAAAAGCAUCAACCUUUAAGCUUUCUAGCUCUUAGAUCCACACCUUGACUACUAGUAGCCUUUCGAUCACAUACUAUUCUACCUACCACCAGCUACCACCACUCAAUCUAAGUGAGCUACUAUAUAUCAUCUUAGUCUUACAAUACCUGCAUCCAAGGGCUAUAAAUCUAAAAGCACCAACCUCAUUAGAUGUGUGUGUGCGCGCGCGCGUGUGUGUAUAGUCCGGCUACUAUGCUCUUAUGAGUACGAUUGAUUUCGUACUCAUAAGUUAUUUUCGAUGAUAAAGCUUUCGAAUCGACGAUCCAUACCGUUAAACAUUAUCUAGAGUAUUUAAAACUUCUAGAAAUCAAAUUUUAUAAUUUUUUGAUAUUAUUUACCUUACGAUCAAAAGCUCACACAUUAUUUACUUAUCAAACGGGUUGUCUAAAAAUAAACGCCUGAAAAUAAAAAUCUCAUAAAAAAUGAUAAUAAACGACUUGAAUUUAAGAUCAGAGAUAAGUAUUGAUCUUACUCUAAAUAGUGAAAAGAAUUUUCUAUAAAUUUUUUAUCAGAUUUGGAUUGUUUUACAUCGUUAAAUUCACAAACGCAUCACGUCAAUUGUCAAUUUUGAGACCUUUUGAUCACUAGCCAAAUGAUGUCGAAAAAUUAUGAAAUUUAGUUUCUAAAUACUCUUAAUAGUGCAGAUCAAGUUUAAUGGAGCCAAACAUCGAUUUGGAAGCUGCAUCAUUGAAAACAAUUUGGUAGUAUGAAGGCCUCUAUACUACCGAUAGUAUACCAGCGUAUAUAUAUAUACAUAUGUAUAUAUAUAUACAUAUAUAUGUAUAUAUAUAUACAUAUGUAUGUAUAUAUAUAUACAUACAUAUGUAUAUAUAUAUACAUAUAUAUACAUACAUAUGUAUGUACAUAUAUAUAUAUACAUAUGUAUAUAUAUAUACAUAUGUAUAUAUAUAUAUGUACAUACAUAUGUAUGUAUAUAUAUGUAUAUAUAUAUACAUAUGUAUGUAUAUAUAUAUACAUACAUAUGUAUAUAUAUAUACAUAUAUAUACAUACAUAUGUAUGUACAUAUAUAUAUAUACAUAUGUAUAUAUAUAUACAUAUGUAUAUAUAUAUAUGUACAUACAUAUGUAUGUAUAUAUAUGUAUAUAUAUAUACAUAUGUAUGUAUAUAUAUAUACAUACAUAUGUAUAUAUAUAUACAUAUAUAUACAUACAUAUGUAUGUACAUAUAUAUAUAUACAUAUGUAUAUAUAUAUACAUAUGUAUAUAUAUAUAUGUACAUACAUAUGUAUGUAUAUAUAUGUAUAUAUAUAUACAUAUGUAUGUAUAUAUAUAUACAUACAUAUGUAUAUAUAUAUACAUAUGUAUAUAUAUAUACCAUAUGAAUUAGGCUGGAAUACUAUUAAUAGUAAAACGCUCUUUUUGCUAUUAAGUUUUUAACCCUUGGAUGAAAAAUUGUAGGGUCGGGAUGAUAUUACUCGGUUAGAGUUGAGUGCUCCCCCUAGGGUUGAGUGGUCCCCACUGGGUUAUAGUAUUUAAUCCAAUAUUUAGAAAUAAUGAAAAGAGUUUAUCUAAAGGCUAAAAAACUGGUAGCAACAAUGGGAUUUGGCUACUAAUAGUAGCCCAGUCCAACUCUAUAUAUAUAUACAUAUGUAUAUAUAUAUAUAUAUAUAUAUAUAGAGAGAGAGAGAGAGAGAGAGAGAGAGAGUUGAGCUAGAAUACUCUCAAAAGUACCAAGGGGGUGGUGCUUUUAAGUUUUUAACCAUUGGAUGGAGAGAUGUAGAGUUGACAUGUUGGUAGUAGGUGGUGGUAGGUGGUGGUAGGUGGAAUAAUGUUUGAUCCAAGGGGUAUUAGUAAUUAAGGAGUAGAUCCAAGGGCUAGAAACUUAGAAGCACCAAGGAGUUGGUGCUUCUAAAAGUAUUCUAGCUCAAUUCUAUAUAUAUAUAUAUAUAUAUAUAUAUAUAUAUAUAUAUAUAUAAAAUUGAACUUCUGUGUUUUUAAGAGCACGAAGUUGUUGGUGCUUCUGAGUUUUCGGUCUUUGGAUGAAAAUUUGUAGAGUUAGGAUAAUAGUGGUCCUCUAGAAUUUGGUAGAUGGUUGAUAAAAUAGUAUGAUCUAAGAGGUAGAAUUGAUCAAAGGAGUAGAUCUAGCGGUGAAAAACUUGCAAGUACCAAGUGUUUAGUACUUUUAAUAGCAUCAUAACCAGGCUCUCUCUCUAUAGAGAGAGAGAGAGAGAGAGAGUAGAGCUCCUAUGAUUUUAAAACUAUUGAAGCUUAUUGUACUUAUGAUUUUUUAGCUAUUAGAUCGCCUCAAGAUCCAUGCAGUACUAAUAAAAAAGACUUAAUGGGACACAAUAUUAAUAGUGUUGCAUGGAUCUUGAGGCCAUCCAAUAAUUAAAAAAUCACAAGCAUUAAUGCUCUUGUGUUUUAAAAGCAUAGGAGCUCAACACUCUCUCUCAUAUAUAUAUAUAAUAGAGCUAUUAUGCUUCCGAAAGUAUAAAGGAGUUGGUGCAUUCAACUUUUUGGCCCUUGGAUUAAGGCUUAGUUUGGUAUUGACGUCCAUCUGACGCUAUUAGAUAAAAUGGAGUUGAGGUUAAAGUAUAUAGGGAUAUGCUUCUGUGUUCUCCGGUGGGACAACAGAAAAUAUCUCGUAACUGACUCAUCGCGAUAUACGAAACCAAAUAUUACAUACAAAAAUAAAUAGAGUAUUUUCGCAUCCUACUUUCUCACCGUAUGUAACGCAAUCUUCUCGCAAUCUCAAACGAAGCCUAAGAAUUGUAGGGUUAUGAUGAUUGUGGUAACCCUCGGAUUUAGUGGCUUCCUAGGGUUUAGGGGUCCCCCUAGGGGAAUAGUAUUUAUCCAAGGGUUAGAAAUGGUUCAAGGGUUUAAUCAAAGGGCUAACAAUUGGAAGCACCGCAUGAGUGGUGCUUCUCGAAGCACCAUACUCCGACUCUAUCUCUUUAUACAGAGAGAAAGAGAGAGUUGAGCUUUUUUUCUUUUAAAAGCAUAGGAGCUCAAUGUACUUAUGAUUUGUUUAGCCGUCGAAUUGUUUUAAGAUCCAUACAAUACUAAUAAAGAAGACCUAUGGAAGACAACGUUAAUAGUGCUGCACGGAUCUUAAGGCGAUUCGAUGGUUGAAAAGUCAUAAGCAUAUAAACACUCUUGUGUUUAAAAGAAUAGGAGCUCAACUCUCUCUCUCUCUCUCUCUUUACAUAUAUAUAUAUAUAUAGAGUCCGGCUACUAUACUAUCGGUAGCACGGAACGCUCCGUGCUACCAAGUUGUUUUCGAUGAUGCGGCUUCCAAAUCGACGAUCGGCUCCGUUAGACUUGAUCUACACUAUUGAAAGUAUUUGNNNNNNNNNNNNNNNNNNNNNNNNNAGAGAGAGAGAGAGAGAGAGAGAGAGAGAGAGAGUGUGUCUACUAUACUUUCGAAAGUACCGGGGCCUCCGUGCUUGUAAGUUGUUUUCGAUGAUAGGACAUCCGACUCGACGAUCGGUUCCGUUAGGUAUAAUCUACCCUAUUGGAAAUAUGUAGAAACCAAAUUUUAUAAUUUUUUGACAUCAUGUACUAAGCGAUCAAAAGGUCCCAAAAAUGACUAUUUUAAUGGCCGAUGUGGCAUGUUUUUAAGUUUAACGGUGUAGAAGUAUCCAAAUUAUAUGAAAAUUUAACAGAAAAUUCUACUUAACGUCAAUAGCAAGAUCAAUACUUCCGAUUUGAAAUUUGAGUCCUUUAUCAUUAUUUUUUAUGAAAUUUUUAUUCUCAGCCGUUCAUUUCGAGGCUACUCGUUCACUACGCAAACGAAGUCAAAAAAUUAUGAAAUUUGGUUUCUAAAUAGUUCCAAUAGCAUAGAUCAUGUCUAACGGAACCAAUCACCGAAUCAGACAUCCCAUCAUCGAAAACAACUUACAAGUACGAAGGACCCUGUACUUUCGAAAGCAUAGGAGCCUAGCUCUAUAUAUAUAUAUAUCACUAUAUAUAUAUAGUGGUACUUCCGAAAGCACCAUAAUUUUAAUGGUUGAUGUGGCUUUCAAAUCGACGAUCGGCUCCGUUAGAUUUGAUCUACAUUAUUGAAAGUAUUUGAAAACUAAAUUUCAUAAUUUCGACAUCAUUUACCUAUCAAAUGAGUAGUCUAAAAAUUAACAGUUGAAAAUAAAAAUCUCAUAAAAAAUAAUGAUAAAAGACUUGAAUUUAAGAUCAGAGAUACUAAUCUUACUCUAAAUAGUAAAAAAAAAAGUUUUAUAAAAAUUUUAUCAGAUUUGGUUUGUUUUACACCGUUAAAUUCACAAAUGCAUCACAUCAACCAUUAAAAUUAUUAAUUUUGAGACCUUUUAAUCACUAGCUAAAUGAUGUCAAAAAAUUAUAAAAUUUCGUUUUCAAAUACUUUUAAUAGUGUAGAUCAAGUCUAACGGAACUGAUCGUCGAUUUAGAAGCCACAUCAUUGGAAAAUAAUUUAAUAGCACGGAGGCCCGGUAGAAGUUGCGCCAAACAAAUUCAUUGUAAUUGCAAUGUGAAAAGGGCCAUUUAAUAUAAUAUAAUAAAAUAUAUAAUAUAGGCCAAUUUGCAUAAAAAAUCUACUAAUUUUGGGCUUUUGCAAAACUGGACCGCUUUUUUUGAUUUUGCAGAUUCGGUCCGAAUUUUCAACAAACUGACCAAAUACCCUUAUUAUUUUUUCUCUCUCCUCUUUCUCUCUCCUCUUUGUUUCACUCGUUCUUUUUUUGUUCUCUCGCCGAAAAAAGUAGCAAAAGCAGAGGCGGAGGCGGAAACGGUCCGCCUCGCCUCUCACCCUCAUGCUCUCGCCCUCGCCCUUGCCCUCGCCCACGCACCCCCCACCUUCCUUGNGAAUCACUUCCCAACGGUAUGUUCCGGGUCCGUUUAGAUAAUGAAGAUCUAAUUCUAGGAUAUGUUUCAGGGAGGAUCCGGCGCAGUUUUAUACGGAUACUACCGGGAGAUAGAGUAAAAAUUGAAGUAAGUCGUUAUGAUUCAACCAGGGGACGUAUAAUUUAUCGACUUCGCAACAAAGAUUCGAACGAUUAGGUUAUUUUUUUAACCAUGGGUAUACAAUUCGAAGUUAAAAAAAAAAAAUUCAAGAGACUUAUUCUCUUCCAAGAAGUAAAUCACCUUUUGUCGUUUUUGCAUAUUCGGUCCGAAUUUUCAGCAAACUAACCAAAAUAUUCUUAUUACUUUUUUUCUCUCUUCUUCCUCUCUCCUCUUUUUUUUUUUCUCGUUCUUUUUUUCUUUUUCUUCCCAGAGAGCGGCGGAGGCAAAGGCGGAGGAGGCCGCGCCCCGACUUUCUUUUUUUUUUGCUUUUUUCUUUUCUUUUCUUCUCCAACUCUCCUCCACCAUCUCCAACGACGAUGCCUCUCUCGCCCUUCCCCGCCCUUCUCGUCCUCUCCCUCUCCCUCCUCCUCUACCGCCUUCGACGACGAUGCAUUUUCGCCGGAGCCGACGCUGACACCGUGGAGGUCACUGCGGCGCUGCAGCCUCGGAGCGGGGGGUCCUUAGCUGCGGCGUCGCCGGCGCCGUGGCUGUUGGCAGAGAGGGUGACCAAAAAAAAUUAUAGAAGAAAUAGAAAAAAAAAAUAAAGAUAAAAAAUUAUAUAAAAAGAAGGAUGAAGAUGAAAUUGCAUCGUUAAUUACAAAAAAAAUUAUAAGUUGCACUACUUAAAAAAUAAUACAACAAGAGAAAAAAUAGUGCACCAUUUGAGAUAUAAACUGCACCUCUUUAAGAGAUAUUUAUACUGUUUCUCCUUUUAUUGUACUGUUUCUCCUCUUGUUGCACUAUUUUUUCUCUUGUUGUAUUAUUUUUUCUCUUAAACUGUGCAAUUUAAGAGGAGAAACAGUGUAACAAGAGAAAAAAUAAUGCAACAAGAGGAGAAACAGUGCAACAAGAGGAGAAACAGUAUAAAUAUCUCUUAAAUGUGUGCAGUUUACAUCUCAAAUGGUACAAGAAGAAAAAAAAUAAUGUAAAUAUCUCUCAUAAAGUGCAACUUUCGUUUAAAGAGUAUAACUUUCAUCUUAAUGCAUGCAGGUUAUAACUAAAAGAGUACAAUAAGAUGAGAAAUAGUGUAAAUAUCUCCCAAAGAAUGUAAUUUUCGUUUAAAAAGUGUAAUUUUCAUCUUAAAACUGUAGUUUACAUCUUAAGUAGUGCAACUUAUAAUUUUUUUUGCAGUUAACGAUACAAUUUCAUCUCUAUCCUUCUUUUUCUAUAAAUUUUUAUCUUUAUUUUUUUUUCUUACUUAUUCUAUAAUUUUUUUUUGUCACCCCUCCCUGCCAUCGGCCACGGUGCAGGCGACGACGCCACUAAGGACCCCCCGCUCCAAGGCUGCAGCGCCGCAGUGAUCUCCACGGUGUCGAGGUCGGCGCCGGCGAAGAUGCGUCAUCGUCCAAGACGGUGGAGGAGAGUCGGAGAGGAAAAGAAAAAAAAAAGUCGCGGCGCGGCCUCGGCGGAGUCGUUGGCAAGGAAGGUGGGGGUGUGCGGACGAGGGUAAUGAUGCGUAGGACAAAAUCGUAAUAGGCCACCUCCGCUUCCGCCUCCGCCUCUUGUCUCCGCCGCUCUCUGGGAAGAGAGAGAAAAAAAAGAACGAGAGAAAAAAAAAAGGAGAGAGGAAAAUGUAUAAGGGUAUUUUGAUCAGUUUGCUUAAAAAACGGACCGAAUCUGCAAAAACGAAAAAGGUGGCCCGCUUUUAUAAAAAUCCAAAAUAAGUAAAUUUUUUAUGCAAAUUGAACAAAAAUUAUAAUAAUUAUAUUAUUUUGGAACAGAAUAAUUUAAUGUAGAUAACUCCGAGUCUCCGACGACCUCACUGGCCAUUGCAAACUUCAGGAGCCCACUAUUAAUGAUUGAGGGAACUCAUGAUUACUUUACUCACAUUUCAAACAGGAGGGCGAACUCAAAUAAUAAUAAUAAUAAUAAUAUAAAAAAUAAUAAUAAUAAUGAUAUUAAUAAAUUUUCUCGACUUGUACGAAUUCUUGGGGAGAUCAGGUGCCAUGUAUAUAAAGUUAACUACUGAUCAUUUUCCACGUGCGUAGCUAUGGCAAAGAAUCGGGUCCAACCACUCCCACUCCCAUUUAUUUUUAUUUUGACAACUGAUUUGACCCAUCGAAACUGGUUGGACCGUGUGAACUUGUGCACGGGAUGGUCUGAACGUAUUGGUUUUUUUGUUUUUGUUUGUUUUUUUUAACUAAUUUGAUGAAUUGCAUGUUCUUAUUAGGGAAAUAUAGUUGUACAUAAGCACGUAUGAAGAAUUUGAAGUUAAAUCUCCUAAAUCAGAAUGAAAGGCAUUAAGAAUAACAGUCCCAUUAAUUUCCAAUACAUAUAUAAUAUGAUGGGUGUUUCCAUCUAAAUAGUUUAAGCUUUUAGAUAUGUACCUUUUAACAUGAUAUUAAAACUUAAUUAGUUCAGACCCUCUAGUUCGCGGACGCGGCUUAAUUAGUACCCACGCUCUAGUUCCGUCUAACAUGUAAAGUUAUUAAUUUGUGCCGUAUUAAUUCUAGUCGUGCCUAAUAUAUAGAUUGAGUUUGUGUUGCGUAUAAAUUAGUUGCUUUGUUAAUCUGUGUCACAUGCUAAUUGAAACUAUAAUAUGUGGCUUGAGUUUGUGCUACAUAUUAGGGUUUUUUCCUACUGUAUAUAAUAUGGAGCUUAUAUAUGUACGUAGGAAUUUACUACAAGCAUGGCUGUACGUAGAUCGAGAAUCGGCUCCAAAAACACCUGACUAUAUAUAUAUAUAUAUAUUUGAGAGAGAGGUAGCACGCUAUCCGCUUCAUUUAUUUUAUUUAAAAAUAAACUUAGCUAGAAAUAUAAAUCAAUUAGAAUUCGAACUUAGGUCUCGGGUACUAACCACCAAGUGCUUUGCCACUUGCUCUAGGAACGAUCGGUGACCAUAUAUAUAUAUAUAUAUAUAUAUAUAUAUAUAUAUAUAUAUAUAUAUAUAUAUAUAUAUAUAUAUAAAAAAGGAUACUACAUUAUAGCUAAGUUUAUUUUUUCUCUAUGGAUGGAGCGGAUAGUACAGUACCUUUUUAUCAAUCAAGAAAAAAGAAAAGUUGUUUGGAAAAAUAAAAAGAUGAUCAAUAAUGCAAUUCACAUGUACGUACACUUUUUUAUUUUCUUGUUUAUAACCACAUGACUAUUCCUACCAAAAGGACUAAACGAUGUAAUCAUAGAGCCGCCCCUUAAUAACUACAAAACUUAAGUCUCCUUGGGCUCUAUUGCUGUUUUUUUUUAACAUACAAUUUCUAUAUGAAAUGGUGUAGAUUCUAAAUAAAAUAGUAUAAAUAAAAAUAAUAAAUUACUUACAAUUCUUAUAUUUUAACGUAUUUAUUUCAAAAUAAAAAAUAAAUAUUUAGAAUGCAAUAUCUUUUUGCUUCUAAAGCUUUUUGUUAAAAAAAAUCAUCAUCCGUCACUAAAUCAGAAUGCAUUGCAAACUCACUAACGACGACAACAAAUGGAUAUUUCAAAUUAUAAAUAUUAGUGUUUGAAAAAAACAUAAUGAAAGAAUUUUUUCACAUUAAUCCCAACACAUAUAUCAAUUAUUUUACAUAAAUUAUUGCCUACACAUAUUCAUUAAUUAUUUUUUCCAUCGCAUAUUUCAAUCCUACCUCCAUCAGUUACAACUUUUUUUAAAAUAAAAAAAAAUAGAUCUUUAAAUUGAAAGUAUGAGAUGGUAAAAUAAUGAUAAACUCGUAUGCACGAACGAAAAAAAUAAACUAUAUAAGUGCCAGCAAUAAUCNAUAUAUAUGAUAGAAUUGAGCUAGAAUACUCUCAAAAAGCACCAUGAAGGUGGUGCUUUUGAAUAUUUAGCCAUUGGAUGGAGAGAUGUGAGGUUGAGAUGAUCGUGGUAGGUGGUGGUAGGUGGAAUAGUGUUUGAUUCAAAGGCUAUUAGUAAUCAAGGAGUAGAUCUAAGGGCUAGAAACUUAGAAGCACCAAAGAGUUGAUGCUUCUAAAAGUAUUCUACCUCAAUUCUAUAUGAUAUGAAUGAUUUUAACUAGUUCAUAUAACCAAUUUAAGAAAUAAGAAUAAAUUAAGCAAUAGUACAUCAGCAAUUCAUAUAUUGGGGGACCCAAAGCAUGCAUCUCCCUUUGAAAAUUAUCACCCUCCCAUUCUUGCUGACCUAUAAAUAUGCCUUACAUGCUGGCUCUCUCCAUGACCAAGUACUCCACUCUCUAGUAGCCGUAAAAACCAGUGCAUCUUUAGUUCAUCUGUCUUCUUCUUCUUCCAGUACUCCCUUUGAAAAACACAUAGAGAUCUUGCAAAUGGACACAGCCAAAUUAAACCACAACAACAACAACAAUAUUCACGCCAUCACUCUCGAACCAUGUAAUUGCCUGGUGGCCACCGCUGCUUUAAUGCCGUUGAUGAGCUUCUUGAAGAAGCUGAAGAAGCUGGCGGAGGACGACCCGCGGCGGGUGAUCCACUCCAUCAAAGUGGGGUUGGGUCUCUCCCUCGUUUCCGUCUUCUACUACGUUACUCCGCUGUUCAAGAGCACCUUCAAAGACUGCACCAUGUGGGCCGUCAUCACCGUCGUCCUCGUCAUGGAGUUCACCGUUGGUACGCAGUCAAUAUUACUUUUUUUUUUUUCUCCUUUUGGUUGGAGCUAAAAAAAUGUAUAAAAAUCAAGAAUUGUCCCUGUGAUAUAUAGUUUUUCACCAUUAAACAGGGUAGUAUAUAUAGUGAUAGUUAUUCGAAAUCAUUGGGCGGUUCAAUAUUACUUUUGAAAACUUUAAAUUGUGUAUUCUAUACGGAGGAGCCUAAUGAAGUUAAUUUAUUUUUUUUAAUCAACUAAUUAACUCUUCACGGUAUGGUAUUUUGGUAGCUGAGAAUUAUGAGUUAUUAAAUUAAUUAAACGCGUAAAUAUGAUUCUUUUUUCUUUUUUCUCUUUUUUAUUUUGGGUUAAUUUUUUUUUGUUUUUAGGGGGAGCUCUAACAAAAGGAUUGAACCGAGCAUUGGCCACGUUCCUCGCGUCCGUAAUGGGCGUUGGAGCUCAUCAUUUGGCCGUCAUUUUUGGAGAGAAGGGCGAGCCAUUUAUUCUCGGAUCUCUAGUUUUCAUCAUAGGUACAAAAUAUUUGUUAUCAUGCACGUAGAAUGUUAAUUUUAAUGCCAUAUUUAAAGCAUGCAUAUUUUUUCAAUACAUAUUCUUCGUAAGAAACGAAAUACGUCACCAUGCAUACGCACGCAUGCAUUUCAUGCACGUCUCUUUCUAAGAAACCAAUGCGAUCAUUAAUUACAUAUAUCCGUGUUUGCGUCCCUUUCAACUCAUAUUCCUAAUCCAAUCAUGCAUCGAUCUAACAAUAAAUUAAAAAAAUAAUAAUGUAUAAAGAUUUAUAACAAUUAGAUCCCCAAACUUAAUUUAUCAAAUAGUUGAAUAGGUGGCUCUGCUCAAGUAGAGUUAUUAAUUGAUCAAUCAUAUUAUAUAGUGGCAUCUCUUGUAUGUAAUUUUGUAUAACUUUAAAUUGCAAAUAAAUGUUUUUUCUUUCUCUAUCUUCUAAUUUUGAUAGCCGUGCAUCACGGUCGUAGAAAUGGAGUGAAUCGAUCUUCAGUUUUGACUAUUUCUUUUCAUCUGUUAAAAUACAAGGGAUGAACUCUUUUUUUGUAUUUUGCAGUAUAAGCAAUUAAAAUGACUGUACAAUUAGUAAUUAAAUUUGACGGAAGACAGAUGUUCAUUUAUCUAUGCAACAAAGUUUAGAAAGUUAGUCGACAAAACUAAAAGUUCAAACACCUGCUUAACGGAAGUACAAGAAUGAAAUAUUUUGCGUGAGAGUUGAUUUAUCUUAUUCCAAAAAAAAAAAAUGAUCAUUUGAAUGUCGGGUGUGGUCUAUUUGUCAUUCUAGAGUUCUAAUGAAUGAAAUAUUUAUAUAGCUAAAUUAUUUUCUUCUGUUUUCUUUUUUUUUUUUGGUGUGUAUAGCUGUAGCUGCCACUUUCCUUCGAUUCGUACCGGAGUUGCGGACCCGAUACGACUAUGGAGUGCUGAUAUUCAUCCUGACUUUUUGCUUGGUUGCGGUAUCGAGCUACCGCCAAGAGAAUCUCCUGUUGCUGGCAUGCCGGCGGUCGCUGACGAUUGUGACCGGCGUUCUAGUCGCGCUCGUCACCUCCAUCCUGCUGUUUCCGGUUUGGGCCGGGGAGGAUCUGCACAAGAUGACUGCUUAUAAUUUGCAAAAACUAGCGGCAUUCCUCGAAGGUAUGUUAAAAAGCGAUUAAGUUGCGAACGUUAUAUUGCAAAGUAAAUUGAACCGUAUGAGUAAGUGAAUUUAGAACUAAUAAAGAAGUAAAUAUUAGGGAUAAAAAAAACUGAUUUUUAAACUAUCAUGCACAAAAGUGUGUAUAUAUAUAUAUAUAUAUAUAAGAAUUCGGAGAGCAAAUUCGUAGAUCAAGUGAAAAAUAUAGAGAUGGAGAUGCCGUAUUAAUUGGAAUAAUAUAUAUGAGGCGCUUUACCUAUACAAAGUACCAUUAUGUACUAAAGGAGAAAUGUUAAGUUACUAAAAAAUUGUUGACUAAGAUUGAUAAAGUGGAAAAGGAUGCAUGGGAGUAGUUGGCCAAUGACCUUUCAUGUCUCGUUAUUAAUUAGAAUAUAUAUUCAGUUAAGAGAGAAUCUGUGAAUGGUGCCAUGUUUUUGUAUUUAGCACGCUAUACACCUUUUUCAUCUACUUGGCCUUAUUAGGAAAGGUAUCAAUAGGAAAUUGGAACAUCAAUAGAAUAAUGAUAUUACGAUUGGGGACCAUUUUUCAUUCUACUUGGCUUUCCACCUCACUUUCUCUCCAAUGCUGUAUUACCACUAGCCAAAAUAUAUAUUUGUAUAUUUUUAAAGUUGGUAGCUAGGAAUAUAAUAUAUAUAUAUAUAUAUAUAGAGAGAGAGAGAGAGAGAGAGAGAAAGAGAGAGAGAGAAAAGCUACUCUAAUGAGUAUAGAUCUCCUCGUACUUUUGGUUUCCAUGUUUGAGACCCUAAACUUUCAAUAGAAUUUCCUUUUAGCCCCUCCUAAACUUUCAGUAAUGUUGUUUGAUCGCAGUUUUUAUCUUAGAAUAAAAAUUAUUGUUCGCACCUAGUUUAUCGCAUGUUCACAUACUACAAAUUAAUUAUACGUUGAUUCUUCAUCCAAAUGAUAUUUCAAUUUGACUUAAUAGUAGGAUUGAAGUACAUAAUGGGAUAAAAUCAACAACCUAAUGCAUAGUAAAUGAAUAAGCAAAUGAACAUUUUCUAUUGAGAUUAAUGGUCUAUUCUCAACAGAAAAUAUGCAUAGGGACCGAAAUGAAACUCCUUUAAAAUUGAAAAUUUAGGGACCAAAAUGAAUACUGUGAAUGUUCAGGGACUAGUGGUGCAAUUUAGCCAAAAGUAAUCAACAGGUUGUAAUUUUGUGAUUGUUUUUGUAGGAUUGGGAACUGAGUACUUCGCAGAGAAAGAUGAGAAUGGGAACUCAGGGAGAACCCGCCCCUCCGAAGCCUACAAGAGUGUGCUCAACUCCAAAUCCUCUGAGGACUCUCUGGUUAGUACAUAUAUGCACUCUCCUUUAGAUCAAACAUAUGGAGUAGGACUUAUAUUCUACUAAGAGGACGGAGGCCUUCUUGCUCUUAAAGCUUUUCAAAUGAUUAAACUUUCGAAUCGACGAUCAGCUCCGUUAGAUUUGACGUUGCGCAUUUGAAGUAUUUAGAAAUUAAAUUUGGCGAUUUUUUGAUACUGUUUAUCUAAUGAUUGAAUGUAUUCAAAUUAGAUGAGAUGUUCAUAGAAAAUUCUUUAUACUAUAUAGCAAGAAUAAUAUUUCUGUUCGAAAAUUUUAAUGUUAUAUCAUAGUUUUUUGUGAAACUUUUAUUUUCAACCAUUGAUUUUAAGUACUUUCGAUCACAUGAUAAAUAAUAUCGAAAAACUAUAAAAUUUAUUUUCCAGAUAUUUCAAAUACGCUAAAUUUAGUUUAGCAGAGUCGAUUGUUAAUUCAAAAGUUUCAUUGUCGAAAACCGCUUAGAAGCACAGAGGCCUUCAUAUAUGCUCCUAAUAGCACACAAAUCCUACUAUAUAUAUAUAUAUAUAUAUAUAAAAGAAAAGAGAAUUUCAUAUCAAUAUUAAUUUAGUAAAACUAUUGUUGUUGUUGUUGUUGUUGUUGUUGUUGUUGUUUAAUUAUUUAUAAAAUUAAUGAUGCAGAUUAACAAUGCAAGGUGGGAGCCUGUUCAUGGUAGAUUCAGGUUCAAGCACCCAUGGAAGGAGUACACAGAAAUUGGUGCUCUGAGUCGCCAAUGUGCUUACACUAUGCAUGUGCUUCAUGCACACAUCAACAAGGCUGAGUCUCAGGUAUUGUUAUUAUUAUACUCAUAAUCCUUCAACUUUUUUUCAUGGUUAAUUAAUCAACAUAUAUAGUUAUAUUGAAUUAUUAGCACGGGUGUAAACCUAGUUUUGUAUCAAGUUUCAAUAAUAAUUUUUAUGACUAAUUAAUGAGUUUUAUUAGAUAUGAUAAUGGCAAUUUCACAUACUUAUUACGUUGGCCGUGACAUAAAUAUGUUGCAUUAAUUUACGGACACCAUUUGGCCUGGAACUCUGUCGGAGAAUCCACAGUCUCAACCCAAUUAUCCUCAACAAUCUUACACUCCAAAUCAACAACCAUACAUUCCGAAGUCCGGCAUACAAUGUCAGAUAUGUGGAAAGUUCAAUCAUUCUGCUCUUCAGUGCAGACAACGCUUCAAUCAUUCUUUCGCUGCUGAUGAAGUUCCUCAGACCUUUGCUGCUAUGAACCUUCACGAACCCGGUGAGGAAGUCUGGUAUCCGGAUACCGGAGCAUCAAAUCAUAUAACCGCAAACUCUGGUAUUCUCUCAUCUUCUAAACCUUAUAGUGGGCAUGAAAAAAUUCUUGUUGGUAAUGGAAAUUUACUUGAUAUUACUCAGACAGGUGAAACUCAAUUGAAUACAUCUUCUAACUCUUUUGCUCUAAAAAAUGUUCUUGUUGUUCCUACUAUUAAGAGAAAUUUACUUUCAGUGCGUAAAUUCUGUCAAGAUAAUAAUUCUCUUUUUGAAUUUGACUCUACUGGUUUCUCUGUGAAGGACAAGGAAACAGGGAAGGAGCUUCUUCGAUGUCCUAGCUCGGGAACAUCACUUUAUCCAAUUUCUUCUAGACUUGCAAGUGUAGGGAAUAAGCAACAACUAGCUCUUAUUGCAUCUAGAUUUAGUGGAGAUGUCUGGCAUAGACGGUUAGGUCAUCCUAGUCUUCCUGUUCUUUCUACAUUUAUUAAAAAUAAUAAAAUUGUUUCUGAUUCUGCACUGAAAUUAUCUGUCUGCAAUGCUUGUAAUAUGGGAAAACAUGUUAAACUCUCAUUUCAUGAUUCAGAAUCUCAAUCUGCUUUUCCUUUUCAUAUUGUUCAUUCUGAUGUUUGGCAAUCACCUGUGCCCUCGGUUUCUGGAUACAAAUAUUAUGUUAUUUUUAUCGACGAUUAUUCUAGAUUUUUCUGGCUUUAUCUUUUAAAAUUUAAACAUGAAGUUUUUGACAAAUUUUUCGAGUUCAAGAAGAUGGUUGAAUAUAUAUUUCACAGCUCAAUAAAAAUUUUUCAAUCUGACAAUGAUACGGAAUUUGUAAAUGACAAGUUUUCUAGUUUUUGCUCACAAAAUGGAAUUAUUCACCGAUUUUCUUGUCCUUACACUCCUCAACAAAAUGGCCUUGCUGAGAGAAAACAUAGGCAUUUAUCUAACAUUGUUAGAAGUCUACUGUUCCAAGCUGGCUUGCCUCCUCGUUUUUGGGCUGAGGCCAUUCAAACUGCUGUUUUUCUUGUAAAUCGACUUCCGUCUCUUACUGUUUUAAAUGGGCGGUCACCAUAUGACAUUCUCCAUGGUUGUGCUUCUCCUGACUUGCAACUUAUCAGAGUCUUUGGAUGUUUGUGUUAUUCCGAUGUUCAGGACAUUGCAGAUCACAAGCUCUUUCCCUGAUCACUUCCUUGUGUUUUCUUGGGUCUUUCUGACAAACAUAAGGCUUUCGCUGCCUCUAUCCAAGCACUGGUAAAGUUUUUAUUUCUCGCCAUGUUACUUUUGUUGAAACUGUUUUUUCUUAUUCUUGUCUGUCCAAAUUUUCUUCCUCAUCUUUCCCCACUACCUCAAAUUUUCAAAUGUUUCAACAUUUUCUUUCUAAUCCUCCCUUAUUAGGCGAAAGUCCUUCCUCUCUUGAUGCCAUAUCUGGUUUUUCCUUCACACGCCUUUCUCCGGAUGUUGGUUCAAAUGCAUCUGUUUCACCAUCUGAGACUGUAUCGAUUUUUUCUUUCACCUUGAAUCAUGAUGCCACACAGGUUAGUGAUGAACAUGCUGCCACUGUUGCUAGUCCACUUGAACUCCGAGUUUAUACGAGACGACACACCCUCCGACCUACUGCUACUACAGCUUCACCUUCUCCUAUUGAGAUGACGCCUUCCACAUCGGACAGGCCACCUUCACCUCAGCCUGCUGAGCCUUCCUUACCAUUCCGGACACACUCUAUGCUUACUCGAUCUAUGGCUAAGAAUUUUGUUGGGUCUACCUCCUUCCUAGUUUCUACACAUACUACUCUUCCUACUGAGCCUACCACUUUUCAUGAAGCUUUUCAGGAUGCAGGUUGGCGUGCUGCCAUGGCUGAAGAAUUUGAUGCAUUACUCACCAAUGAUACUUGGGAGCUUAUUCCUGCUCCUCCUUCUGUCAAUCUUGUUGGCUGUAAAUGGGUCUACAAAAUCAAAUAGAAGGCGGAUGGCUCUCUUGAGCGUCUCAAAGCUCGACUAGUGGCUCAGGAUUACAAACAACAACAAAGCAUUGAUUUUGAUGAGACUUUUUCUCAGGUUGUCAAGUCGACCACUAUUCGUACUGUUCUUUCAGUCGCUCUCUCCUCUGGAUGGUCUCUCCGACAACUUGAUGUGAAGAAUGCCUUUCUUUAUGGCACUCUCUCUGAGGAGGUUUAUAUGAAACAACCACCUGGCUUCGUGCAUUCUUCGCUUCCUAGUCACGUUUGCCGCCUACGUAAAGCGAUAUAUGGUCUCAAACAAGCUCCUCGGCCUUGGUUUCAGCACUUCACUUCUUUUCUUUCUGAGAUUGGUUUUGUUGGCAGCACUGCUGAUCCCUCAAUAUUUGUUUGUCAUUCUUCCUCUGGCACUCUUGUUCUCGAUGCUCUUAUCGUUACUUUACAAUGCGAAUUUGCCAUGAAGGAUCUCGGACCGCUGCAUUAUUUUUUGGGUAUUGAGGUUCAUCGCUCUCCCUCUGGUCUUCAUCUAUCUGAACAAAAAUAUGCACAUCAAUUGCUUCAGCGACAUGGUUUUCUUGACAGUAAGCCAGUUUCUACUCCGCUUUCGCCAACAUCUCGUCUAUCUUCCCAUGAAGGGCAUCUUCUUGAGGAUCCAUAUACUUAUCGUCAGAUCAUUGGUGCUCUCCAGUAUCUCACUUUCACCAGAUCGGACGUUUCAUAUGCCGUCAACUCUGUUGCCUAGUAUCUUUAUGCACCUCGUGAACCACACAUGCAAGCGGUCAAACGUAUUCUGUGUUAUAUUCGGGGGACGCUGACUUAUGGCCUUCCUAUCUCUCGCUGCGACAAUCCUUCUCUUGUGGCCUUCGCUGAUGCUGAUUGGGCUGGUUGCCCGGAUACACGUCGCUCUACUUCUGGAUAUUGCAUUUUUCUUGAGCCAAAUCUUAUCUCCUGGUCCGCUAGGAAACAACCCACCAUUUCUUGUUCUAGUUCUGAACCAGAGUAUCGUGCUGUAGCCUACACACUUGCUGAGACAGUCUGGAUUCGUCGUCUCCUUCGUGACCUUCGUGUUUUUUCUUAUGGCGCUCUAUCAGUAUUUAUUCCGAUAAUCUCAGCACCACCUACCUUGCGGCCAAUCCUGUUCUCCAUGCUCGCACGAAGCAUAUUGAGCUUGAUCAUCAAUUUUUGCGGGAAUAGUUCAGUCUGGUGAUUUGGCCAUAAUUCAUAUCCCUUCUGACAAGCAACUUGCCGACAUUUUCACCAAGCCCCUGUCAUCCUCUCGGUUUUCGAUAUUGCGGCUCAAUCUUCGCAUGCGACCACCGGAUGCUUAGCUUGCGGGGGGAUGUUACGAUAUAUUUUAUCUAUAUUAGGAUGUUACGAUAUAUUUUAUAUAGAGUAGUAUCAUUGCCUUCUAUAGAGUAGGAUUAUAUAGUAUGUAAUCCUAGUUAUACUCUUACUAUAGUAGUCAUUGUUACUAUAGUAAGACAAUCUCUUGUACUAUAUAUAUUCGUUAAUACAACUCAAGAGGGCAUGUUUUUUAGCCCUUCUUUCAAAAGGGAAUUACCAUAUAAAAUCAUCUCAUUUCGAUCGGUACAUACGUUUCAGUUUUAUUUAAUAAGUAGUUCGGUGCGGUUUGGUUUUAGAAAUUGAAAAACAAAAGAACUGAAUAAAUCGAACUGAUUGAAUUCUUUAUUGAGUUAAUAUCUAUUAAACUCUAUUAAUCCCCGUUUCUUUUGCCACGUGUCAUGUUUAUCUUAAUCCACGCUAAUUCAAUUCAUGUCAUCAAGCCACCUCAGAUCCAUUUGUUCAUUCGCCCCGGCCGCUUCGAUCGAUCCCUCGCCUCUUCGAUCCCUUCUCCAUUCCCGCCACUUCAAUCCCUGCCCCGCCGCUUCGGUCCCUCCCCCACUCCCGCCACUGCGAUCUCUACCCCGCCUCCACCCCGCCUCCUCUUCGAUCCCUCCUCUGCCUCUUCCAUCUCUCUCUACGCUUCAUCAUCUCCUUCCUCAAAACCCUAAUAAUCAGAGAGAGAGAAGAGAGCACGCACGACGCCUCUUCUCUUUCACCUACCUCCGCCUUUCACCGGGGAACUUCGCUACUACCGCGAUGUCCGCUCUCAAAAACCCUAGAGGCUCCGAUGGACCGAAGCAGGCCACACAGAAGCAGUUUCCGUUUAAAGAUUAGAAGCAGCCCAGAGCAAGAAGAUGGAUUAGAAGAAGGAUGAGGAUCUGGUGAAUACAUGUCUCAUUUUCCCCUCUCUCGAUCUGGAUCACGAUCUCGAUCUCGAUCUCUAUUUACUUUGAUCUAGAAUUUUUCUUUAUAUUUUUGGAUAAGUUACCUGUGUAAAAAUUAAAAAUUAUCCGGAUAUAGUAUCUAAACUUUUAUGGAGUAUCUAUCCAAGCCCAUUAUGUCUAACUGAUGAUUUAAUUUGAGGGAUCUAUUACCGACCAUCCCUAGAGCAAGUGGCAAAGGGCUUGAUGGUUGGUACCUAAGACCCAAGUUUGAAUCCUAGUUGAUUCACAUUUUCAGCUAAGUUUAUUUCUAAAUGAAAUAAACGAAGCGGGUCGCAUGCUACCUAUCUCUCAAAAAAAAGAAAAUUGUGGGAUCUAUUGCUUAACAGUAAGAUCUCUUAUUAAGUAAAAGAAAGGUGUAAUAAGCUUUUUAUGGAGUUAAUGCUAAUAAAUAAAUUAGCUAAACCCCUGUUUUACUUUAGGGCUGCUAACAAGUGGGACUUCGAUUCCCUCCAUACCGACAUUCUAGCUAUAUCAAGACAAAGUAUAAACUAAAAAUUUUUAAGGAUCCACUGAAGUUCUCACAGGUAUUGUGUGAAUUACAAAUUUUUUUUUUUUAGUAGAAAUUUUGGAAUUGACAGUUUGUCUUAUACAAAUUUUUGAUUGGAAAUACCACUAAAUAUUAAUUGCUACUAGAUGUUAGGCAGAGUUGUUGGAGGUGAUGAUGUUUCUUUGAGGAUUACAAAAUGUGCAGUAUGCUAUGCUGAUGUUGCUUAGAAAAGAAAUGCACUGGUUAUGCUUGCUGAAUUGAAAUAUAUUUUAAUUUUCUAUUUCUUUUUUUAAGACUAAAAUACAAAAAAUAAUUUUAAAAGUUUUGCAAUUUGAACAUUGCUUCCUGAAUAAUUAAUAUCUAUUUAGAACUUCACCACUUAAUCCCCUUUCAUGAUAUUUUUUUCUUGAAAAUUGUUAGAAACUAUUUGAAUAUGAUACAAUUAAUUAAAAAUAGGUACAACAAGUAUUUAGAUCGUAUUGCAGAUUUUCUAAUGAAAACAUGAUGGUGGACUGUUCAACUGCGAACAAAAUUUAGGAGAUUGGAGGUUGCUCUUUAAGUAUUUUUAGUUUUUAAAGGAGAUAAGUUGCAAAUCACAGAGUUUUUCCAAGGAUUUUGCAUUCUAGCCUUUUCUUAAUUUUCAUUAGUGUGUGUGUAUGAUGCAUAUAUUAGUUUUCAAAACUUCAAAUGCUGCAUGAGCUUCGAAAAUCCUAAUAGAAACCUACCCUACUAUAUUUGAGGCAUAGAAAAGAUACAGAUUUCUUUAAUAAAUCUUGAAGGAUAUGAAUUGUUAUCAAGAGAUUAACGAAUUCAACAAUGCAGGCAAAUUACAGAGCGCAGAUUUUCUUAUAUUAAUGCUUAGCUUUCUACUCUCUAUAUUUCACUUAUGAAAUUGUUUAUGUUGUUACGGAGAUCAGCUCCAAUGUCAGAGGCUUCAAAAUUGGUGAUCAUAUUGGCAUUGGAAGGAAUAUGUUGACUCAUGCAGAGAUUGUGAAUAUUGCUAUGAUUUUCUUGAGGUUCACUAUGUAAAGAAGUCAAUUGCUACUUUCAAUAGUAUCGACGUAGAAGGCACCACAGUUGCAAAAAGGGGAUAUUCAAACUACAUUGUAGUGCAUGAGAGGUAUAUCAUUUUUCAUUAGCUAAAUCAAUUUUCUUUUCCAAUAACUAUGUUACCAUAUCGAAUCCACCGAAGUGAUAGAAAAUGAACACUAAGAACCACACCUUUUGUCCCAAGUUGGCACUAUAACAAUUCCUUUUCUUUUAUUGAAUUUUCAUGUACUCCUAUUUUGCCAUAAUAGUUACCUAAAAGAAUGAUUUUUGUAAGUUUUUUAAUAAAAAAUUAAAAAAGAUGCGUUCGUCAUGUUUUAAUGGGAAAAUCAUUGAUUCCUUGUUGGGUUAAUGAUAUCAAAUUCACUUAUUAGACUAAUUGGUUUUAUUUUGGGUUUGGUUCAACAACUCGUGUAAUGGGGUAGUUAGUAAUUGGUUUGGUCUUUAGUUGACCUAUUUGGUAUAUUGGGCCAAGUGAUGUUAAGAGAGAUUCUCCUUGGGUUUAGAAAGAGAGAGUUCUCAUUUUGUUUUGCUCUCUAGGUUUUCCUUUUUUUGAGAUAGAGAAGAGAGGUGUAGAGAGAGUUGGAGAAAAAGCUCUCUCGUUCUUUUUGUUUGAUUCAAAAGCUUCCAAGGUUGAUUGGAGGAAUUCUAAGAGGCAUUUCGAAGUGGAUUUCGUGGAUUCGUAAGGUGCUUAGAUGAAGGUGUAGCAAGAAGGGUUUUUCCCAAUUAGAAGGUUGCAAGCCCAUUGUAAUAGAAUGGUAAUCUCUAACCAAAUCUUGUAAUCUCCUCAUUUAAUAGUGGAUUUGAUCUCUCCGUGCCCGUGGAUGUAGCCCGGUUUGGGUGAACCACGUAAAUCUUGUGUUGUUGUUGCGGUUGUGCUUGUGCUUGUGCUUGGAUUUUUCUUUCUACUUUAUUUACUCCAAUCUUGCAUUUCUUGGUUGUGGAUAAUUUACAUACAUCACAUUUGUUUACUAGUGUGAUUAGUAUCUUGAUAGUGAGGGUUCUGUCAUUAGCUCUCUACAUUCCUAUAUGUUUUUGGUAUGCAGGGUAUUUAACUAAUGGCCCCUUGAUAUCGGUGAGAAUUAUCUAAUUAAUUGUGUUGUUAUAAUAUUAUAGGAAAGCAUUUAGGUUUACUGGCGGUAUUUCUUGGUGCUUGGCUUUAGGGUAUAGUUUUCCGCAUAUCAAUUAUCAUUUUGCUAUGUUGUAUCUUUUAAUUUUGAUUUGUUGGAUUAAACAGCUGAUCUACUUGGUUAUCCCUUUUUUGGUUUCUUACAAUAUAUAAUUUAUGAAAAGAUAUUCCUCAUUGAUGUACAAGUACUUUUUAAUUUCUCGAUUUAAUUAUGAUGUUUCUGUAUAUAUUAAGUAAAACUUUAGUGGCUAACUCCAUUGUACAUAAUAUGUAAAACAUUUCUAACAUGUUAAGUGAAAUCUUUAAUUAAUUCAUAUCGUUAUGAAUUGAUAAUCCAAUGUCAAGAAAAAAAACUUUAAAGAAUGUGAGCCCACUCAAUUUGUUUUGUAGUUUUUUUGUCCUAUUAAUUGUACAUGUGUUUGUUGUUAGUAUAUUAUUUGGUGAUGUUNAAAACUUGGCUAGGUCGGGCUUAGAUCAUUGCCCUCCUCACUUGAAAUAAGUCGGAUCAGGUUGAAAUUGAGUUUAGAGUUCCAAUAUGGGUUUUAUUUACUACAGAUUUGAUUAAUCCAAUACUUAUGAUUCAGUUCAACAUAUUGUAAAACUAACUAGUCCCGAUCAGUGUUGAACUUUUCUUUCUAUUGAAGCUUGAUUAGAAUUUUAGAUUAAACAAAAAAGCGUUCCCCUUUCAUGAUACCCUUGAAACUUUAGAUUAGACAAAGAAUCGGCAAGUUCGAUCAAUUAAAGAACGAAAUGGGCAAAAUUCAAAUGACAAAGUCUAUUGACAAAUUACAACUAUUAGUUUUGAGCUAUCAAAUUAAUUUAUUAUCUUUUUUAAAUCAUCUCAAAUGUUUUGCUCCACACGAGGAGAUGCAAGAUAAUGGGAUAUUAGCGAGCUAUAUUUAAUGCAUGUCUCCUUCUAUUUUUAAUAAGGAUUACGAUAAGAUCUUUAACAAUAUAAUUAUGUUUUGUAUAUUAGAUUACUCAUUUAUGAAAAUAAUGCAAGUAUGAAUUAAGACUCUUAAAAUCGUGACUACCAGUUCAUGGUACUUGAUUAAUAAUGUGAACAGAGUUUUUUUAUUUUGAAUUUAUUUGGAAAUUAACAAAUUGGCGUCUUGAAAUAAGAAAAUUUAACUUUUGAAUUUAUUUUAGAUGACUUUCUGAUAUUAGUUUUUUUUUCUCUCUAGUUAAAUAAUAUUCUUUAGUUCAUGUGAAUAAGAUUUUACUAAUUCACAUACUAUUAAUCUUAAUCUAGAGCUAUAGAUGUUAUUUUUUUGUCUAAUAUAUAAUAUUAGAAUAUUUAUUUUGGUAGUGUGCCAUUUAGUAGUAUAAAAAUAUUUUUUUUAAUUUUCAAAUGCUUUUUUGAUUAGUUUUACUUUGGUGUUUUAGCUAACUAUCUAUUGAUUCCUUCACUAUUCUGAAAUUUACGAACCAUGUAUUUGAUUGGUUGUAUUUGUAGCGAGGGUUUUCCUUCAUCUUCAACGAGACAAUCGUCACGCUACCGCAAAGGCUACCAAAGAUAGUACUUUCACUCUUAUUAAGUUUUUAAUUUUUUUAAAUUUGUAAUUUCUACGAUGAUGAUAAUAUAGAAACAUUACUUAUCUUUCUUAAUAUUACAAUGUACUUUCCUUUCUGUUUUUUUUUACCGGCUCAUUUUUUUUCAUUAUUUGGUUUAGAUAUUUUCAGAAAGAAAAAUACUUUGGUUUAUUCUUUAAUUUUUAAUUAUUCAAUGCUGAGAUAAAAAAUACUUAAAAAUAUUAAUGCAGAUAAUUAAUAAUAGUUACAGAUGAUAAGUGAGUUUGUGUUCUUCAAUAAUUAUGUAUUAUAAAUUAUUUUUUAAUAUAACUUUUAAUAUUAAAGUCUAGAACAUUAAUCUAUAAAUCGUAACGAUUAACUAUAAUAUUAUCUGCCCGCCGCACUGCACGGGUUUCCUAACUAGUAUAUAUUAAUUUCAAACUUUCUUAAAAUUAUAUUACCCUUUUUAUCAAAUAAUUCAACACUACAAUAGCUUCUACUAUCUUCAUAUGAAAGAUUUUACCAGUUUAAUGUAUUAAUAUAUAAACCAAACAAAAAUUUUGUUAGGCUAAAAUGUAGAAAAAUCCCUAUAAAUAUUCGCUUUUCUACCUUACUGCCUUGUUCUCUAAAAAACUCUAUUUUGCCCCUUUAAAAUUUAGAGUUGUAGCAGUUAGCUCAAUUUCAUCUUUAUGUGUUAAUAUGCCAAAUGCGUCUGUUUUAUUUAGCACCAAGUCAAGAUAAUCAGCAGUCAUUUCAUUAAUCGAUAAAGUAUAUUUACCAAAAGAAUUGAUGAAAGAUUAGACAAUAUAUACCUUUAGCCCUUAAUUUGCUAUCUUUUAUGUAGGAUCGAUGUGUUAUGUGCUUUGAGUCCUUUGUUCUAAGAUCUGAAAUGUAAUGUUAGGAUUUGGUUAGAUUUGUAAUUGAAUCCUACUUGGAUUAGAAUUAAUAUUUAAAUCUGUUGGAGAUAAAUCAUGAUUUAAAUAUUAAUCAGAGGUUAAAAUCUAACUAGAUUAGGAUUAAUAUUUAAAUCUAUUAGAGAUUAAUUAAGAUAGAUUUAGAUAUUAAUUGGAGUAGAAAUCCUAAAUUGGGGUACGUUUUGGUGGAGUAUUAUAAAUAGCUCUUGAUGGUGCUCCUUUUUUGACAUGAGUACGGGAGAGAGAGAAAAGGCCUCUUGGUGCCGUACCAGAGAGAGAAAAAGAGAGAGAGAGAGUUAUUUAGUGCACCUAGUGCAUGGGUGCGCGCGGAUGAUUGUCUUCUUUAUGGGAUUAUAGAAGACGAGAGAAGGNNNNNNNNNNNNNNNNNNNNNNNNNNNNNNNNNNNNNNNNNNNNNNNNNNNNNNNNNNNNNNNNNNNNNNNNNNNNNNNNNNNNNNNNNNNNNNNNNNNNNNNNNNNNNNNNNNNNNNNNNNNNNNNNNNNNNNNNNNNNNNNNNNNNNNNNNNNNNNNNNNNNNNNNNNNNNNNNNNNNNNNNNNNNNNNNNNNNNNNNNNNNNNNNNNNNNNNNNNNNNNNNNNNNNNNNNNNNNNNNNNNNNNNNNNNNNNNNNNNNNNNNNNNNNNNNNNNNNNNNNNNNNNNNNNNNNNNNNNNNNNNNNNNNNNNNNNNNNNNNNNNNNNNNNNNNNNNNNNNNNNNNNNGGAUAGAAGAGAUCCUCAAGAAAGACGGGCCUCGGGUUUGUAGUUAGCUCUGUCGCAAAGAGGAGUCAGGGGUGUAAUCUUCAUCUUAUUACAUGAAUCCUGAUUACCCGCAUACUAUUUUCUUUUUGGUAAUUUCUCUUUUUAAUAAUCGUUAUCAGCUUUUGCUUGAGGACGAGGCGUUUAUGGUUACACAACCCCGAUUUGGACGCUCUCCGUCUGGUGAAUCCAAACACUAUCGAUAUCCGAAUCCACAGCAUCGGUAUCGCGAGCGGACGUUGCGGAUUAACCGAGAUCCGGUACCAGGGGAUAAAGUACCGUGAUCCCAAAAGUCGGGUAUCAGAGCUGAAGCCGUUGUAUCGAUCCCGAGGGAGAGAUCGCGCGAAGAUGGCUCAACGAAAUUCUCGAAAUUCGAGAAGGUUCCGACGGGGGCAAAGACAAGUUUUUCGGAUUUGUGGCGCAAAUUAAAGUACAAAAGCGAUCCUCGAACAGCAAGAACUUGGAUGAGACGUUGAACGGAGGGAAGGAGGCGACUAGCCGCGGAGUCAUGGACUGCGGCAUGGACAAGAUGGAGCGGAAGCGCUUGAGUACGCGUUAUCUAUUCAUUAGCAGAUGAGUUUUUGAUCGUCUCUCGUUUACAGGGACACUUGAAGUGUCACUCUAUCUCAUUUUUAUUGUAGUAGUUUUUCUGUAUAAAUGUGUAGUACACUGAACUUUAGCAAAUUGCAAAGUUCGAGUGUUAGAAUAGUAAUUGAAACUAUUCUACAUCCUUUGAAGAGUUGUCAAGAGGUUUUUGACAAGUUACUGGAGCGAACAAGUGGCCGGAAAAGCAAAAGUGCAUUGCAAAAUGCGAAAAUCUGUAUUUUGGCACUGUGUAGCUGUGACAGCAUGAUGGACCACCGGUGCCAGCACUGUAGUUGCGUGGCAGUAAGGCUGUUUUGGUCAUUUCCUUCUCCAGCUCUGUUCUUAUCUCUUCCAGCUCGACCCCAGCUGAUGUUUAUCCAUGUCUUAGCCCAGAGAACCAGAUUUGAGCUAUUCCCUUUCUCUAUCUAGGGUUUUGGAGUUGAGAGAAGUAGAAAUAGUGAUUUAAGCUUUAUUUUCCUCUUUUCUCUUGUUGCUUGCUGGUUUGGUGAGUUGGAGCAGCUGUGGAAGAGUGAAAAGGAGUCUUGGGGAGAGGUAUUUCGUGACCUUAGCUCUGUAGGAAGCUAAGUUGAAGUUUUAUGAGGUAAGCUAAUCAUUUCUCUCUCUAGUUUGAUGCUAGUAGGGAAGUUGAUGUUGGUUCUUUGUUCUUUGCUGCUAGCUGAAUUGGAGAAGAGUUUUAGCAGCUAUAAAGAUGUGUUUGCUGUACCCUAACUCAGUGAGAGCUGAGUUGAAGCCUUGUGAGGUGAGUUAUUAUACUAGCUACUAAGUUUGAGAGGCUAGUAGUGAAAUUUGAGUUUGUUCUUUACUCUUGCUGCCAGCAGGUUUUAAGGAUAGUUGUAGCAGCUGUAGCAGAGAGGUUUAGCUGUGGUUCUUCAAUUCUAAUCCCAGGAAAAGCUGAAUUAAAGCUUUGGGAAGGUGAAUUAACAACUCUCUUCUCUAGUUUCAUGUAAUAGUGGUUAUAGUAAUGGAUUGUGAGCUUGUUCUUGCUCUAUGCUGCUAGCUAAUUGGAGGAACUUUAUAGUGGCUGUAGAAGUGGAGUUUGGUUGUGAUUCUUCAAUCUUAACUCAGUAGAAACUGAGUUAGAGCUGUACAAGGUGUACUAGCCAACUUUGCUACUAGUUUUGAGAUGUUGGAAAUAAUUGUGCAAGAGUUUGUGGUGUAUGUCCACCGCAGGUUCACAGUAGGAUAUUGGAUUCCUUUGGCUGGGAUUCAUGAACUUUGGAAGGUUGGUUUGAUGUGUUCCAACCUGAAUAGAAAGGGAAUUCAAGUUUGGUUACUCCUAGGUGAGAUUCUAACCUAGACUAUGUGAUUAUGUGAGGAUUAUUAUGUGAAAGCUUGGUUGAGCUUCUAGUUGAAUUUGGAAUAUUUGUUAGGAUGCUUGGGAGACUGCGGAUCACUUUGAAUUGAGUUUUGGUGAUUCUUAAAGGCCGGUUUUGAAGUGCUUCAACCUGAUUUAAAAGAAAGUUCAAGUGUGGAUUCUAAACCAGGUAUGAUUCUACCUAGAUUGGAUGCAUAUAUGAGAUUUUUAGUAAAAGUUGAAGUUCAACUCAUAAUUGAAUUAGUAUGCUUGCUAGGGCACUUGGAAGCUAGAGAACAUCUUCGGUUGUGGGAUUGACGAAAGUCGGCAGUGAAUUGGUGGGUUUGACCUUACCGAAAUGGAUGAAUUCCCUUUGUCUUCUUUAAUAUUAUAGGACUAGAAUUGUUGCAUAUUCAUGUGAAUACAUGUUUAUUUGAAUGAAUUGGGGCAGCACCAAUAUGUAUAUCAUAUCGAAUAUAAUAGAACCUCUACGUAGUAGAGGUAGGAUUAUGAAAUUGAUUAUUUGACAUAGAUCACUCGUUCGAUUACCAUGUAUUUAAGACAUACAUCAACUUGUGCAGACAAGUUAAGCAGGACAUCAUUCAAUAAGGAAUAGUUGUAAAGCCAUGAAUAAUGUAUUGUGAUGAAGCAUCUUUGAGUUAAACCAUGCAAUUUCAUGUUAUAGACAUAAUGUUGGAACUCUUUGUAUAUCAUGUAUAGUGAGGUUAUUUACACCUUUAUAUGGAAUUAUGUAAAGAGUAUGAUAGAUGAUGUUUCGCAUGAUUGUGAUGACAAUGGUUAUUAUUUUCAUCUGAUAGAACUAGCAUGAACUUCUUGAUUGUUAUGAUCUAAUAAGUAAACUAGAAUUGAGCAUUAUAACAUAACAUAAAUGUUAUACUAUUGAAAAUGAUCUAGUUAAAUGACUAGAAUUGGACAUGAGGAUAUACUUGUGUAGUCAAGUAGAAGUACUUGCCUAAUAUUUGCUUACUCUAAGUAGUGGAGGUUUAUGUAGAACCAUAGAAUAUGUACCGUGAGUCAUUGAGUUUGACCUUAGUAAACCACUUUCCUUAUAUAUAGGGAGUAGUGAGAGGGCUCCAUGUGAGUGUGCGGGUAUAGCCCAUUAGAAACAUCGAUGUGAUGUAAAGCAUGUAUUUGUUUAAGUCACACUAUUUAUUAGUAGAAACAUGUCACCAAGUAGUUGAUAAUGGAUUAUAACUUAGUGUUACAGUGUCGACCUUGUGUCGAGUUGAGAUUUUAUGUUAGAGACAUGAUGAACUUGUGAUACCUAUGCUAUGGAUUACGCUUGCUUGCCAAUGUGCUUAUUCGCACAUGCUUGUGAGGGUCGUGCCCCACAAGCCGGCACUCCGGAGUUAGCCUAGCGACAGAUUGCUCGCUUCUGUACGAGACGGAAUGCCGAAGUGGAUUGCCGUGGGUAGUGUUGACUUCCAUGGGGCCAUUAGGCACGGCACGGGCUGAGACUUUACCAUGUGUAAGUCUCCUAUUAAUUAGGUUAAUGUAAGUGACUUUAACCUAGUUGGACAUAGUAGUAAAGAUACUUUAUAUCAGUAGUUGAAUAUACCUAGUAAUAAACAUACUAAGAGGUUGACAUCCCUGUUAGUCAAUAUUAUAGUGACAGUACUUGAAUAUAUACUCUUGCUAGUGUAGGAAGUAACGAUAUGAUGUCAUUAGCUUACUAAAGUAUAACGAGGAUAUUCUGCAUAUAGCUUGACAUAUAGCUAUUAAACUGAUAAUUAGCAUGACUGUAGAACUUGUGAUGAUGAACUGAUAUAUAAAACAUAUUAGAAAACAUAUCUUGUGAGGCAUGCUAUAGUUGAUUUACUUCAUUUAGGCCCGUUUGGAUACCUCUAAAAACGUAGCAUAGUUAAACUAUCCUACGCCGGUAGGAAAAUAAUCCUAUGAAGCGUUUGGAAGAAAAAAAAAUGACGUAAUUUUUGGAGUAUAAUUAUACUAUACUCCAAAAAUGGAGUAAACUUACAAUCCACUUUAACCAAAGGAAAAAAAAAUUCCACCAUUUUGGGCUCCCAAAGAUAUAUCAAUUUCUAAAUUUUAAAUUUCAACAUAAAAUUUUAAAUUUCAAAUUUUAAAAUUUUAAAAUUCAAAUUUAAUUUUGAUUUUAAAUUUCAAAUUUAAUUUUGAUUUUAAAUUUUAAAUUUCGAAUUUCAAAUUUCAAAUUUCAAAAACUUCAAAUUUCAAAUUUCAAAUUUCAAAAAGUUCAAAUUUCAAAUUUCAAAUUUCAAAUUUCAAAUUUCAAAUUUCAAAUUUCAAAUUUCAAAAAGUUCAAAUUUCAAAUUUCAAAUUUCAAAAAGUUCAAAUUUCAAAUUUCAAAUUUCAAAUUUCAAAUUUUAAUUUUAUUUUUAAUUUUUAAUUUUCAAUCUUCAAAAUUUAAAUUUAAACUUAAAUUUAAAAUUUUAAAUUUAUAAAUAUGUAAAUUUAUAAAUUAUUAAAUUUGAAAUUUAAAAUUUUAAUUAUAGAUUUUUUAAAUUUCAAAAUUUAAAGUUUAAAUGGUAUACUUUAAGUUUUAAAUUUUAAAGUUUCAAAUUUCAAAUUUGAAAUUUCAAAUUCUAAAUUUCAAAUUUCAAAUUUAAAACAUAAAAUCUAAUUUAAUUUUUUAAUUUUAAAUUUUAAAUUUUAAUUUUAUAUUUUGAAUUUUGAAUUUUAAUUUUUAAAAUUUUAUUUUUAAAUUUUGAAUUUUGAAUUUUGAAUUUUGUAUUUUAAAAUUUUAGAAAUUUAAUUGUUUUAAAUAUUGUGAAAUUGUAUAAUAUGUAUCCAAACAGCUUAAAAAUGAAGCUGUGGAAUUUUUUUAUUGUUACAGAAUUCCGUAUUUCAUUGAGACCAAAACCAUACAAUAAAAAUUCCAUGGAGUUUUUUAACUAUGCAUCCAAACAGGGCCUUACUUGUUGCAUUUAUUGUAUUUUCUUAUUGUUGUUUACUCAUGCCUCAAUUGACCUAGUGGUGUACUUCGUCACUCUCGGCGGCUUACCCAGUAGGAACUAUUGUUUAGUUCUCAGGCCCUUUUGUUGGUUGUUUUUGUGCAGAGCCUUCCACAGCGGAAAAAGUUAGGGUUCUCGGCGAGGGGUCAGCGGCUAGCUAGAGCCUUCUCGAUGUUAAAUAGAUGAACCUCUACCAGUUUAUAUAGUUUAGUUCAGUGUUGUAUACUGGGUUUAUGUAAUUGUACUUGUUCUUAUCAGUGGUAAUAAGGUUAUGUGUUGUAUAAGUUUAUGAGUUUUUUAAAGUUUUGCUCUGAUUACCUGAUUAAGUUAGUAGACUUUUACUAUAUUGAUUGUAGACGCUUGGUGUACUUGUAAGGUUGUGAUGUACACAGCGGGUCUGUGCACGUAACUGGAGAGCUUCCGCUGAAGCCCAGGGCGUGACAAAAUAUUUCUUCAUAUGAUGAGAGGAUAAAUAUACUGUACUGCUCAAAAGCAGGCAAAUAACUGAUAUGUUUUUUAAAAUUUAAAAUAAUUUAUGUGCCAUUUUAAAAUGCUAAUAUUUUGUAAAAAUAUCUGUAAGUUGACGUAUCAUCAUCUAUCAAUUAAAACUAGUGUAGUAACCCGCGCGAUGCGGCGGAUAAAUAAUAGAAGAAAAAAUAAAAAACAUUAAAGAGGAAGAAGAAAAGAGUUUGGAAAAUAAAAUUUCAAGUGUGUUUUAUUUUUUGGAUAGAAAAAUGUAUGAAUUGAGCUAACCAAUAUGACCAUUGAAAAUCGAUAAAUGUCUAGAAUCAUCAUUAAAAAAAACUUACAAAAGGUCAUAUGAAGAUAGAGAUGAUAAUGUUGCGAUGAUGACGACAAUGGUGAUGAAAAUCUCAUAAAAAUUUGCAGGAUUUUGCACUAUUUUGGAUAUGGAAUGAUCAGAAGUUGCGGGUCAGAACUACCACAUCAAUUAUAAAAUCAAAACUAACAUCUAAAUUAAUCGAAAUAAUGCACAUAAAUCAAAUAUUUGAUUGAUACAACCACUAUAUAAAAAAUAAUGUAAAUAAAUUAAUUCUAAAUUGAUACUUAGUAAGAAUUUGCGAUUAAAAUAAAGAAAAUAAAAAUUACUUACCCCUAAAUCCGAAGGCUCUCCCUUGCUCUUCUCCAAUCUCUAUAUUUGAAUGUAGUAACUAUUUAUCUUCUCCUCUUUUAAUUUUGCAUGUUAGAAAUUAUUUGAGGAAGAGUAAAUGGCUAAUAUUGAAGAGAAAAAACUAAACGUAUAUAUUAAAAAGCACAUUAAUUAUAGGUUAUUGAAUAGAGAGGAGGGGAGGGAAAAAGCCAAAUUAAAGAUCAAUUCAAAAAAAAUGAUUAGUGAGGAUGGAGGAAAACUUGCCAUGUGGCAAAAUUAUUGGGAAUUCAUAUAGGUUAAUAGAUUGUUCCCUCUGUUACCCGUUUUCAUUCUUUUUGUCUUCUUUCUCUGCGACACGUUCAUCGCAAGAUCAUAAUUAAGUUCAUUUUGUAAGUAUACUAACACUAGAACAUUUUAUCGAAAAGUGUUGAGAUUAUUAGCCCUUUUUGGUGUUUAUUAAAUUUUUAAAAAAAGGGUCAUAAGGCAAGUGAAAAAAAAAUAGCCAUUGGAUUGGAAUUGCCGUAGGAUUAAAACUUAAAGUGGGUUGUAGAUCUAACACAUCUUUUUUUAUAUCGUGUGAUUCUUGGGAAUUGCAGGAGGAUCUAAUGAAAGAUUGAUGGAAAGUUACGGGAGAGGCAUUUUUGCAAGGUAUUGAAAUUUGAAAGGAUAUAAAGAUUAUUUGAAAAUUUAAAGGGAUAUAUAAGUUAUUACUAAACUUUUAACUAGUAUUUAUCCCUAUACUUUAUCCCUGUAACGUAUCGAAACCCGAAAACGUUAAUCGAACUUUCAUCAAAUUGGUUAAAGUGUCGAGAGAAAUGGAUUGGUGAGUUCCAUUUUUGCAUUCCAACAAAGUUGGAGGGCAAAAAUGGGUUUAAGAAGUAUUGGAAUGGUUUUGGCAUCGAACGGCGCGAAGUAGAGUCGAAACGAUGCAAAAACAGCAUUCUGGAGCAUUGUGUACCGGUACGCCAUGAUGGCUGUACCGGUACAGCAAGCGACCCGAGCACAGGUUGCUCUCGGGUUUGAGUCUGUGCGAAGGUGUACCGGUACGGGACCCGUGUACUGGUACACGCCCUGCGAAACCGAGAGAGUUUGCUCUUGGGUUGGAGCCUCUGCGCAGGUCUGUACCGGUACACAAACCCGUGUACCGGUACACAGGGGCUCUGGCAGCAGGGGUGAAGUCUGCUACAGAAUUAAGUUGAGGGGCCUAAUUGCAAAUGUCACAACAUGUUAUUUGGCCUAUUCCUCUCCCAUUUUCGCAGCAAAACCCAUCUCCUCUCCUCUCCCUCUCAUUUUGUCAUACCUCGGGGUCCCUUUAGGUUAAAAACACCGCGGAAAUUUUUUUUUUUUUUUGAAAAUCUAACCCCGGGGAAUGCCAGAUCCGCCACAAAUACAGAAAAUUCACUGUUCACACGGACAGAGUCUUCCCUGUAUUUGCACGGCGUCGCACAAGUACAAGAUUUCCAAACAGAGUAUAACCAGGAUACAACCACACUACAUGAAUAUACAAUACACAACAUUCAUUCACCAUUCACCAGAUAUUUAUUAUUUAGUGUUUAAACAUAAAAACCAUAAGAAAACUCUUUUGAAAGCUGUUCCCCACACGGAAACCUUUUCUUUUAAAACGCGCUACCACGAGGGGUAGAAAAUCAUUUUUCUUUUCACAAAUUUCACAAAUCCCUUUAUUACAUUCAUGAAAACCGACAUUUUCAAAUGUAAUAAAAAUACUGAACCAUAUAAACUAUCUGAGCUAUAUUAACAUAAUAGUAAGGGUAGAAACUAAACCGAAUAACCUGGGUCGGAAGCUCUAUCGACCGCUACGAACGUGUCUCACAUCUCGUCUCGACUCUCACCGCCCGCAAUACCUGAAAAAUGGUGGGGGAGGUGAGAACAUGUAAACAUGUCUCCCCUCCCAGUGGGUACCGCAAGCCGAAGAAGGCGAGGAGUACUCACCGGAUCAGGAAGAGCUAAACAACAGUACGGGUCAGUAGAAAUACAAUAGCAAUAAUAAUGAAUGAAAGAGACAUAUAUAUGAAAGAAGUACAACUACCGCUACUGUAAUGGACAACUGAAUGUAUACAUGUAACAAGACUAUAGUAGCAAGACAAUGUAAUGAAAGAACUGAAGGUAUACAAGCAACAACCGCUACUAUAGUUAUAUGCGUCAACCGGACAAGAAGUCCAAAUAUACCCAAUCUGGUACCUGCUAUAUUGGUCCGCAGACCUCAAGCGCUGCCUGUCACUAACCUGCACCGACCUGAUUCACCCGCCCCAUAGGACGACCCAUCCGGAUAAGUACACCUCCGAUCGGUGGCCAAACCGAUCCGGUGUCGUGAAUACCCCCAAGUGCUGUGACUAAGUCAUGAUGGUAUGCUCAAUACAAAAACCGGCUGAAACCGGUGCCUAGGCCGAAGCCAGAAACAAGGACGUACAACGCCGAACCUCGAUCAACCAGAUCGAAACACAUGACGAGAGAGUCAAUGUGUUACCUGGACCCAAGGUCCACAGAGUCCAACCGACCAGCAAGGUCACUGAUACGAAGUACGAGAACUGACCAACCAGGUCAACAGAUACGGAAUGCACAACCAACCAACUAGGUCAACAGAUACUGAAUGCAACAACAGACCAACUAGGUCAACAGAUACGCAUGUAGAUAGAACUACUCUACUCCUACUCAGGAUACUAAGCAUACAAACAACGAGUAGAGUAUAACGAAUAAACAAGGGUGCAAGGCUCAAUAUACUAUGCGAUAGUAACAACAGAAGAGUAAGGGUAAGAAACCGUCACCAAGCGUGCACCACUAUACCGACGUCGGAUCGAAGUACCCACCUGUAAGGAUAUCGCGUCUGUCUCACUACAGGAAAAUAUGCUUGUAGAGGCGGUUUUUACCGCCGGUAGAGGCGGUUUAAACCGCCUCUACGAAUUGUAGAGGCGGUUUCAGCGACCGCCUCUAAAACGCCGGCGUAGACACCGCCUCUACAUCCGUAGAGGCGGUUUGACCGACCGCCGGGGACUGCUAGAGGCGGUCUAGUAGGGGCGGUUUGAACCACCUCAAUAUAUUUUUUUAUUCAUUUUUUUAUAAUUUUAUUUAUAUUUUCUUAAUAAUAUAGAGGCGGUUUAAACCGCCCCUAUUAAUGUCGAAUCAUAGAGGCGGUUUAAACCGCCUCUAUGAAUGUCAUAUCAUAGAGGCGGUUUAAACCGCCUCUACUAUUUUUUGAGUGGCGGUUUGCUCUUUAGAGGCGGUUGCCACUGCCUCUACAGGUAAGCAAACCAUAAUAAUACUUAGAGGCGGUUUGAACCGCCUCUACGUAAGAAAUAGCAAAAAAAAAAUUUUCAAUAAUUAUUUAUUGCACAUAACAUUACAAUUUCAUUGACAAACAUAUUAUAUCAAAUAAUAAUGCACAUCAAACUUAACAAUUAAUUUACAACAUACAUUAAUAACACAAGCAAAAUAAUUUCCAAUGCGAAAUAAAGUUCACAUUCACAAAAAUUCAUAAUUCAAGAUAGUGUAUAAUCCAAAACAUGACCUCAUUCAGAGUCUAUAGCAUAGAAGCAACAUAACUAGGUAAUGUAAAGUUUAAACACUUCCAAAAUUAGUCAACACUUCAGUUGUCAACUGUUUACAAAAAAUUAAUUAGCUUUUUUGAUGUCCUCCAUUUGUAGGCUCGUGACUCGCAUUCGAUGAAUGAAUGUUCGGAGAAAGCGCAUCGACCAAAUUAUUAUCGCCCGCAACCACCUAAAAGAAUCAAACAAUAUAGAAAUCAUUAAUUAUAUGAAAAAAUCAAUAAAAUUUGUUGAGGAUAAAAAUUUAGCAUACUCGAGAAUUGAGCAAUAUUGUAUCCGAAAAUAGUGUUUUAAGUCGAUGCAAUUCAUCUCGCAUCUCUUGCAUCUCUUCUUUAAGCUUUUCUACUUCUCCUGGUUGGCCUUCUCUUGAUUCGCUUGUUGUAGGAAAGUUUAUAUGCUUCACGCCAUAAUAUGAUCUUAGCGUAGGUCCCAACCCUAAGCCUUUCACACGGCCAUUAUGUUCAGGACCCAUGAUAUCUAUAAAGGCUUUGUCCAUUAAUUUGUUCGUGUCAGAUUCGGAACCUUGUGAAAGUGUAACAAACUUUGCACGUGCUGCAUCCUAUUAGCAAUUUGAGAAAAAAAAUAUUACUAUGUCAUAAUUAUAUGAAUAGUAAAUAUAACUAUGCGAUAGAAAAUUAUACUUACCAAACUUUUCCCCGCAUCCUCAUUCACAAAAUUUUCAUUCUUUUUCUUAUGAGUUACCUCCCAAAAAGUUAGCCGAUCUGGUUCUUUGCCAAGAGCAAUUUCCUAUAUAUAAUUGUAAAUAACGAUUUCUAAAUGAUAAAGAUAAUGACUCAUUAUUUAAAAUAAAAAAUUUUAUAUGUUAAGUUAUUACCAUUUCCUUUCGCUUCCUUGCAUAACUUUUUCUGCCCGAUGUGUGCGCCAUCUUCACCAAUUUUGCAGAAGUUGAAUUAACUCGACAAAGGUUCUAUGAUAAGAAAUAGAGAUUUUUUUAAAAAAAUGAACAUAUAACACUAUAAUUAAGCAACAUUGCUAUAAACAUAAAGUGUUUAUACCUUACUUUCCUCGGUGGACCAAUGUGCUAUUAGACUAGUCCAUUGAUCUCUAAUCACACCAAGUGGCACAUUGUUAACUAAUUCUUGGAUCGGUUUAUCAUCUGAAAAGUAUUCACUUUUUAAUUCACUUUUGUAAUCUCUCCAUUUUUUGUUCAAUGAUGCCAACACCCAAUGUCUUGUUCCCUCGGGAUAUCUAAACUUCGCCUACUCAUAAAUUAAAAGCUUUAUGUUAAAAGUCUAUUCUAAUAAAAGUUUACAAACAUACCAAACAAAAAAGUAAAGUAAUAAGCAAAGAUGAAAGAACCUCAAUAUGCUUUAGCAUUUUUUCUUUGAAUGGAUUAAAUGUUUGAUUAUCCCACCGCGGAAUAUUUAAAGGAGCAAACGUUCCAUUCUUCGCGAUUACUCCUAAAAAUGAUCCAAGGACCGAUCCUGCAUAGGUGCAUGGAACCCCGUAUUUAUCAACUUCCACAUCAAUCCUUUCUCCUUCAAGAAGGUUCCACACAUCUGCCAGUGUUGUUCUUCCUCGCUUCUUACGUCGAUUUUUAUCUGCACCUGAAAAUAAAUUUAAAUAUGUUAUUUUCAAUAGUAGGUCAAGCUUACACACAACAUAAUUAAAAAAAUUAAAUUUCUGCUUACCAAUGAUCCAAAGAAACAACUCAUUUUGAUUGUUAUUUUCAAUCUCGGUGUUACUUGAAUUUGUCGAGGUUUUCGAGUAAGAUGGUACUUGCUUCUCUCCUACUGGUUCUUGACCUUGUAAGUCAUCUUGAGAGGUAGAAGUGACAAUAUUGCAAUUGCGCAAUCUUCGAGAGCUCGAGGACAUUUUGUAAUUUCCUACAUAUGAUAACCAAUCAGCAUGUAAAUCAAGCAUAUGCAAAAUAAUAAAACUCAAUUAACCAAAUAUAGAUCGAGUUAAAGUAUAUUCAUUAACCAAACCUGAGAAGAAAAUUUAACAAAUGCAUGAGAAAUGGCCAUAUUUCAAUAAUGAUAAGAAAAAUUAUGCUUCAUCAUUGUCAUCUUCAUUUGCAUUAACUCUGAUCCAAUUUGGAUGUUCAUUCUCAUCUAAAGUUUGAAUAUGUGAGGAAACUACAAAAGUGUCAUCCGUCAAAUCUCGACCCAUAUCAAACAAAUCUCUCGGUUUAAUUCUCACCACUGAAGACCAAUUCUCAUCUUUUGGUAUUUGCACAUAAAAUACUUGUUCUACUUGUGAUGAAAAUACAUAAGGAUCAUCUUUCAACUCUGCACCGGUAUGUAUUAAGCAAGAAAAGUUUAUAAGGGUAAAACCAAACUCAUCAUGCUUAAUGCCCAUACUGUGAUGAACAUCAACCCAAUCACAUUUGAAUAAGACAACCUUGAAAUGACCAUAAUAAUUUAAUUCAAUGAUGUCCUUCAAUCGACCAUAAUAGUUUAUGCCGUCUAUUUCCGAAGUAUUAACAACACCACUAUUUUGGGUCUUUCUAUUUUCUUCACGAGCUUGCGUAUGAAAUCUGAAACCAUUGAUAAUAAAUCCACUAUAUCUUCUUGCAAAUUUGUUAGGACCUCUACCCAGAACUUGAAUUUCUUCUGAAAUAGUUGAAUCAUCCAUCCUCAUAACCUAUAUUGUAAAAAAUAUUAGUACAUACUCUAUUACUUUAAAUUCUUAAAAAUAUUACAAGUGGUAAACAAUAUAUACCUUACUUUGUAACCAUUCAUGAAAUCUCUCAUUUACCAAUUUUUCUAUAUCGUGACCACUGAGGCGCGUAUGACGGCGUCGUUUUCUUUUCUCUGAAUCAAUAAAUUGUCUAUAUUCAAAUAAAGUUAGUUUUAUUUCAAUUUAUAUAUAAAUGUCAAGUAUCAAUAGAAUAAGUAAGAUAACUCUGACUUACUGGCGAAAAGGCUCAAGGUCAUCAUAAUGACGAAGGACAUAACGAUGUGCUUGAACCCAUGAUUUUUGAUCCAGUAUAAUAUUUUCAAUCUUUCCAAUAGGACUACCAGCACUUGAAAAUAAAUAUAACCCUUCUGUUCCAUUUUUAGGUGGAUCGGGAUUCCUUAUGGGUCGAUUAAAUCUUGUUUCAACACUAUCUAGAUAUCGUGAACAGAAUGACAAACAUUCUUCGGCGAUAUAUCCUUCAGCUAUUGACCCUUCAGGAUGAGAUCUAUUACGUACAUAUGACUUCAUUCGUACAAAGUUCCUAAAAUAAUAGAGAAUAUAAAAGUUAAGACAAAUUAUAUCUUUAUAAGUCAUAUAUAAAUUAAUAAUAAAUAAGUAAUUAAUUAAUAUUUACCUCUCCGAAGAAUACAUCCAACGAUAUUGUACCGGACCACCUAAUCUUGCCUCUUCUACUAAAUGAAUCAUUAAGUGAACCAUAAUGGUGAAAAAUGAGGGUAGAAAGAUUCUUUCCAUGUGGCAAAGAGCAAGUAUAAUGCGGCUUUGUAUUUUGUCAAGCUCAUUCACAUCCAACACCUUCGAACAUAAUGAUUUAAAGAAAAAGGCCAAUUCAAUUGCGAUCAAGGUCACUUCCUUAGAUGGGCUUGAUGCUCGUAAUGCCAAUGGUAGUAUAUCCUCAAUCAAAAUAUGGCAAUCAUGACUUUUAAGACCACUAAUUUUACAGUCGUUAACAUUAACACAUCUUGAAAUAUUUGAAGCAUAACCAUCGGGCGUUUUAAUAUCCUUGAGAACUUGACAAAGAAUUCUUUUUUCCUUUUUAGACAUCGUGAAGCAAGCUGGAGGUAAUCUUGUCUUUCCAUUUGCAAGUAACUGGGGAUGGAGUUCAGAUCUAAUGCCCAAUUCUACUAAAUCCAGUCGUGCCUUUGAAUUGUCUUUUGUUUUAUUGUCAAGAUUCAAUAAAGUGCCAAUAAAAUUGUCAAAUACAUUUUUCUCUAUGUGCAUCACAUCUAAAUUAUGCCGCAACAAAUUAUAUUGCCAAUAUGGUAAUUCAAAGAAAAUGCUUUUCUUUUUCCACCACCUCAAUGCGCCACUAGAUUCUGAACUAGAAAGACAUUCACUUCUUGUUGUAUUGUCAUUUCUCGCCUGUCUCUUCUUUUUGGUUCUCUUACUAUUUAUUCCUUUGUCAUUUAUUGUUGGCGGUUUACCAAAUUUGAAUUGCAUGCCAUGCAUUUGCCUUAAUAUAUCAACCCCAGCUAUCCGAGUAGGUGCACUCCUUAUCUCCUCUGUGCCGUCAAAAAAGUCUUUUUGAUAACGAAAUAUAUGUCCCUCAGGUAACCAACGACGAUGACCCAUGUAACAAUACUUCCCUCCAUGGCGUAACCACCUAGAUUGUGUUUGCUCCGCACAACAAGGGCAUGCAAACUUUCCUUUAGUGCUCCAGCCAGACAAAAUUGCAUAUGCAGGAAAGUCAUUUAUAGUCCAUAAUAAUGCAGCCCGCAUAUGAAAAUUUUGUUGGCUUGAAGCAUCAUACGUCUCAACGCCCUCCCAUAAUUUUUUUAAUUCCUCAAUUAAAGGUUGUAGAAAAACAUCAAUAUCAUUUCCCGGACCUUUUUCACCUGGAAUAAUCAUUGAUAAUAUAAAAGAUGAUUGUUUCAUACAAAUCCAAGGUGGUAAAUUAUAUGUAACCAAUACAACCGGCCAUGUACUAUAGGUAGUACUCAUUGUUCGAAAUGGGUUGAAACCAUCACUACAAAGAGCAAGCCUCACAUUGCGGGAAUCAGAGGAGAAAUCUACGUAUCGUUCAUCGAAUGCUUUCCACGCUUCACCAUCUGCAGGAUGUCUUAAUAGCCCAUCCUUCUUACGAUCCACGUUGUGCCAUCUCAUAUCAUUUGAUGUUCUCGUAGAGGCAAAAAGCCUUUGCAAUCUUGGUAUAAGAGGAAAAUAACGCAAAACUUUUUUUGGAAUCUUUCUCUUUUGUUUUGGUAUGGCAGAUGCAUUAGAAGUACUUUCUUCAUUGUUUGAAAUGUGAUCAUUUUCUGUACUAGUAGUUUUCCAACGAGAUGACCCACACACAUCGCACACUUCCUGAUUUUUUUUUUCACCGUGAAAUAAUAUGCAAUCAUUUGGACAACAAUGAAUUUUUUCAUAACUAAGACCUAAGGCCUUAAUAAUUUUUUUUGCUUCAUAUGAAGAACGGGGUAAUGAAGUACCUUCAGGAAAUGCAUCAGCCAAUAUCUCUAGCAACAUAGUAAAUGAUUCUCCUGACCAACCAUUUAGACAUUUCAAAUGGAACAAAUGGAGUAUAAAAGAGAGUUUUGAAAAUGUCUUACAUCCCGGAUAUAAUUCUUCAUUUGCAUCUUUUAAUAGUUUAUGAAAAUCAUGAUUUCCAUUAGUCUCUUCAUUAGAUUGUUCCAUGCGAGGUUCUUCUGUAGAUUGUUCUGGGCCAUCCCUUUCAUCAAAUUCAUUAGUUGGUAUAUUUGUUUCAUUAGUUGGUUCACCGGCUAAGCCAAUGGCAUCAUGUAAAAGUCCAUGUAUGUCAUCUGAUCUUCUAAAGUUUUGGGUGAUAGGGAUGCACUCUUGCACUUGUAAAGCUUCUUGCAUAUGUAAAGACUGAGAAGCUGAAGAAGACGUGGCAGUAUUAAUUGGGGAAUUAAAAGAUAAAGCGUCCUCUCCAUGGCAAAUCCAUCUAGUAUAUCCCCUUAGAAAGCCAUCACAUAUCAAGUGUAUCUUCGCAUCCUCGUAUGUUUGUAAUGAACAAUUAACACAGCGUACACAAGGACACAUUAUUUUGCCACUAUAGGAUGCAUUACAAAAUGCAAAUUCCAGAAAUUGUAAGACUCCAUUUUUAUAUGCAUCACUAUUUCGAGGUUUGGUCAUCCAACUUUUAUCCAUUAUAGAAAAAUAACUGAAAUAAAAAAAAAUUAUUUGCAUUCAGUAUAGUGCAAUAAAUUUCUAAACUCGACAUAUAGAACAAAAUGAAUUGUUAAGAGACUUUCAUAUGAGAUAUAAUAAGUGUCCCAAACAAUAAAUUAAUCAAUCAAUAAAGCAAACAGGUACUAAAUUUGACAAGCUAACCAAAUCUAUUUAAUAGUCUUCUUCACCGAUCAAGAUCAAAUGGCAAAUUCUAGAUUAUUGGCAUGUGGUCAAAAGAUCUUACAAAGAACCGGAAGUAGCAUAUAAUUGGAAAGAAGUGAAAAAGGUUAAAAAUUUAAGCAAUUGUCUCGAUACUUAAAAGCCAGAAUAAUGAACUUACCCAAAUUCUUCCUGCAGCCUAGAAUCCUAUGCAGGAGAACGGCAGUUGGCGGAUCAGUUACUGACUUGUCCCAAAAACUGUUCCAUUGGACCUAAGGUGAGAGAGAGAGAGAGAGAGAGAGAGAAAGAUCCUUCACCUCUGCUAACAAACAUCUCCAAUGCUUAUAUGCUGCACAACCAAAAAUAGAAUCAGAAGGACUAACAAGGGUUUGAUAUCUUGUUUGCAAAACUUCCCAGAUCAGCAUCAUCACACAAUCAUACUCUCCCACUUAAAUUCCACCAAAAAUAUAUACAAAUGCCGACGGAAAAGAUCUACAAUCUUAUAAACUCCAAAAAUCAGCAACAAAACAAGAUAUUCAAGCUUACCUGCAAAUAACAAAAAUAGAACUACUACAAAGAAUCCCUUUUCUUUACACAUUGCAAGUAAAUCUGCAGAGCUGUUAAUCAUUUUAAUCAUUUGCUCGCGGAUCCAAUGCAGAUGCAUCUAACUGAAGCUUUUGGAGGCUACAGCUCAAUCAAGCCACAAAAUGAUUUUACAAAAGACGAUUGUUAUAUAGUGGCUAAGAACUCGCUUUUUUUACAGUGUUGGCCCCUAUUAGCCUAGCAAAUUAGAGAGGAAAACAAAAACGUUUGCGUAGAAAAAGUUUGCUGAUGAUGGAAUUAAUUAAGUUAAUUAACACGAAAGAUGCUUUUGGUUAGGUAAAUUAAGCCACACAAAAGGAGUAUAAGUACUUAAUAAAUAACGUUUGCAGUAUGUGUCAUUACUACACUUAUAUAUACAUUACAAAGCAAGGGAAAGCAAAAGUUUGGUAUUCUAAAUUGGGGGCCUGGGUUAAUUAAGUAAGGAUUAUUGCAAUAAAGAACUGGGCACCACAUGUUGAGCCGAAUUGCAUGCCCUGCAUUUAGCCUUUUAUUAUCCCAAUCAUUGAUGAACUCUUCAGACGCUAAUCUUUUCGUGCCCAAUGCUGGAAAAAGAAAAAAGGUAUAGGUUAGUAAGUUUCAAAAUAAAUCAUUUUGCAGGAUGGUGGCAAGAACUUGUAAUAAAAUGUGAAUAAAAAAGCUAACUAACAAUACGAAUUAACUAGCAAUAUGUUCGUGAAUAUAUAUCAUCCUCUAGUUACAUGUAAAUAAAAACACUCCAACUGUUCUUCAUCAAAAAAAGCAAAGCUACACCAAUCACCAAUGCAUCAGUUCCAUAAAUUACUAGAAUCUGCCAGCACUAAUUUAUAGAAAUUAUCUAAGAAUGUAUAAAAUAAAGUCCACUAGGAUAAGCAGUGAGGGCGUGCGGGCGGGCGAGCGGGUAGGCGGUCGGGGUGGGAGGGGGGCGCUGGCAUGGAAAGCGGAGGGGGAUGGGCCAGCUGCGAGGGAGGGGCGUAGUGGCGGGGAAGGGAUGCGAGGUGGUGCGCGCCCUGCCGGAGGAUGGUGUGAGCUCUGCUGCCAGAAAGAGGGCAGAGGGAAAAGGGGCACGCGGCGGGGUGGGACGGUGGUGCGCUGCCAGGAUGAGGGCGGAGGAAAGGGGCGCGGGGGGUACGCGCCGCGGCAGGGGGGUUGGCCGCUGCGGAGAACUGUCACGCGCCGGAGCGAACGAGGAGCGGGCGUACCUGAGAACUUUGAAGGAGAGGUCGCCGCGACAGACGCGGCACUCUCAGCGACCGGCUCUGAGUAGAAGCGAGUGCGGCAGCAACAGGGAGGACCAGUCAUCACCGCCGGGAGGGGAGGCGGCCGAUUUUUUGGGAGGAGGGUGGAGGAGGUGGUUUUUUGGGAGAAGGUUGGAGAGGUGGCUGGUUUUGGGGGGAAAUAGAUUAGGGUUUUUUUUAGUAGUGCAUGUAUGGGGGAAAAAAAAGUAGAAUUUUUUUUGGGGAUUUUAGAGGCGCGGUUUUAAAACCGCCUUUAAUAUGCCGCUAACAGAUUCUGUAGAGGCGGUUGUUACAAACGUCUUUGAGCAACCGCCUCUACAAUAGCUUUUUCCUGUAGUGUCUCCUGACUGCAAAAGAAUGUCGACAGGACCUAUAGAGGGUCCACCGGGUUAGUAUCUAACCCACAACUAAUAAUCACAGUAUCCACAACCCCACAAAUAAUUUCAUGAAGAUCGGUUUCCCAAUACCGAUUACCGUAACUCGCCCGAAGUCCCGAAAACCACACCGGGACGCCGUCGGGACCCACUAAGUGUCCCGAAACUCACCAACUCGUACCACGAGUCACCCGCUGCCACAAAACACACCAAUUUGAAUGUCUUGGCAGUAAACACAAGGUAACACAACCCAACAAUUAUCGUUGGAUAAUUGUUCGGAUCCGGGUUCCCGGAAGUGUCUAUUUCGACACCGGAACCCACCGUCGCUCACCCGUCAUCAUCGAACCCACAAAAUGAUGAUGGUGAUCAGCCAACAAGGCUCAGCGACAACUCAACGGACAACCAAACCACGUCGGAAGAAAUCCGAAUCGAAUCUGUGUUCUUUCGGCUAAUUUCGCCGAAAAACGCACCGUAACCGACUCUUCGAUUUCCGCAAAGGCUAUCGGAUCAUGGACAAUCAGUCCAGAGGUUACCACACACACCAACGCGUUGCCCACAGUAGCCACAAGGUGCACAAUUGCAUAAAAGUCCCUCAAAUUACAUAAAAUCCUAUCAUUUUAUGUGAUUUGAGCGAUCAAGUGGUUAGUUCACGCAAACCGAGGACUUCCAAGGUCUACUGAGACACAUAUAGCUUGGUCUCGAUGUACCGGAGGCCGUGCUCAUGAUCCAGAGCACAACGGCUCACUGUGGGAAGCGCGGGAGCAACCCGAAGGUUCAGCGAAAAGCGUGCAGUCAAGGGAGAUCGCGCAGUCAAGGGAGAUCUCGCCGAACAGGACUAACCGGACACUGCUGAUCCAAAAUAAGGUGAGCACCGUGAUCAGCACUAACCAGCGGUCACCGUGCUCACCUCCGGAGGCAUCGGAACAGCCUCAGAUCGCCGGAAAAGCAUGCACAAACACAGAACAACAGCCAAAAAGGCUGAAACGGAGCGACAUCGCCGAAACAGCGAAACGGGGCCUUCCCGACAGAAACCAAGGUGAGCACGGUGAUCAGCGACUUGGUACAAUCACCGUGCUCCCUUUUUUAGAGAUCGGGAAGCCCCGGGAAGCUCGGAACAGUAGGCCAUCCCACAAAAGCCCCAUUUCGGGCUUGGCCGGAGCAAGCUUGCUCCGGCCGGCUUCCGGCGGCACGGCGGCGCGCGCGGAGGCCAGGGAUGGGUGCGGGGGAGGAGAGGAGUGAGGUGCUCACCUCAGACAGCGGCUGGAAGCGGCGGCGGCGGCGGAGGAACAAGACAAGCCCGCACGGCUAGGGCACGGGUUCCGCGGGCACCUGCGGCCACGGCGGCGGCCGGGGAGCUCCGAGACGGCGGAGGAGGAUUGCAGGAGGCCGGAGGGACGCCUCGGGUGCUGCCCCAAGCGGCGGCGGCGCAGGGGUGGAGUCGCACGCUCGCCUCGGCCCGAGCGGGUCUGGGGCGGCUGCGGGCUGGCCGAGGCGGCGGCGGCGGCACUCUGGGCGGCUCGGGGCGGCGGCGGCCGGCGGCCUGACGUCGGGAAGGUGUUACGGGAGUCGCCCAGGGCGGCGGCAAAGCGAGGAAGAGGCCGCACGGUCUGCUCGGCCAGGGCUCGGCCAAGUCGGCUGCAGGCUGCAGUGGCAGCAGCGGCGGCGCUCGGCGGGGAUGCUCGCCGGAGCACGGGGUGACCCUGGCGGAGGGUCUGAAGGUGGCGGUAGUCUCGGGCUUCCUCACAACCCGAGAGGAGAGAGAGAGAGAGAAAGAGAGGGAGAGGGGGAAGGAAGGUGGCUCCGGCGGCGGUUGGCCGGCCGGGGCUAAGUCGGCGGCGGCCUGGGCGUACGCAGCAGGUGCAGGGAAGUAGGGUGAAGGUGGCUGGGGGUGCGGCUAGGGCUAGGUUAGGGUUACAAGGCUCCAAACCCUAAAGAGCUAUAAAUACUAAGGUGCAACUUUGCAAAUAAGUCCACCAAACCUCAGUAUUUAUUACUGAGUCCUUCACAGCGCGUGUAAAACGCGCGGACACCCCUCCACGUGCGAUCCCACGAGAAACGGUACAUAAAAUAUCGCGACUUUUGCGAAAUUACCAUUUUGCCAUUACAGACCUCUCCUCGAUCAACACGCAAUCUCUGCAGAUCCGUCCGUCAGAUUUGCGAACGGAUUGCACCAGUGCGAUCAGCACGACGGAGACAACAAAGCUACCAUUUCGUUUCACCACGAUCGACCACGGAUUCGCGACCAAAUCCAAUCUUUCUUCCAAUAGAAGGAAUAACACAUAAAUACAUAUAAAACAUGUAUUUUUGGAUUUUCUCAAAAUCCGUGCGUCAAACUCAAAAUCUAUCAGCGCCAAUAGUUCCAAAACAGCUGAACCGAUCGAAACGAGCUAUUGGACCGCUAUGAACGAAGUUCGAUACGAGCCAGAAGCCAACUUCCCACCGUGGUUUCUCCGGAAAAUCGAGUUACUAUUCACUUUAAGUGAAACUUGGAAAUCGUGUAGAAUUUCCGUUUUAACUCAUUUUCGUCUGAAACUUGACGAGUGCUUUUGUAAUUAAAUUACACACUAAAAUAUCGUCAACUGAGAGUUUAGCUACACUGCAAAAGUCUCAGUCCUUACACAUUUCCUCUCUUUCCCUCUCUCUAAAAGCUUGGGCUAGGGCGUGGAGAAGAAGGAGAAAAGCUUGGAGAAAGUGGAUUUGGAGGCUUGGGUGGCUCUAGAAGCUCUCCAACAAGAAGGCUUGGGUGGAGCUUGGGCAAAGGUGAGUCCUUAUGCAAAAAUGAGUUUAGGGUUUGGUUUAGACCUUAGAUUUUUGGAUUUUGAUCUCUCUACAAGUGAGGAAACCCUCUAGAGACCUUGAAACCAUGAAAUCCAAGGUUGUCUUGGACCCCUCUCAUGGUGGAUCUCUAGGGCUCGAAGUAGAUGCCCUAGGGAUGGUUCUAAAAGCUUAGAAACCUUCUUAGAGAACUCUCCAUGUGUAUCUAAGCUUUCUUUUGCUUAGCAAUGAGAUCAAUCUAGGGGAAAUGCAAAAAAUGGCAUGUUAGGGCAUUCCAAAGAGGAGUUUUGCCCAAGUUAGGAUUCGAUAUAUUUUGAUCAUGUAGAAACCUAAUUGAAGGUAUUUUAAACGCGUUGAAAUGCUCGGUUCGACAAUCCGACGAAUGUAUGCAAAGUUAUUGACAAAAACGUCGUUUUUCGUACAGAUAGCCGCAGCACGCGGACUAGGGCUUCAAAAAUUUCAAGAAAUUCACCGUAGCAUCCUUGUAACCAUCUAAGGUGGGUGGUGCAUUCCAAGGACAUCGGAAAUCCCUUUAUGUCUAAAGCGUCAUAUUUGAGCAUAUGUACUUAUAUUGAGCAUGUUGCAUAGUAGGGUUAAUUGUAAAUUUCUAUUGCAUGACAUGAGUUUUAAUGCUUGAGAAAUAGUAGUAAAUGAAUGAGAAUUGGUAACCCUAUAUAUGCAUGACAUGGGACAAGAACCUAGAAGGGUUAGUAAAUAAAUGUGACAUGUUGACGUAGACAUAGAGUGUGGCAUGAGUACAAGAACAUAGCACCUAGAAAACAAGUGUGGCACCAAUGACAAAGAACAAGAACAAGUCGUGUACAUGACACUAGUAGAGGUUAGAGAAUGCAAGUGAAUUCGGUUAGUGACAUUAUGACAAAUGCACCUUAGAGUUAAGGGUCAUAUGAACAUGGUUCUCCUUGGAGUCAGGGAAUGGAUUGAACUUGGAAUCCUUAAAGUUAAGGAUUGAUCGUACUCACCUAAUAGUCCUUGCUCGAGGGCGGUAGCUCCCCCUCGGGCGAUGUGCUCCGGAGUUGUCAUCACUGGGUCGUAGCGGUUAUCUCCCCAGAGGGCGGUCCCGUCGGGUCGUAGCGGUUAUCUCCCCGACUAUAGGGAUUUGGGUUGGUGAGUUUGUGAGGGCGAAACCUACGGGCUAGCCAUGAGAUUGGGUAAUGAAAAGUUAAUCUUGCAUUCAUCAUGAGCAUUCUAUCGAGCAUAGUUUUAUUUAUCGUUCAGGCAUAUUAGCUGCAUUUGUUAGUUGGUUAUUAUCUAUUCUUUCUUCUAUUAUGCCUGAUUAGACCUAGUGGGAUAGUCGGCGUGGUUGGUUGCCGAACCCACUGGGAACUUUGUUGUAGUUCUCACCCCACUAUUUCCACAGAGCCGGGACCGAGCGAGCCGGCAGAUGAUCGCGGUAAGGGCAUCGCGCCCUAGGUAGAGACCGCCCGAGAUGGAUUUCAUUUUGUAGUUGCACACCCUUUACUAUCAUCUUUUGUAUUUGAUGAUUUUAGUAUUAUGAACUUGCUUUAAUGAAUGAUGUAAAGAAUAUUUACUUUAAAUGUCAAAAGUUAUAUUUUGGGAGAAAUGAGAUGUAAAAAGAAAUGAUGCAAGAAUGUGACAGAACUUGAUUAUAGUUGGAUACAUGUAUGUGAUUUAAAUUUAGUCAUAUUACUUGUAUAUUGAAUGGUUAAUUCUUUCACCUUGGCUAUUGCUUGCCCUCGUGCAAGCCAUUGUGUAUGCUUCCGCUUAUGCAAAUUUGUACUCUAUUGAUACUUGUGUUGGGCCUUGGGCAGACAGGGGAAGCUCUGUCCGUUUGGCGUCUGUUUGACGCUCUCGAACCGGCCAAAAGGGAUCGGGCUCGGGGAGUGACAGAUAAUUUGGUAUCAGAGAGUAAAAGAGCCAAAGGUGAAAGCAUAGGAUGGACCUAGAGACCCUUAGGAAUGGAAAGACCUUAAGGAUCUAGGAAACGUGAGUGACGUUGAACAAAUAUAGCGAAAGCUUAUGAUUGGGUUAAUGCUAAUAAGUCUCUAAUGUGGUUAGAGGCUAACUUAAAGUUGUUAUUUGUUUUCUUUCCUUUGUGUUGUGAUCGGCAGCCGACGACAUGAUGCUUUGGAAGGAAAAUAAAUGCACUUGUAUACUUUCGCCAAUUGGGUAUAAUCGAGUAUAUUGUCUGAGUAACUAACAUGAAUUGCUUCAUUUCAGGAAGCGAUGCCGCCUCGUGGACGACCUAAGUUGCCUCGUGGUCGACCGCGGACGAGGUCUAUGGCCGAGGAGCCAAGUGCGGCUCCCGUGCAACCCGGAGCAGGUGGCGACGGGGAGCUUCGGGAGCAGAUGGCCGCGCUUAUUGGCGUAGUGCGGCAGCAGGCGGAGUCUGUUCAGCGCCAAGGGGAGCAGAUCGAGAGGCUCCAGGAGGCUUUGGAGCGGCAACAGGCGGCGGCGGCGGCGCCCGGGGAGGCCGUGCACCCUGCGCCUCCUGCAGUGGUGCCGAGUGCGGCCGAAAGUGUGGCCGCAGCGGCCGUGCCAGUUACGAUGAUGCCGACAGGAUCGGGGACCUCAAAUCCCGAUAGUGCGGCGGAGGAGGCGGAGCGGGAGCGCAUGUUGGCAGCUCUCAUUCAGUUUCAGAAGUUUAACCCACCUACCUUCGAAUGUGGAGUAGUGGAGCCGGCGAUCGUGGAGUCAUGGAUCGACUCCAUGGAGACACUCCUUGAGGAUCUUAACACCUUGGAGAGGGACAAGGUGUACCUCGCCACAUAUUGCCUCAAGAAGGUGGCGAAGGUGUGGUGGAAGCGUGUUAGGCGGGAUCGAUCGCCUGAUCUUCCGCCUAUGAUGUGGGAGGAGUUCCGGAGGGCGGUGUUUGCCAACUACUUCCCCGAUACGGUGAAGCGGAAGUUGCAAGAGAAAUUCCACAAGUUGCACUCUACCCACUAGCCUUAGCCGACCUUGUGGGGAGCCGCACUCUACCCACAAUGGUCGUCAAUUAGAGAGCUACUCUCUACCCGCUUUAUGAUCCUAGCUCAGUCGAGACUCAUUUCACACUUUCGGCUAGUGAAUGACUCUUCUACCAACUGUGAUCCCUCACUUUCUAGAGAGGUCACUCAUUCUAAAGCUACUCUAGUCUAAUUAGCACGCUUAAUCUUCUUAACCUAUUGGGCCUAGCCACCUCUAAAAUGCUAUAGUUUGGUUAAGAGUUUUAGCCCUAUUAUAUCUCAUAUCUAGGACUAUUCCAAAUCCUUGGGGUGUCACAUUCACGCCCCACGAUGUAGAGGAACCCCUCGUAUACACCAAUAGACCCACUGUAUGCACAGGGAAGUAUCCCGCAACGCACGAAGCGCCAAUCCACCUGUCGAACAUGCAAAUUCUAGGCACAACUACACAAAUGUUAGGAGUUCACAACUAACAAGUAUCAGAGUAUAAGAAUACAUAACAAUUGAUAUAAGCUAAUAGAUACAAAUAUCAUCCAUACAUUUCUAAAAUAAAACCUCCAAAAUAUACAUCACCUACGCGCCUCGCCAGUUACACAAGUACAUAUUGCUAUAAAAAGAAAAUAUACAUCUACUGGGCCCACCUCUAGCUCAGUCGACUAUGGUAGGAGAUGUUAUCUAUCGUGCUAUCCUCUUAGCUUGAUUAGAUGCAAAAGGAGCUGAGGAGUCUGAAAUAGAAAAAUAAUAAAAAAGAUGGCGUAAAAACUACUGAACUAUAGUCCUCAAGAAGUACCAUCGCCGACGACAACGACAUACCCACUAAGUCUACUAGAGGCAAAGAUAGUAAAUAAAACUAUACGAAAGCAGGAUAUAAAUAUUGGAAAUAAACUACCACUAUCAUUCCUCUAAGCUACUACUACUGAAAACUGUAAAUCAUGUAUAGCAUGUAUCAAUUACCUACUAAAUAUAUAAGCAAAACUGUCAGUCACACCGACCAUGUCACGCCUCAGGACCGCCAAUUUGGUCGGUUCAAACAUGCAAACAAACGCCGAACAGACAAGCCUCCUCUGUCCGCCCAGAAAAAUUUCAAUAUACAUGACUUGCACGAGGACAAAUAAAUAAGAGCAAGUGAAAGUAAAUUCUAACUAUUACAUCCAUACAUUGAACUUUGAUUACAUAACCAAAAUACAACUCUUUUUUAGGAUUCAUAUCCCCCAAAUACAUCAUUCAUCAUUCUUAUUACAACUACAUGUCUUUUUCAUCAAAUACAAAAGAUGAAAGUAAAGGGUACAACUAAUGCUCGGAGGUCUACUACCUAGGGCACUAUGCCCUUAUCCCGAUCCUCAACCGCCCCGCUCACGCUAGAAUCUGCAAAAAUAGUGGGGUGAGAACUACAAGAAGUUUCCAGUGGGUUCGGCCAUCGACCCCGCCGACUCUCCCACUAGGUCUAAACAGGCAUAAGUAGAGAAAGGUAGAUUGAUAAAUAAAUAACUUAACUAAUGCAGCUACUAUACCUGUAACAAGAAACUAACACAAGGAAUAUUAUGCUCAUGAUGCAUGUCCUUUCUAAUACUUUUCCCAAUCAUCUUGGCUAACCCAUAGGUUAAGCCCAACUCAUCAAACCAAAUCCCUUUUAUCGGAGAGAAUUCCGCUACCACCCGACGAGACCGUGAGCUGGGGAGAAUUUCGCUACCGCCCAGUCAAUGACAACUCCGGAGCUCACAGCUUGAGGUGUAGCGACCACCCUCGAGCAUAUCAAACUAUCUGUGAGUAUGAUCCAAUCCUCAACCUUGAGGAUACCAUGUCACUAAUGUCAUAAUACCUGUAGUGUAUCAUUUUCUAGCAUUCUAUGUUUCUAAGUGCUAUUCAAUCCAUCUAGUCAUAAUGUCACCUUGUUUACUAUAUUGUCACAGUUCACAACUUGGUUCAUGCAUCUAUAGGGUUCUUAUGUCCAAAGUUUCAUUGUCAAUUCACAUAUAUGUUUACGUUGGAAGUAUGCAAAAGAUUCCAUAUAAUACCAUUUAACCCUACAAUGCAUGAAUACAUACAUAUGCUCAAGAAAGUGACUUAGACAUAACGAGAAAUUCAACUGUUUCGGAUAGCACCACCCACCUUGUAGGGAUGCCGGGAUGCUUGAAUCCAAGUCCCGCAAUUUAUCUUCGCCUAUUUCCCUCGACCCAACACUAACGAAGGUAAAAUAAGGUUUUUCUUCAAUAGGACGUCGUAGGCUCGUCGAAACUCCAAUCCGAGUUGCCCAACGCGUCGAAUUAUCCUUCAAUUAGGAAUACCAAAGGUCAAUUUCAUCAUAGAUCUCAAUUUCUACAAAAUUCUAAAUUUAACCCUAGGGUUUGCAUAUACCACAUAUACCCAAUUUUCUUAGGAUUUCAUGGAAUACUCUAAGCCUUUAUAUCCCAAGAAUCUUAAACACAUGCAAUUUAUGGUAGUUAAAUUAAACCCUAACUCAUACAUGCAAAGGAACUCACCUUGACUCCCAUGCUCCACAAUCCCUUCCUUGUUCUUGAGCCUCCUCACCUCCAAGAGCUCCAAUCCACCCUCAAAAUCUCCUCCAAUUACACCUUGUUGGAGAGAUUCUAGAGAGAGAAUGAAAGAAAAUGAGAAGCUUUUCUCAUGUAAUGAGAAUGAAUGCAUUGGGCCCUUUAUAUAAGCCAUCAUAAUUGCAUUUAAGUCCUCCAACUCUUGCUAUUUAUAACUAUUCAAUUUCAACCCUUUGCAGAGCUGAGUACCGGUACUGGAAUUGGAGUACCGGUACGCGAGCUCUCCAGUACCAGUACCCGUUUCCUGGUACCUCAACCUGAACGUUGGCAAUUUGGGUUUAAUAUAGGGUUUCGGUAUGCGACCCCCAGUACCCAUACCCGACCUCCAGUACCGAUACCCGCUACGUAGUACCGAUACAAUCCAAAGCAGAACCCAAACCCGAGAGUUGGCUAUUUGGGUAAUCAACUGAGUACUAGUACUCAACCAUUAGUACCGGUACACAGCCUAUCCAGUACCGGUAACCCGAGAGCUGGUAGUUUUGCACUCAUAUUGGGUACCGGUACCCCAUUCCUGGUUUCGGUACUCAAUAGAAUUUCUGCCGUUCCAGCAGACUUAACACUUCAGAGCCCGUUUCCGCGCCCGGUUUGCGCCGAAAAUACUUAAAUACUCUCGAAACUCACUUCUAACCAUCCGAAUGCCUUCAAGGCAACUCGGGGACUUCACUUAUCACCUUCAUACCACACCUUGAUCAAUUUGAUCAAUGUUAGCAUUACGAUUCGGGGAUUCGGUAUAUUAGAAAUCGACUCAUAAGUUCGGUCAAGCUUGUACCUGCCUCACACCCGACCCCGACACUAACUUGGUGGUCUAUCGAUGCACAGGCAAUCUAUCCACUAAAUCAGCCACCAGCCUCCAGAGGAGCAAUUGAGAAAUGCGAUCCACUCAAGUGUAGUAUUUUUAUUAAGUACAUUAGGGUUCCUGCAUGCUAUGGUCAUAUGCGAAUGAUCACCCAGAUCAUAUCAAAUACUGUCAAGGUGCCAUUGGCGUAAUCAUGAAUAUGUCACUGUUUAAAACCGCUAUGCUUACCCAAGGCAAUAAUAAAUCAUAUGUCGUUCACAAUUUGUCACCACCCAAAUCGUGAGCAUAUAUCCAAACUAACAGGUUACGCAUAUAUCAAUAAUGUCAUCUCUACUAAAGAAAAAUAAUAGGAAAGUGGAGGAAUAAAUAUAUUGUUAGAUGUGAUCUGAACCAACUCUCAAGUAAGAAUUAUGAAGCAUAUAUAUAUAAGUAUGCUGUCAUAGUAACAGUUAAUUCAACUUCAAUAGUGAGGUAUCCAAAUUGCUACCAUGUCAAUAGGUUAACAUACAUACUAAAUUCUGCAUACUAGACAUGGUAAGAAAUUCGCUAUUUUUAGCUAAUCCAUCUGUAAAUAUUGUCCAAUGCAAACAAGAAAUGUAGCUCAAAAUCCCCUUCCUCACUGUCUCAGAAAAUCGGUAAGAAAACCAACAUAAAUCCUGCUCGUAAAACAAUCAAGCAUUAGCUAAAAACGCAUCCAAUCCAAAGCUCCCAAACAAAAACCAAAUCUUCAAACCAUUAGACCAAAUAAUAGUUACCUACCUCAAGUCCAGAUAGAGAAACGGAUCCACAAUCUGCCUCCUCCUCAGCCAUACACUAGUCCAACCUCCUCUACAGCAUCAUAGCAGAGGAGACUCUUCUCCCAACUCUCCUAGCUAUAGCAGAGGAUGAAGAAAAUAAGAAGGAGAAGAAAUGGAGUAAAGGAGGUUUCUUGAUGGCGAAGGAGUGAGAAAAGAAUGGAUGUAAUACAUAGGCAUAUAUACCGACGAAGAAUUUCAGAAAUGCAUCAGAAAAUAAGAAGUAACACACCCUAGCCCAAAAGCGAACUUUCGAGCACCAAGAACUAGAUUUUCAAGCAUCCACAAGCAUCGAAGAUGCAUCCACUCUCUUAUUCAAGCGCCCGAAUAGAAGCCCAAAGUUGUUGUUAGUCUGUCCACAAAUUUUCGGGCACCCGGAUAGAAGGUUGAAUCUAUCAUAGCUGCACUCGAUCACAUGCAGAUGCUCGAAACCCCAUACCUAAAACUCCUGUGACACUGUGCAUGUGUCAGCACAAAGUUAGAUCAUUACUAAUCUACCCGGGUUGCUACAGUAAUUUCAGGCGUCUGGAGCUGGGAUUCGAAUCAACGACAAAGCAUGUACAUCACUUUUGGGCGCCCUAAAGUCCUUUUGGGCAUAUGAAACUCAUUGAAACUUCAGUUUCAUUAGGAUUUUCAAUUUCGAACCUAUUUCGCAUCGAUUUUGCAUCAAAAUGGCUCCAACUCGGUCCGCCACGCUAUAAACGUGCAGACCAAGCACUGCAAGUGUGAUCUUGCCCACCAACCAAUGUCUAGUACACUUUAUUGACCUCACUCAAUCCAUCUAAAUGUUAGGUCUAUUGUUGGGCCUUUUGCCGCUAGGUUUAUAUUGUGAACCGCAGCUCCACUCAACUUUUGGGCUCACCCAACUCAAUUUAUUAGUCGCUUAAGCCUAUUAUCACUGUGAUGCCCUACUUUCCAAGGAGUCAUCUAUCCUAGGACUAUUCUAGCCCUAACACGCUUAACUCUCUUAAUCUCUUGGACCUAGCCACUACUCAAAAUGCUAUAGUUGGGUUAAGUACUUUAGCCCUAUUAUAUCUUAUAUAUAUAGGACUACCUGGAAUCUCACAUUCCCCCUCUCCCCUUCCCCCCUUUAAGCCCUGACGUUCUCCUUAGGCUCAAACUCACAAAUACCAGAAGAUGUGAGACUCUUCUUGCUAGUUUUAACCGAUCUUGUGGGGGAGCCGCACUCCACCCACAACAAUCAAUAGCAUGAGAGCCUUGCUCUUUCCGUUGUAUGCUUAGUUAAGAUUCAUCUCACACUUCCGGCUAGUAAUUGGCUCUAAUACCAAUUGUGAUGCUCCACUUUCCUAAAGAAAAAUUCAAGUUUCCUCCUAUGUGUAGAACCGGCUCCAAUCGGAACGCAACAUUUCCUCCUAUGUGUAGAAACGAAAAAUUCAAGUUUCCUACACGCUCAAGAUCGCACAAGCACCGAAGAAGACAAGAACGGAGAAAUAGACAGCUCAUAAUAAUAAUCUCAAACAACUCCACAUAUAAAAUUAAACAGCUUUACUAAGAGUAUCUAAAACACCAUACAAUGAAAGUCGAAAAAUAUCAAAUAAAUCUUCAAUCAAAACACCUUACAAUGAAUAUUCAUAAGAGAGGAGAAGAAGUAGAUUAGAGGUCGCCUGCCUCAAACCUAGCAAAAACUCAACUACCUUUGGAACCUCUUUCACGCUUCUCUUGCACUUAGAGAAAACACCAAAAAGAAUUUUGAAGCUUAAGAGAAGAAGCUCUAUUUUUCCUCAUAACUUAUUUUCUUUUGACCCCUAACUAAAACUCAUAUGGUCCAACUUGGCUCACUUAGACCAAAAUAAGCCACAAAUCAAUUUGACUCAAAAGGAACAAAAAAGAGGCCCAUUUAAAUAAUAGACCAUUGGGCUCCUAUAAAUACACUUAUUAAAUUAGUAAACAAAAGGAAACAAAAAAAAAAAGUUUAGCACUAGUUUCUAACAUUUUCGUAGGUCACCCAUCGUAGGACUACUCUAACCCUAGCACGCUUAGCUCCUCUAGCCAUCGCUCAAAAUAUUAUAGUCGGAUUAAAAAUUUUAACCCUAUUAUAUAUAUCUUAUAUAUAGGACUAUCUGAGCUCUCACAAUCAUAAAGUAGGAAGUUGGAUAUAUUUUAGCCAAUAAUUAAUAGCCAAUGCCAUGGUCCGCAAAUUUCAUUGCGAGCUCUUGGGUGCAUUCGCUGCUAUUCAUUUGAAACAUCAUAUCUCAACUGCGUAUCUUCAAUCGGGUAAUGCUCAUCAUCAUGCACAAGGAGCAGUUCGUGCAUGCAUUGAGCAGAAAAUGCUCCAUAAUUAUAGAAGCCACUAGUUUUGAUCUCCCAAAUAGUUGGAAAUCCUUCUUCCCCUUCAACUUCUUAUCGGAAUUAUUUCGAUCAUUUUCAUCCAAACAAUUUCUUAAAAAAGCUUCAUUUUUAGAGAAGAAUUUAAAAAGUGAUUCCAGUAGAGAAGGGAUGUUGAUAGAGCGAAACAAUUAAUUUCUCAGCAGCAACAACUUCAUUUGGGAAAGAAGAAGUUAAAAUAUAAUAAUUUGAAUGGAAAGGAAUGCUGAUAGAAGAAAGGACUAUUAUAUAUCUAAUGAAGGCCCGUUUGGCCUAGCAGUUGAAGAAAUGGUUUUCGUAUAAUUAAUUUUGAUUUGAAAAAUCAAUUUUCGUUAAAAUUUAUAGAGCUUUCAGCUGAAUUUAGAUAGAAAAUGAUUUUUCUGAAAUAAUAUUGUAAAUUUGUUAAUCAAAAAAAUUUUCUUUCUUACAAAUAAUGAUUUUUACGACAAAAUUUCAUCUUAAAAUAAUUUAAAUUUUCAAUUUCAAUUUAAAAUUAGAACAAAAUAAAAAAUUUAAUAUUUUGACUUAAAAUAUAAUAUUAAAAUAUAAAAUUUAAAAAUUAAAAUAUAAUUUUAAUUUUAAAGUCUACAUUAAAGAUUAAUGAUUUAAAAUUUACGUCUAAAAAUUAAAUUUAAAAAUUUGAAAUUUGAAAUUUAAAAGUGAUAGAAAGUGAUUCAAUGUGACGCCCCGAAUUACAACGUUUUUCCGGGCACACCAACAGACCCGCCGUAUACAUAGAAAUUUUUUCGUGUAAACGAAGCGAUAGCUGUACCUGUAAACAAGUUUGAGCUACAACCAAGAGUAUAGAGCUACCAUAACUAAAACAUAAAUAAAAUAUAAAGGUUUCACUGUACAUACAACAUCGACAACCACACCUCGCUGCAGCGAGUGCACAAAACAAAAAGUAUGUGUAUGAAUACAACUCACUAUAUAUCUCUGACGGGUACUCCGCUAGCACGGCAACCAAGGCUGGUAGGGAUCUAACUCACGACUCCCUUACCUCUGUCAAAAUCAGCAACAGCAGCAGCCACAGAUGAAGGCUCUACAAAAAGGUGUCAACAACUAGGUGUGAGAACUAUUGCAAAAUAGAAUAAUCCUCAGUGGGUACCGUCACCGACCUCAACGGCCUACCCACUAAGUCUACAGUAAUGAUAUGAAUAUGAUAGUAAGGAAAGCUGGAAAGAACUCUACAACUACAUGCCUCUAAACUAUUGCUACCAAAACAACUGUCUGUAGACAUAAACAUGCAUCACUAGCUACCACUGACCAAAUCUCACAUAGGCUGCCCAAACGGACCCACCCUACCUGUAACCAAGUUACACCGUACACCACCCACAGGGAUGGCCGGUCUAAAAAAAUGGUCCAAACAGGAUGGCUGCAAUAUCAACGCAAGUCAAAGCCUCACUCCGAAGCGGCACUCAUGGGUGUGACCCAACCGAGUAUGCAAGCGUGUCUUUGCCGAGCUCAAUCAGGCUCUCACAGGCUGUAAUCAAGGCAAAUGGGUCAAACUGGUCUAACAACCAAAGCUUACGUGCCAUUGACACAAUCUGAUGCAAGAUACAAAAAUCUUGAUGCGCCAUCAACUACGACGGCACCCAACAGUACAGAACAGUCUACACUCUACUGUAAAAUGAGUUCGACCUCUCAGCACGUGCGUAAUCUCAACCUACACUAGUCUGGGUAUCCACCUCGCACUAACAGCGGUGAUACAAGAGAACAACAGCUCCUACAGCUAUUUCGGUUACUUUUCGAAAAAUGACAGUGUAGGUUUAGCGAGCUUUCUCCUAAGUUAAUUCCACGUUCAGCAUAUAAAUUUGUCUAAAUUACUAGAUCAUGCUCCAAAAGUCAGAUUUUAUAAAAUAUGCAUUUUCUGAAUUUGAGCAACUAACAUGAUGAACAAGGCCAAAAACAUAUGUUGACGCUUCUAUAACUUAGAAGGAAAUCCAACAAUUUCGUAAAUAUUAACCCAUCUCGAGCACUCGUCCAACGUCGGCUAGAAGUUGAUAAGAGAACUACGCACACUCGCUCGACCUCCGAUGACUCAACCAGGACAACCCACGCGUUCGAACGAUCCUCCUAGGAAGUGAAGAAUCCAAACGAGCUCGAUUCUCGACCUUCCAAACGAACGAAGUAAACAAGCUAGAAAGAGAGAGAGGAAGAAGAGAAACAUACUGUUUCUCCAAGCUUCUCAGGCUGCUAUAUAAGCUGGGGUAGGUGGCGAUACAAUUCACAACCAAAAAGACCAAAAUAUCCCUUACCAACUCCAAUCUGCCUCUGAGGUACCGGUACUCAACUUGAAUACCGGUACUCGGCCCUCUCUCCGCAAUCUCACGCGCUGGGUACCGGUACCAGCCCAAUGCAGUACCGGUACUCAAGUUCGAUACUGGUACUCAAUAACAUGUACCGGUACUCGACAUCAGACAUGCACAAAUUUGAGAGCAUCCAAUUCUACAAUCUCACUGGGGGUAUCGGUACUUCUCACCAGGUACCGUUACUCAACACUGAAAUUCUGCACUUUGCAUAUUUCAGUGUCAGAACUCCACUCUCGCAUCGCGCUGAGUCCGUUUUGCGUCCAUUUCAAGCCAAAACGACUCCGACUUGUCUCGACACCCACCAGACGUGUCGACAAGCCACAGAUGUUGAAGCCUCUCUGACCGCUAAAUACCAGGAACACUACAUUCAAAUUAAGAAAAAAAAAUUUGAUAGAUGGAAAAAAAAAAAAAAAAAAAAAAAAAAAACUUUCAUAUAAUGUAGCAUGAGUGGAUUUCAGCACUUUCUUCUCGUUGUAGACCAACUAGCUCCCUAAAACUUUUCUUUCAUUUGGUCAGGGCUUCUUUAUAACUAUUUCGACUAUUUUCGUCCAACCAAUUUCUCCGCAACAACUGGUAAUCUGAUGCAGAAGUUUUAGAAAUGAUUCCAAUGGACUAGGGAAAAUCGUGUUGAUGGAAGAAUAAGAGUUCUCAACAUCAACUUCAUUUGAGUAAGAAGUUAAAGUAGUGAUCGAUUCAACAUUGUACCAUGUAAUUAGGUCGUCUGGUUGCCUAAAAAAAGUUAACAUUUCUAUUAUUCACUCAUAAAAUAUAUUGAGACCGCUCAACUAUGGAUAUUUUAAUCGCUCCCUACCUUUAGCUUUUCUUAAUUUUUAUGAGUACUCUCUUAACUUUUAUAUUUUCCGUCUAACACGACUACAACAAAAUGGUCUAUAUACGCAUUUUAAUGUAGGUAACAUGUCAAAAAAUUGCUGUGGUGGUGUUUGAAGAUUGGGGAGGUGACUUCUACGAUGUUUAAGAGAAGUUGUCUAUUUAUUGUGUUCUGUUUGGUGGUGGGGGUGGUGUCUGUGGGAUUUGUAUAGUUGUGAGUGAUCUAUUUUAUAGAUGUGUGAUGGGGUGCGCGUGAUGAGAGCGUAGAGGAGAGAGUGCUGCUAAUUCCAACACUUAUUGUGAUAGGUUUAGCAACCUUGCUGCUAUUAGAUCGUCGUAUCUCGUUGGCUGCGGUGGGGAGGAGUUUACGUAUCUAUUAAAGUCUUCUCUGUUAUAAUUGCGAGUUGUGUAUGUAUCUGAGUGAGUGUUUUAGAAGAUGGAAGAUGGGGUAAGUUUUUUUUUUUUGGGUGUCGUGAGUUGUAAGUCGGGUGGUUCCAAAUGACUCUGUGGGUGUGUGCUGUUGCCGUGGGUGAGUAGAGUAACAUCUUUAUGUUGUUGCAUUGCGGCUUUAUAUUUAGGCAUUAGUAAAUGUUUUUUUAAGUUUUAGUAUAAAUGGGACACUUACACAAAAGUGUCCCAAACAUGUGUCCCUAUAACCUAAUUCUGUUGUAGUGGCAAUUUUAAUCUAAUAAGUUAAAUAUUUUUCUAAUUUAUUAAUAAUUAUAUCAAGUUUUUAAGAAUUUUUAAUUAAUUUUAGCAUGCAAAAUUAAAAUAGUUAAACUAAUAGUUGAUAAAAUAUCUACUCAAUUUAACAAAAUUUUUAACUAAUUUUACUAUAAAAAUUCCAAUAAAAAAUUAUAAACUAGGAAGUUUUAAUAAAAAAUAAAAGUUAACAUUUAUUUCAAAAUAGUCCGUAAAUAUUAGGGGGUAUCUUCAGACGUCUUUAUGCAAGCAGUACUAUUGCCUAAAUUUAAUUUAUUAUAUAAUCCGUAGAUAGGGAUGCAAAUGGAUCCGGAUUGGUGGAGCUCCCACCUCGAUCCAUUCUGAAUCGAUUGAUAAGUUGUAACAAAAAAAUAUAGAAAAAUAUAAUUCACUCCGAAUCUGUCCCGAUCCGCUAAGUAAAUGGAGCGGAAGGCGAGAGACCCUUUUUUUUCCUUCAAUUCGUCCCGAUCAAUUAAAAAUCCACCAAAAAUCUACUCCCGUCCCGAUCUGCCUCGGAUGGGGUGGUAAAUAUGAGCCAAAAAUAAAAUGAAAAAUAACCUGUCCCGAAAAGAAAUGGAAUGGGAGGUGGAAGAACCCUCCCACCCCUGAUCCUCCUCGUUUGCUUCCCUAUAUAUCCAUCUAUAAACUCCUAUGAAAACCCAUAUCCUUUUGUCCACGUGGCGAUAUCUAUAAACUCCUAUAAAAACCUAUAUCUUUUUGCUCACGUGGCGAUAUUAGCUUAAUUUGAUCUUUUGUGGGGCCUACCCGUCAUCUUAAAUUACCAUACUUAAUUGUUAUUUGUGUGGGCAUAUCAGUCAUCCUAAUUUACAUGGCCCAUAAGGCCCACUUGGCUUUUUUUUUUCUCAUCUUCUUCCAAUUUAAUUCAACAUGGGCCCUCAUGGCAAUUUUUUUUCUUCAUCUUUUUCCCAUUUAAUUCAGCCGGUUCCCAUUUAAUUGGUUUAAGUAACCGGUUCAUCUUUCAACCGGUUACGAUUAAACCCAUUACAUCUUCAACCCUAGCAUGUUCGCUACCUCCUAGAUGCCGCUCGCCCCCUAGAUGCCUCUCCGACUCCUGAUGUAUACAUCCUCCCUGGACGAAAAAUUAGGCUGAAUUCACUAUCGAUCCUUCUUCCCAUUGCGCUGUUUUUGAUAACGAUGCUUCAUUCCUACCGAUUGAUCCCUCUCCGAUCGCAAAAAUGGUUCAGAUUCAUUAUGUACGGUCUCUCCGACUUGUCGGAUAUCUAUAUUUGUUGAAUGCGAAGGGUUGUUUUAUGUUGAAUGUUGUCUCUAUAAAAUUUUUAUUUGCAGCAAAAAAUCUCUAUUUCUCUGUUGGUGCUCUUUUCUUCUCUGAUUUGAUUUUCAUCUUUUAUUUUUGUUUGAAUUUCAAUUUGGCUGUUAUUAUUUUUUAAAAAAAAAUAUUGAGUAAUUUUACUUUGUCUCAAAAAUUACCUCUAUCGAUAGCAUCAAGUUUUCCACCGUUAGAUUUAACCCUUUAACUAUUUUCACCCGUUAAAUUAUAUUAUUAAACCAAUAACUCAUUUAACUCUAGGGGGCCCACAUCAUCAUAACCGUACAUUUUUUUCAUCUAAGGGCUGAAAACCUAAUAGCACCAAUAGGUUGGUGCUAUUGAUAGUAUUCCAGUCUAUAUAUAUAUAUAUAUAUAGAGAGAGAGAGAGAGAGAGAGAGAGAGAAAGAGAGAGAGAGAGAGAGUUGAGCUAGAAUACUCUCAAAAGCACCAAGGGAGUNAAAUAUUUUUCUAAUUUAUUAAUAAUUAUAUCAAGUUUUUAAGAAUUUUUAAUUAAUUUUAGCAUGCAAAAUUAAAAUAGUUAAACUAAUAGUUGAUAAAAUAUCUACUCAAUUUAACAAAAUUUUUAACUAAUUUUACUACAACAAUUCCAAUAAAAAAUUAUAAACUAGGAAGUUUUAAUAAAAAAUAAAAGUUAACAUUUAUUUCAAAAUAGUCCGUAAAUAUUAGGGGGUAUCUUCAGACGUCUUUAUGCAAGCAAUACUAUUGCCUAAAUUUAAUUUAUUAUAUAAUCCGUAGAUAGGGAUGCAAAUGGAUCCGGAUUGGUGGAGCUCCCACCUCGAUCCAUUCUGAAUCGGUUGAUAAGUUGUAACAAAAAAAUAUAGAAAAAUAUAAUUCACUCCGAAUCUAUCCCGAUCCGCUAAGUAAAUGGAGCGGAAGGCGGGAGACCCUUUUCUUCCUUCAAUUCGCCCCGAUCAAUUAAAAAUCCACCAAAAAUCCGCUCCCGUCCCGAUCUGCCCCGGAUGGGAUGGUAAAUAGGAGCCAAAAAUAAAAUGAAAAAUAACCUGUCCCGAAAAGAAAUGGAGUGGGAGGUAGAAGAACCCUCCCGCCCCUGAUCUGCCUCGUUUGCUUCCCUAUCCAUCUAUAAACUCCUAUGAAAACCCAUAUCCUUUUGUCCAUGUGGCAAUAUCUAUAAACUCCUACAAAAACCUAUAUCUUUUUGCUCACGUGGCGAUAUUAGCUUAAUUUGAUCUUUUGUGGGGCCUACCCGUCAUUUUAAAUUACCAUACUUGAUUGUUAUUUGUGUGGGCAUAUCAGUCAUCCUAAUUUACAUGGCCCAUAGGGCCCACUUGGCAUUUUUUUUUCUCAUCUUCUUCCCAUUUAAUUCAACAUGGGCCCGCAUGGCAAUUUUUUUUCUUCAUCUUCUUCCCAUUUAAUUCAGCCGGUUUCCAUUUAAUUGGUUCAAGUAACCGAUUCAUCUUUCAACCGGUUAUGAUUAAACCCAUUACAUCUUCAGCCCUAGCAUGUUCGCUACCUCCUAGAUGCCGCUUGCCCCCUAGAUGCCUCUCCGACUCCUGAUGUAUACAUCCUCCCUGGACGAAAAAUUAGGCUGAAUUCACUAUCGGUCCUUCUUCCCAUUGCACCGUUUUCGAUAACGAUGCUCCGUUCCUACCGAUUGAUCCCUCUCCGAUCGCAAAAAUGGUUCAGAUUCAUUAUGUAUGCUCUCUUCGACUUGUCGGAUAUCUAUAUUUGUUGAAUCCGAAGGAUUGUUUUAUGUUGAAUGUUGUCUCUAUAAAAUUUUUAUUUGCAGCAAAAAAUCUCUAUUUCUCUGUUGGUGCUCUUUUCUUCUCUGAUUUGAUUUUCACCUUUUAUUUUUGUUUGAAUUUCAAUUUGGCUGUUAUUAUUUUUUUUAAAAAAAUAUUGAGUAAUUUUACUUUGUCUCAGGAAUUAACUCUAUCGAUAGCAUCAAGUGCUUGGUGCUAUCAAGUUUUCCACCGUUAGAUUUAACCCUUUAACUAUUUUUACCCGUUAAAUUAUAUUAUUAAACUAAUAACUCACUUAACUCUAGAGGGCCCACAUCAUCAUAACCGUACAUUUUUUCAUCUAAGGGCUGAAAACCUAAUAGCACCAAUAGGUUGGUGCUAUUGAUAGUAUUCCAGCCUAGAGGUAUAUAUAUAUAUAUAUAUAUAUAGAGAGAGAGAGAGAGAGAGAGUUGAGCUAGAAUACUCUCAAGAGCACCAAGGGAGUGGUGCUUUUGAGUUUUUAGCUAUUGGAUGGAGAGAUGUAGGGUUGAGAUGAUGGGGUAGGUGGUGGUAAGUGGUGGUAGGUGGAAUAGUGUUUGGUCCAAAGGUUAUUAGUAAUCAGGGAGUAGAUCCAAGGGCGAGAAACUCAAAAGCACCAAGGGGUUGGUGCUUUUGAGAGUAUUCUAGCUCAAUUUUAUAUAUAUAUAUAUACUUCAAUACACUAUAUAAAUCUUGAUCAUUUAUUUUUCUUAAUAGAUGGUUUAAAUUUAAUAUGACUCUAGAGAUGGCCUACUAUUGAAGCGUAGGUACCAUUCAUCAUGUACUUAUGGUCUUUGUAAAAUAUUUUGGUCUACAAAACCAAUUUUAUCCAACUAAGAAUACUAUGACCUUUUCAAAUGCCUACAACAAUAGUUGGAUUUCAAAUUACAACCAAAUUGUAAAUUUAAAUUCAAAACAACAUUUAAAACUUAAUUAUAGAUCAAAUUCAAUUUUUUUAAAUAUAAAACACAAAUUUAAAAUAAAACUUUCAGUUCCAAUUCAAAAUUUCAAUUUAAAUCAAAAAUUAAAAUUUGGUUUUAAGAUUACAAGUUCAAUUUAUAUUCAAAUUAAAAGUUUAAUAUAAAUUUCAAAAUUAAAAUUUUGCAUUACAAUACCAACUUCAAAAAUUAAAUUUAAAUUCAAUAUUUUUUUGAGCUGGAUACUUAACAAAUUGGGUAUUAUCUAAUUUGGUAAGUUAUCAAAGAGAAUAAGAUAUUUGAUAUUUAUAGGAUGCUGACAAAUUUGGUAUAUACUACUAAUUUUCUUUCUAAUAUUGUCAUACUAACUAAUUCAAAUUGGUAACCUGCUCAGCAGGUUACUUCAUGUAAAACUCAAUUAUACCCUUUACUAAUUAAGAAUAAGAUUUUAAUAUUUUUGGUGUAUUNUCGACUAACCUUUUAAUGAUGAGUGGAUAAUUGCACCUCAAUCAUUUUAAGUAGUAAAUGUCACCAAACCUCAUUAUUUGAUCGUCCACAUUAACAUUUGCAGAUUAAUAAAUUAGCAUGCACAAUUUGAACUAAUAUUUCAUUUGAACAAUGAAACGAAUACCUUAGUAUCUAAAAUAAUAAUAAUAUAAUAUAGAAUGAAAUGAUAGAUUAACUGUACUCCUUACAUUCAAAGUGUAUGAUUCCCAACAAAAAUAAAAACUUGAAAAUAUAUAUAUUUUUUGCUUUUUAUAUUUUUCUUUUCUUUAUUUAAAAAAGUUAUUCACCACUUAAGUGGAGUGGGUAACAAGUUUACUGAUCCUAACAAUAAGAAAAAGGAUUAAUUUAAAACAGGUCCCUAUAAAUAUAGUGAAUAGUAAAUAUAUUUUUACAAAGUUCAACUUAAUUUCAUAUGUUGUCCCUACAAAAGUCCUGAUGUUUUCAAAUAUAUCACUGCUGUUAGAAUCCGUUAUAAAAGUUUAGUUAACUAUAGAUUAAAUACUUAAUCUUGGUUAAUUUUUAAUAAUUUUACCCUUCUUAUAUUAUAAUAUUAUGGCUUUUGGAGGGAUAUAUAUUUGUGUUAACAAAAUUGAAAAUAUAAACGGUUCUCUAACGGUAACAAGCCAGAGAGAUAUAUUGGAAAAUAUGAGAACCCUAAGAAAAAAGUCCUCCUUGAUGUUGCAUAUCAGAAUAUAUAAAUUAGUCCAAAAAAUAGCAACAAUACCAAACAUGUUAUUGAUUUGUCAACUCUAAACCUACAUAGUAAUAGUAAUAUUGAGGGCCACAAUAGGAUUUUGAAAAUCUUAGCUCCUAUAAUUUUAAGAUAAAAGCAUUUAAAAUGCUAGAUAGUUUCAAAGUGUCCUUUUUUAAAAGCUUUUUCUUUUGAACUUUUUGUUUCAAAAUUUAUUUUUCAAUGAACAACUAUAAUUUCCUAUUAAUUUCUAGUGAAAUUAAAAUUUCUCCAGAUAUAGAAUGAUCUGACUUUUCCUCCAUAUGUGAAUUUCCAUUUAAAAAAAUUAAAAUAAAAAAUAUUUUAAAAAAACAGCUAUGGACUACAAAUAGGGUUGUCAUUUGUCAAUGAGCGGAAUUCAUGUUUAGUGAUUUGAACAGGAUCUGACUUGUUAAAAUGUUGAGUUGAAAAACGAGCCGAACGCAAAUUAGUUCAUGAUCAACAAGUUAAAAGGAUUAGAAAAAAUAUAUAUAGAAAAAAAAUUUAUGAGGUCUUGACGAUUAUAUUUUAAUCUAAAAGUUGAAACUUUGUAUAUAAAUAGGCAUUUUCACAAUUGAGUUGGGCUUUAUAUGUAUUUAGAUCGGCACUACAACAGAAUUAGGUUAUAGGAACACAUAUUUGGAACACUUUUGAGUGAGUGUCCCAUUUAUCCUAAAACUUAAAAAAAUAUCUACUAAUACCUAAAUAUAAAACCCAAUCCAACCAAAAAUAAAAGAUUACUCUACUCAACCCAACACACCCAGUCCAUUUGGCCCGAUUACAAACAGAAAAGAAAAAAAAAAAGAAAAAUCAAUUACCUCUUUUCUUCUCUCUUCACUCAAUCCACUGAAAUUCUAGACGAAGAGCCCUUCCUGUCGUCCUCCUCCGCCACCGCAGCCAACGAGAUAGAGUUUCGGCGGUUGCUAAAUGCUUAAAUAAGUAUUGGUAAAUUAGCAGCACUCUUUUAGGUUAUAGCGACACUCUUUAACUGUCACUAUAUACUAUGGUCGACCCACAUAUAACAGACACUUUUAAAUUGUCGUAAUUUUAGCAGACACUUUUUUACCAUGUACUCUACAUUUUAAAAGUUGCUAUAAUUGACCUGUUUCUGAUUUGUAGUGCGACUAACAAUUAAAUAAUAACUAAUUGUAUAAUAUAUACUUAUAUAUUAUAAUAAUUAUAUAAAUAUAUAUAUAUAUAUUAUAUAUAUAUAUAUAUACUAUAUAGAAUAAGCUACUAUGCUAUGAAAGCAUAAAGUAUGUUUUCCAAAUUUAGCGCCUUAAUCAACCCUCGUAGGGAUCAUCUAAUCAUGUAUUACUAUUAUAACAUGUGACCACUCAACCCCAAGAGACCGAUCAUUCAACUAGUAAUUACUUUAUACAAGCAAAAAUAUGCGGGAAACACAACAUUUUAGUUCCAAUACAUAGAGCUCUAACACCUAAUAUAAAUAUAUAAUUUAAACUAUUUAUUAUAUAUAUAUAUAAGAUAAUAGAAGCAAGAGAAGAGAAGAGAGACAGAGCGAGAGAGAGAGAAGGAGAGAAUAGCAGGGGCUCGUUCCUAGUGAGCAGAAGCCUGAUCUACGAUCCGUUCGAUGAUGGAAAUUCGAAUCGACAUUCGCACGGUUAACCUUGAUCUACGCGUAUUGAGUUUCGAGAAAAUAAUAAUUUAACUGAUUUUUCGAUAGCAUUACCUAGCAAUUCGCAAGGAUUCAAAUCAAUAAAUUUUAAAAGGCUAAACAUAAAACCUAUAAAUAGUGGUGAAUACACUAAAAUUUUCACGACUAGAAAUAUUAAUUUGUUGAAUUAAAGAAUUUUUAUCAAAAUCUCAUAUGAUUGAGAUUACUUCCUACACCGUUAAACUUGAAAAUAAGCAAUAACAACAUUAAAAAUAUGAAUUUGAAUCCUUUGAUCACUAAUAAAUUAAUCAAAAAUCAAAAAAUAGUAGCUGCUGUGCUCUCGAGACACAGAGCCUCCGUGCUCGCCUGAGCCGUUUUCGAUGAUCGGAAUUUUCGAAUCGACAUGCUCCGUUAGACUAUAAUAAUUCUCAUUUUGAUAAUAUUUACCAAAGUGAUCGAAAAGAUCAAAUCCAUAAAUUUUAAUGUUAUAUCUGUCCGUUUAGCGCUGCUGGCUCUCAGGACAGUAGGCCUCGUGUCUCCUGACCGUUUUACGAGAUGAAUUUUUUAUCGACGAUCGCUCUCCAGUUCGGCUUGAUAAUUUUGCGACUUUUUUAUAUCAUUACUAAGUAUCGAACAGGAUCAAACUCCAUAAUUUUAAUGUUGAUAUCUUUUUUCAAGUUUCACGUGUAGAAGUAUCAAACAGAAACAUUUGAUCACAAUUCUUCUACAUCUACAACAAAUUAAUAUUCUGAUCGAAUAAUUUUUAGUUCUACAUAAACUUUUUAUAGGAUUUUUUAUUCAGUCGUUAUAUUAAAAAUUAAUAUAUCAUAGAGAGGCUGCUAGCUCCAGGAGCACGAGCGUUUUCGAUAUGGAAUUUCGAAAUCUACAUACGCUCCGUUAACUUGAUAAUUUUUACGGAUUUUUUGAUAUAUUUACCCUAGUGAUCGAAUGAUCAAAAUCGAUAAAUUUUUAAUGUUAUUUAUUUCUCCUUUUUCAAGUUUAACUGGUAAAGUUUCAAAUCAAUAAAUUUGAAUACAAAAUUUUAUACUAUCUAACAACAAUUAAUCAAUUCGAUGAUCAAAUUUAGUAUUUAUCACCACUUUUUAUAAAUUUUUAUUUCAAACCGUUAAAAUUUAUUGAAUCUUUGAAGUCCUUUUCAAUGCUAGAAAUGAUAUCGAAAAAUCGCAAAAUAUUUUCUAGAAACUUUAAAUCGCUACUCAAGUCUAACGACCGACUCGUCGAUUCGGAAACUCCAUCAUCAAAACGGCUCAGACACAGAGCCUCCGGCUCCCUGAAGAGCAAUGCAGCCCCUGCUAUAUAUAUAUAUUAGGUAUAAUAUAUAUCUAUAUCCGUCUAUAUCUUAUAUUACAUCGUCCUCUAAUACUCAUAAUCCGUUUCGGGUGGGAGAUAGAGCUUCCGAAUUGAUGAUCCAUACCAUUAAACGUUAUCUAGAGCAUUUAAAACUUCUAAAAAUUAAAUUAUCACGUCCCGGAUUAUAGCGGAAGCCCAAGUUACGUCAACAGACCCGCCGCAUUCACAAGAAUACACCUUAUAUAUACGAAGCGUCAACAAAUCUUGUGACGCCCCAACUUCCCAGGGGUUCACCUAUCCUAGGACUACUCCCGUCCCAGCACACUUAACUCUCUUAACCUCUUGGGCCUUGCCACCACCGAAAAUGCUUAAGCCGGGUUAAGAGUUUAGCCCUAUUAUAUCUUAUAUAUAGGACUACCCGGGGUCUCACAAAUCUAUUCAACAAAAUUAACUAAAAUCUAACAAUAAUAGGUAUCAGAGAAAAAUAAAACUAUAUGCUAUAGCUACACUGUAACGAUUUACAAUCAUUACCACACCAAUCUUCAAAAUGGUACAACAUUUCUAACCACUCCAAGUAUCAAAACACUGUACAGGCUGCUCACUAAUAGGUGGUCCAACUACACACACAAGAAGGGUAGGAGAUGCUAUAUAUCCACGAUUCGCUUAUAUCGAUCAGUCGCUGGUGCUGAAGGCUCUGAAAUAAAAUAUUAAAUAAAAGGGUAUGAAAACUAUAAUCAAUAGUUCCCCAGUGGGUACAAUCGUCAACGCUGACGGUCUACACCACUAGGUCCAUAAGAGGCAAAAAUAGUAAAUACUGAGCAAUAUGAAAGAACAUAUACUAAUAUAAAUAAUUGCUGAAAAUAACUGCUACUAUCAUGCCUCUACAGCAUAGCUGAAAUUGUAAAUUAUGUUUUGCAUGUAUCAAUUAGAGACUAAAUAAAAUACUACAAUAAUUACCAAUCAUAGUGAUCGACUCAACAUCAAGUCUAGCCUGCGCAGCCUCGUGUCCAGCACCCACCUAUUGUGGUUUGCUACCACGCAAGCAGCUGUCUGGCCUAUGCCAUAAUAAUAUCUCAUAGCCCAACCUCCGAAAUGGCACUCGCGGGGCACUACCCCAACCGAGUAUAGUAUCACUGUCAAACUUAACGUAGCAUGCGGGCUGUGGUCAAAUGCGAUGAUCAAAUAGAUCAUGAUAUGUUGUCAUAGUGUCCAAAAUACAGUUAUAGUCUCACAUUAUCUGUAGCUAUUUAUUGACCUUUAGAAAAUAUUAUAUAUAUAUACAUAUAUAUAUAUAUAUAUAUAUAUAUAUAGCACGAUUCUCGAGAAGUCAUAAAUUAACAAUUAUACAAUAGAAACUAGAGACAUUUUAUUUAGUCAUGAGAGUCUACUGUGCUCUCAAGAAACGAUACUCGUUGCAAGUAGACGGAGCCUGUUCUCUGGCGCACAUGAGUAGUCUACAUGAUUAGCCGUUUUUAUGAUGGCACAUUUUUCACGAAUCAGUGCAGAUUCGCGUACUAAAUUACACUCUCGGGUAAUAAAAGCUAUUCUACCGCUUACCGAUGUCUUCGAGAUAGACUGUUAGAUAAAAUAUACUCGGUGGAUAUAUUAGAUCAUGUCAGUGUGUAAUAUGAGUUAAUUGAAAUGUUUGAGUCCAGUAUGUCUUCCUGACGAUACAUCGCUCGUCCAAAAUUUUGUAACUGCGUCGGAGAUAAAUGAAUAGACAACAGUAAAUUGGCUGAGUCGUUCGUGCUUCGAUGAGAUGAGGACAUAAACAGUAUCAACUACUAGGAGAGACCUAUCACGUCGUUGGAUGUCCCUGAGCAUGCACACUGUGCGAGCAAUCCCGAUCAACUUUAUCUCGAUUUGGAUAGUAUUCUUGGAAUACGUCGACAGAAUCGAUGAUCGGCUCCGUUAGACCGUGAUAAUUCGAUUGUUCCAAAUAGUAUUAUACAUCUCGUGCAAUAAUAUAGAUAAGCAUUAUUACUACCCUAUUUCAAGUACGUAGAAAUAGGGAAUAAAACACAGUGCAAAGCUCAAACGGUGAGUGUCAAAUUUUAUAUUGAUAUCUUUGCUCGUGAGAUUAUACACAUUAAUGUAGUUCACCGAUUUAUUUCGCUAAGAAAAGGACUAUUAAGAAUCUGUUAGAAAUCACACCCGGGAGAGAUCUAAUAGAACACAUAUUACAUUAUACGAUAGGAAGCUAAGUUACCAUGAAUAUUCAGAAAAGAUUGACAACGAUAAUACGACAUUAUAUAUCACUCGCAUUGUCCUGCAACUGAGAUAUAUGCUAAAUGUUGUUUUCACAUUUUUGGUCUCUAGAACGUUAGAACACAUCGAAUUACGAUCCUAUAAAUUACACUCCAGGCAUAAACAACGAAGUCAAUGUCCGUGUCGAUCUAGAGCUGAGCAUAAAAGUACUGCUCUGUAUAAUAAUACAUUCGAUCGGUACGAACUGCGAGUAUUCAAUGAUAUGUCCAUAUUAGAUUCUCGAACAUGCACACGCAAUCUGUCGCUUCAAAUGACAACUCCGGAAUAAUAAAAAUAUAAUCUACGUUUGACACUCACUCACAUCUCUCGCCCCCUCUCACUAUCACUCCCUCACUCACACACACACACACACACAAUCCACUCAGUGUGUGAGACCUCGAUCCCCUCCCCCACUCCUCUCUCACACUCUCACCCACACAGCUACACUCAACACUGCAAUUUAAAUAACAAAAUUUUUUUAACCAUUACCACACCACACACCACUCUCCUCCCCCCCACACACUCCUCGCUCACACCUCACUCAUCUCUCACCUCUCAAACAAGUUAUUGUUUUGAAUCUUGGAUUGCCUGUCACACUCACUCACUCCCACACAACCCACACACUCUCACACCACACACACGACUCACAGUCUAACCGGACGCCCGGACUGCUCCCCCCCCCACCCCCUCCCCACACCUCACCGCGCACCACACUCACGCCACCCCUCCUCACACACCCGCACCCCCCCCCCCCCUCUCACACACUCUACCACACGACCCCCUACACUCACCACUACUCUCACUCCACCACGCCUCCCCUCAUACCUCAUCAAGUGUCCUUUCGACUCCACACACCCCACACUUGAUGACCAUACACUCACCUCUACUCACACCACUCUCACAACUACACACACACUCACACCAUCUAUUCCACCUCGCACCCACCGCGCUCACCACGUAACACACCCCCCGCACUUCACCAAUACACCUAUUUAGGCAUACGAAGGUCGUCAUCGAAAGGAUUCAAAUCAAUAAUUUUUAAUGGUUGAUAUAUGCCGUUUUCAAGUUUAACGGUGUAGAAGUAUUCAAAUUAGAUGAAAUUUUGAUACAAAAUUCUUUAUACUAUCUACAACAAGAUCAAUAUUUCAAAUCGAAAAUUUUAGUGCUAUAUCACCACUUUUUAUAGAAUUUUUAUUUUCAGCCGUUAAAAAUUAUUGAUUUUGAAUCCUUUCGAUUGCUAGGUAAAUGAUAUCAAAAAAUCGCAAAAAUUAUUUUCUAGAAACUUCAAAUACGUUAGAUCAAGUCUAACGGAGCCGAUCAUCUAUUCGAAAAUUCCAUCAUCGAAAACGGCUCAGGAGCACGGAGGCCUCCGUGCUCCUGAAAGCACAACAGCCCUACUCUAUAUAUAUGUAUAUAUACAUAUGUACAUAUGUACAUAUACAUAUGUACAUAUAUAUAUGUACAUAUGUAUAUGUACAUAUGUACAUAUAUACAUUUGCCAGUAGAGUAAAUUGAGACGUAUAUAUACAUAUGUACGUAUGUAUAUAUACAUAUAUAUGUAUGUAUGUCUCAAUUUACUCUACUGGUAAAUGUCAAACUAUCACUAUUACUCAACUAUAUCAACAGUUCAUCUCACAGAUUAAAUAAUAUAAUAUGGAUAUAGAAAUUAGUCCGUCAAUUUUGACAACACGAAACUCACCUAUAACGCAAGUCCAAGAAAAUGAACGGUAAACGAGAUAGCAGCNAUUAUUUAAUCUGUGAGAUGAACUGUUGAUAUAGUUGAGUAAUAGUGAUAGUUUGACAUUUACCAGUAGAGUAAAUUGAGACAUAUAUACAUAUAUACACGUACGUACAUAUAUAUAUAUAUACAUACAUACAUAUGUAUAUAUACAUACGUACAUAUGUAUAUAUACGUCUCAAUUUACUCUACUGGCAAAUGUAUAUAUGUACAUAUGUAUAUAUACAUAUGUACAUAUGUACAUAUACAUAUGUAUAUGUACAUAUGUACAUAUGUAUAUAUACAUAUGUACAUAUAUACAUUUGCCAGUAGAGUAAAUUGAGACGUAUAUAUACAUAUGUACGUAUGUAUAUAUACAUAUGUAUGUAUGUAUAUAUAUAUAUAUGUACGUACGUGUAUAUAUGUAUAUAUGUCUCAAUUUACUCUACUGGUAAAUGUCAAACUAUCACUAUUACUCAACUAUAUCAACAGUUCAUCUCACAGAUUAAAUAAUAUAAUAUAGACAUAGAAAUUAGUCCGCCAAUUUUGACAACACGGAAUCCACCUAUAACGCAAGUCCAAGAAUAUGAACGGUAAACGAGAUAGCAGCCACAACACUCUAAAAUAGCUCGAAAAUUUCUCGUCAAGAUUACGCGAAAUCCGCUCCUAAAAUGUAUAAAAAAAAUCAGUUUCUAACUCUCAAUUUCUAUAAAAAAUUUAUCAAAAGAAUCUAAAUGAGAAAUAAUAAUAUUAUGAUACUAACCACGACAUCGAAACGCCAAAAUACGCGUGCGCGCACUCGACUCGCUCGCUCGCUCGCCAGAACGAAUCGAGCUUGCUUGCCAAUGUCUCAACCAAUUCCCACUCUCUCUUCAAUACAAGUGAAGAGGAUAAGAUCAAAUAAAAACUUCAGGUGCUACGUGGAUUCCAUGCAAAAUAGCAAAAAUGUCAUUAGGCCCCUCAAAAGUCAAUAUUUCGACUUUAGUCCAAAAUAAUUAAAUCUUGAGUUUCAAAGUCCGUUUUUACAUCUAUUUUGCGCAAAACGUCUCCAACUCAAUAAAGCAUAAAUUUAUACUGUAACCUUGCCAAUUUGUUAAGAUUCAGUAUAUCAUAUCCUCCCCUCCUUAAAAAAAAAUUUCGUCCUCAAAAAUUAAAAUAUAUCUCAGGUCGGCUGCUCAAAUAAAUACGGAUAAAAUUCUCGCAUCGCAUCCUCAGGCUCCCAAAUCGCCUCUCGCUCUUCCUGGUGACUCCAUAGUACUUUCACGUAAGAAAUAACUCUAUUCCGCAAUUCUUUUACUUUUCGUGCAGGAAUUCGAAUCGGUUGCUCAGUAUAACUCAUCUCCUCAGUCACCUCCAGUGGAACAUAAUCUAUUACAUGUGAUGGAUCAAAAAUAUACUUUCUUAAGGCUGAAACAGGAAACACAUCAUUUACAUCGGCUAAACUCGGCGGCAAAGCUAACCGAUUUGCAAUAGGUCCAACACGCUCAAGUAUCUCAAAAUGUCCAAUGAAUCGUGGACUAAGCUUUUCACGCAUUCUAAACCUCUUUAUCCCUUUAGAUAGUGAGACUGAGAAAUACAUGAUCUCCAAUCUGAAACUCUAAGUCUCGACAUCGUGUGUCAGCAUAGCUUUUCUGUCGACUCUAAGCGAUUUGCAAAUGUUGUCGAGCAAUUCUAACAUUUGCUUCUAUUUCCACUAAAAUAUCUGGACCCAGAGUUUUUCUCUUACCCACUUCACUUCAAUAUAAUGGUGAUCGACAUUUUCUUCCAUACAAUGCCUCAAAUGGAGCCAUUUUUAUACUUACUUGAUAACUAUUAUUAUAUGCAAACCCCGCCGUUGCCAAAUGUCGAUACCAGCCACCACCAUACUUGAGGACACAUGCUCUCAACAUAUCCUCAAAUAUUUGAAUCGUCCUCUCAGACUGUCUAUCAGUUUGCGGGUGAAAAGCUGUAUUGAACUGUAACUGAGUUCCCAAAGCCAUCUGUAAAGCUCUCCAAAAGUGUGCUACAAAUCUCGGGCCUCGAUCUGACACUAUAGAGGUAGGAAUUCCAUGCAGUCUUACGAUCUCAUCGAGAUAUGUUUGAGCAAGCUUCUCUCUAGACCAAGUCACUUAGACUGGUAUAAAGUGAGCAGAUUUAGUUAAUCUAUCCACUGUCACCCAGAUCGCAUCAUGUCCAUCCUGUGAUCUUGGUAAGCCAGUUACAAAAUCCAUAGUGAUCCUAUCUCAUUUCCAUUCAAGAAUUAGAAGAUUUUGUAAUUUGCCAGCAGGUACCCGAUGCUCCACUUUUACUUGCUGACAGGCUAAAUAUUGUGAUGCAAAUCUUCCAAUAUCUCUUUUCAUACCAUUCCACCAGUAAUGUGGUUUAAAUCCUUAUACAUUUUCAUUCCUCCAGGGUGUACAGUAUAGGGGGAACUAUGUGCUUCCCUCAAUAUCUCCUCACGGAUCUCAACAUCCAUAGGUACACAUAAUCAAUCCUGAAAUCUUAAUACCCCCGAAGCAUCAACACUAAAGUCCUUCACUUCUUCACUUGCUAAUUCUGUCCAAAUUUUUGUUAAAUGUGGAUCAACACUUUGUUUCUCUUUAAUUCUUUCUAGCAGAUUGGGUUGUAAAACCAUAGCCAUAAGUCUAGCAGAAACUCCAGAGAGUACAACUUCCAAGUCUAACCACCUCAUCUCCUCUAACAAUGCUACUUGAUUAGUAAUCAUUAUACUCAAAUUCUGUACUGAUUUACGACUUAAUGCAUCUGCCACUACAUUAGCCUUGCCAGGAUGAUAAAGUAUUGAUACAUCGUAAUCCUUCAGUAAUUCUAACCAUCGGCAUUGUCUCAAAUUCAAUUCUUUCUAAAUAAAUAAGUACUUGAGACUUUUAUGAUCAGUGUAGAUUUCACAAUAUUCUCUAUAAAGAUAGUGGCGCCAAAGUUUUAGUACAAAAAUCACAGCAGCUAACUCCAAAUUAUGAGUAGGAUUUUUUUUCUCAUAUUCUUUCAACUAUCUGGAAGCAUAAGCAAUUACCCUCUCAUUCUGCAUCAAUACACAACCCAAUCCACUCUGUGAUGCAUCACUAUAAAUAACAAAUCCUUAUCCAUAACAGGAAGGGUAAGGAUACGAGCCGACAUCAAUCUAUUUUUUAAUUCUUCAAAACUCCUUUGGCAAUCCUCACUCCAAAUGUAUUUAAUUCUUUUUCGAGAAAGUUGAGUGAGGGGCAUGGAAAGCUUUGAAAAACCUUCCACAAACCGACAAUAAUAACCAGCCAACCCCAGAAAGCUCCGCACUUUAGAAACACUCGUCGGUGUAGGCCAAUCUCGAAUUGCUUCAAUUUUUUUUGGAUCAACUGCAAUCCCAUCAGCUGAUAUCACAUGCCCAAAAAAGCAAUUUUCCGUAACCAGAAGUCACACUUCUUCAAUUUAGCAUAAAGUUUCUUUUCCCUCAAAAUCUGUAAUACAAUUCUCAAAUGGUCCUCAAAUUCAGCUACACUUCGAGAAUAUAUCAAAAUAUCAUCAAUAAACACCACCACAAAUCUAUCCAAAAACGGUUGAAACACUCGAUUCAUCAUAUCCAUAAACGUGGCUUGAGCAUUUGUUAAUCCAAAUGGCAUUACUGUAAAUUCAUAAUACUCAUACCGUGUUCUAAAUGCCAUUUUGGAGAUGUCCUUAGGUUUAAUCUUCAAUUGAUGAUAUCCUGACUGCAAAUCUAUCUUGGAGUACACAUGAGAUCCUUGCAAUUGAUCAAACAAAUCAUCAAUGCGCGGCAAUGGAUACUUAUUCUUAAUGGUCACCUUAUUCAGCUCUCGGAUUUUCGCGUAUUUGAUGCUGAGUACCGGUACGUACUUGUCGAGUACCUGUACCGAGCCCGAGUAUCGGUACUGCAUCGGGUGAGUACCGGUACCCAGUGUGCGAGGGUGCGGGCUGAAGGCCUGAGUAUCGGUAUUCAAGUGGAGUACCGAUACUCCAGCUGUACUUUUGAGUAGGUGAGGGUAUUUUGGUCCUUUGAUGUGGCGUUCAACCCAAUCUUAUCCUCAGCCUUUAUUAAGGUGUAGAGAGCUCAAAGAGGAGGAUUUUUGUUCUACUCCCCCUCUCUCUCUAGUUUUGGACGUCGCUCGUGGUAGAGGUCGCGGCUAGAGCGUGGGUGGAUUUCGACGUUGCUCCGGAGGGCCAUUCGAGCGCGUGGGCAUCGUGGUUACGCCGUUGGAGGCCGGGUGAGCGCGUAGAUUUCCUCUUUUCGAUUUCGAGCCGACGUUGGACGUGCGAUCGAGGUGGGUUGAUGUUACCGAAAUCGUCGAAUUUCCUUCUAAGUCCUAAAACUGUCAGCAUAUAUGGUUUUCAUGUAUAGUAUCAUGUUUAGUAACUCGAAUUCAUCGAUUGGUAUAGUUGUGUGCAAUCUGAAUUUGGAGCCUUAUUGUUGGAAUAUUUAUUUACAUGUUGAACUUGGAAUUGACUUAGGAGAAAACUCGUUAAAGCUACACCGUCAUGUUUUCAAGAAGUUACCAGAUUUAGCUUAAGAAGCUACUGUACUUUUGUAUCACCGCUAUUAGUACGAGGUGGAUACCCAGAUUAGUGUAGGGUGAGAUUACGCUCGUGCUGAGGAGCCGAGCUCGUGUUACAGUUGAGUGUAGACUGUUUCGUACUGUCGAGUAUCAUCACGGUUGACAGUGGACCCAAAUCUCGGUAUCUUGCACAGAUUGUGCCAAAGGCACGUGAGCUUUGGUUGUUAGACCUGUUUAGACCCAUUUGCAUUGACUACAGCCUAUGAGAGCCUGAUUGAGCUCGCCAGAGACACACUUGCAUACUCGGUUGGGUCGCGCCCACGAGUGCCGCUCCAGAGUCUAGCUACCUUGCUUUGCAUUGAUGUCGUAGUAGUCCGGUUUGGACAUUGCUCUCCACCGACUGCCCUCGGGGUGGUGUACGGUGUAGUUUGGACAGGCGGGACGGGUGUAUCACAGUACCUAGUGAGAUUGGGUCAGUGAGAUGCAUAUUUAUAUCUAUAGAUAGCCUGCGUUGGUUAGUGAUAGUAGAGUGGCAUGUAACCAUAAAUUUCUUUCCAUCUUUCCUUACUAUCCUUUGCACACAUUCUGUAGACUUAGUGGGUGGGCUGUUGAGGUUGGUGGCAGUACCCACUGAGGACUACUUGUUUUAUAAUAAUUCUCACACCCAGUUGUUAACACCUUUUUGAAGAGUCUUCUUUUGUGGCUGCUGCUGUUGUGGAUUCGGACCGUGGAAAGGAAGUCGCGAGCUAGAUCCCUACCAGUUUGAUCGCUGUGCUAGAGGAGGGCCAUCUAGAGGUAGUUUUGGGAUUUUUCUUGUACAUAUUGUUAUGUACAUGUCGGGGUACUCGUUGGAGCGAGUUGUGUUGUGGACCUUUUGUAUGUACAGGAACCCUUUAUGUUAUCUAUAUAUUUCUGUUUUCAGCUCUUACCAUCUAGUUGUAGCUAUGAUUUGUUUAGAGGUACAGCUAUUACUUCGUAUACACGAAAAAUUUCUAUAUAUACGGCGGGUCUGUUGACGUGCUCGAAAAAACGUGGUAAUUCGGGAUGUGACAGUAACCUUGCCAAUUUGUUAAGAUUCAAUAUAUUACACAAAUUUUAUAAUUUUUUGACACCAUUUACCUUACGAUCAAAAGGUCACAAAAUUGUCAAUUUUUAACGGCCGGUAUAAGAUACUUGUUAGUUUAAUGGUGUAAAAGAAUCAGAAUCGGUUGAAUUUUUUAUAGAAAAUUAUAUUCACUAUCUAGAUAAAGAUCAAUAACUCCGAUCUUAUAUUGAAGGAUCCGAUCAUCCAUUUUUAGGACGUCGCUCGAUUUCGACCGUUCAUUUUAUACCCACUUGAUGGAUUUUAUUAUGAUUUCGAAAAAUUACGAAAUUUAUUUUCUAGAAGUUUCAAAUACUCUAGAUCAUAUUUAACGGAGUGGAUCGUCGAUUCGGAAGCUUCAUCAUCGAAAACAACUUAUAAGUACGAAGGACACUAUACUCAUAAGAGUAUAGUAGCCCUGCUCAUAUAUAUAUAUAUAUAUAUAUAUAUAUAUAGUAGGUCUUGUGUGCUAUUAGGAGCACGUUGGCCUCCGUGCACCUAAGCCGUUUUCGAUCAUGGAGCUUCCGAAUCGACGAUCGGCUCAGUUAGACUUGAUCCAGCGUAUUUGAAGUAUCUAGAAAAUAAAUUUUGCGAUUUUUUGAUAUCAUUUACCAAGCGAUCGAAAGGGUUCAAAACCAACGGCUGAAAAUAAAAAUCUCAAAAAAAGUGGUGAUAUAGCGCUAAAAUUUCCGAUUAAAGAUAUUGAUCAUGCAGUAAAUAGUAUAAAGAAAUUUUCUAUCAAAAUUUUAUCCAAUUUGAAUACUUCUACAUCGUUAAACUUGCAAAUGGUAUACAUCAACCAUUAAAAAUUGUUCAUUUUGAACCCUUUUAAUUGCUAGGUAAAUGAUAUCGAAAAAUCGCAAAAUUUAUUUUUUAGAUAUUUCAAAUACACUAGAUUAAGUCUAACGGAACCUAUCGUCGAUUCAAAAACUUCAUUAUCAAAAACGACUUAGGAGCAGGAGGGGUCCGUUCUCCUAAUAGCACACAAGACCUACUCUAUAUAUAUAUAUAUAGAGNCUAUUUAGAACAAGAUCUAUCCUCUUGAUUUUAAUUACAAGACUCCUAUUAUUACUUUUUAAAGAUUUUUAUUUUCAACCAUUUAUUUUUGUGUCCACUUGAUGAACAAGUGAACAAUAUCGAAAAAGUAUGAAAUUUGGUUUCUAGAUAUUUCAAAUGGUAUAGAUCAUAUUCAAUGGUACCAAUCGUCGAUUUGAAGACUCCUUCAUCGAAAACAAAUUUGGUGGCAAUGGAGCCCGUUUGCUACCAAUAGUAUUCCAGCUCAACUCUCUCUCUCUCUCUCUCUCUCUCUCUCUCUCUCUCUAUAUAUAUAUAUAUAUAUAAUUAGGCUGGAAUGCUAUCAAUUGCAUCAAGCUGUUGGUGCUAUUAAGUUUUCGGCACUUGGAUGAAGAAAUAUACUGUUAGGAUGAUGUGGCCCCCUAGGGUUGAAUAAGUUGUCGGUUGAAUAGUAUAAUCUAACGGAUGAAAAUAGUCGACGAAUUAAAUCUAACGGUGUGGAAAACUCGAUAGCACCAAGUUUUUAGUACUAUCGAUAGUAUCCCAGCCGGACUAUAUAUAUAUAUAUAUAUAAUAGGUAUAAUCUUGAUGCACGCCUCGCCGGCCCUCAAGCUAUUUCGCAGGUAUUCGGCACGCCGACAACAGCCCGAACAGACAGAUUCCCUCGGUACCGAUCUAAUGAUGCACACCCUUUGCCACGCCGCGGACCCUAUCUUACUCCGCUGCCUACACUCUCAAGGCGUCCGCCAAUCCAAUACAAUGUACAAAGUUCCCAACCAGGAACACUUUCCAUCAGACCAAAGCUAUUGCAUCAACGAAGAUAUCCCACACCAUAAUCUUGUUAUUACAAGCAUUCACAUCCUCAUAGCAUUACUCACAUCUCCAAAUUACCUCUAUUACAUUCACUCAAUACACAUCCGAUUUAAACAUGAUUAUUAACAACCUCAUGACUUCUCUUUCCAUUUUCUAACAUCACUAAGCAAACGCGAACUCAGGCUAUCCCCAGCUGUAGCUGAAUCAACUCAGGAUUCAUGAGGAGCUCAAGGUGGAUCAGCAACAGGUUGUCCCACGUCGCAUAACUAAGUGAAGCUAAGGUACUCCAUCCCGCCCUCCUCGCGCUGCCCGCGGAAAAAACCGCGCGCCGCAAACUUACCUGUGUAACGGCUGUAACCCAGACCCCCAAAAACAGACGUGGAUGAGAAGCAACUCCAUGGUCCAUCCGGUAUCGACGCCCACCACCAACAGGGAGCUGACCAAUAGUCCAAGGAGGCAACAUGCAAUUAGUUUCAAUAAACAGAUAGAUAUAUAUCUUGAUUACUGCAACAAAUGAAGCAUCGACAUUGCUCACGAAUCAAUUAUGAAGAUCGAUGCAAUGUAUGGCGAUAAACAAUCAGAACUAGUAAUUCAAUCGUUACUAACUUCAUCCAAUUAACAUUUACGGUUUUCUGUCAUUUCAUUUUAAAAUCCAUAAGGUCUCAUAUUACCUUUAUCAAAUAUCACACCCGACCUACGUCUUGAGUCAAUCAUCGCGAAGGAGUGCCGCGUAAAGGCGAACUCGAGCAGGAAUCUCACUUGCAACUCAGCUAAUCCACCAACUAAGGAUAUAUUAAAGCUCAAUACAGUAAUACCCAAUCAACUUGCUAACCCAAAGUUUCGCCCUGAACAAGACUCACGCAAACGCAAAUCGCUAUAACCGGGAGAUACCCGCUAUCAACCGUGGACCGGCCUCAUGGAAAAGCCGAUACAACCCAGUGAUGCAACGAGCACAUCAGCGCACCGAAGGGGAGCUCCACACCUCAGACAAGGAGUAAAGGUCGAAGUAUGAUCAAUGAUCAAAUCCAAAAUCUGAGGAGUCAAUGCUAACUCCAUAUCCUAAUUUAGGCAGACUAUGCUCCAAAUGACCAUAACUCUAAGGUUAAAUUCCUUAAAUAUUUCAUCAUUCUUUCUUUGCAUUCUUAUCUCACUUCACUUGAGUCAUAAUACACUUACGAGAUUCUUGACCAUGUCCACACUGUUUUCUAAAUGUCAACAAACAUAAGUUUCCACAUAUAAUCCUAACAUAGGCCACCAUCUAAUAAUAUAGAUGACCCACGUAGCAAUAAUAGUCAUUAGUCAUUGUUUUUUCAAAAUUCGAUUCUCGAUAAUUCACCUAGCAAGUUUAUACGACACCCAAGUUUCAAAAAAAAAAAAAAAAAAACACAGCUUGUCAUAUUAACACAAUCCAACAAUUUCAAUAUACAUCAUCUAGAUAUUUUACAAUAAAUCAAUAUCAUCACAUCAUAUUCCACAAUAUUGACAUAUAUAUGCCAACAAUUCAUAUAGCACCAACAUGUUUCAUAAAUUAUCAACAUGCAUAUAUACACUCUAACAUAUUACUAUAAUAUAUUUUCAAAUGAUUCAAUUUAAAUUAAAACUCAUUAAUUCAUAUUAGCAUUAUUAAACUUGCAACUCUUACAUACGCAUUUCUACUUGCAUUUUACAUUAACAUGCAUCAUUUUCAUACUUCAUUUACAUCUAUAUGCAUCAACAAUGGAUUCUAUUUGCUUAGACAUAAAGGCGACCUAGUCGCUUCGGAAAGCACAACCCACCUUAAACUCGGGUUCCGAUUGCUUAGUCACUCUGCAUCGCCUCUGCGCGCAGUCAGCUCCGCACCCGGCCACGGCCACGAACUGGCAACUUCACUUCAACCGUGCUCGCUUUCGUGCCCGAAAAUACAUAGUCUUACGGUAUGGGACAAUGCCAGCUCAAAUCCAUUUCCACAAUUUACCUGACGUCGCCGGCCUUCUCGGCGGACCCCGAACUAAACUCCAUUUCUUAAUAAUUGUAACGGCUCGUCGGCAUUUGCGAACCGUCUUGCCAACGCUAAUCUUUACCUAGCAAUUUAGUUUACGAGGGUCAAAUAGAUCAAACGCCAUAUAUUUACAAAAUCCAUCGGAGCCUAACAUUGGCAUAUUAACUCUAAAUAGUCACAAGUAAAUAUAAAACAAAAAAGAGAUGAGCAUGUUAGAAUGCUCAUAUAAAGAAGCUAAUAAACCCUUAGAAAUAAGGAUUAAGCCAAUUGCAUAAAAAGCUUACCUCAAUGUGACGUCAGCGACAAAACCACGCCGCUUCAACGGGCGGAUGAAGCUCAAUCCCUCGCCUCCCAACAAGCGUUCGCAACACUUCUCCACCAACCUCGGAAUAUUGACAGAGAAAUAAGAGAAAUGAGAGCAAAAUCGAGAAGAGAAGGCACGUUUAUCUCUUCCCAUUCUCCAUGCGUGCGUGGGUGUGGGUGUAGUUCCUGAGCUUGAAUGAGAAAACGAAGCACAAUUGACUCUUAUAAUACUUUAACACCCAAAAGCCUAUCACUGUUCAGUCAGUUUUGCAGUUCGACAACAGUUGCGAACGCUCUUCUAAUAUCCGUUGAGGCUCCAAAUUUGGACCAGUCUUCGAAUUACGUACUGAAUAAUAAUACAUAUUUAGUUUAGCUUUGACGUCGUUCGUGCCACAUGAAAACUGAACCGAAACGUAAUCUUUAUCAUAAGCUGUCGGAUUAUUUCUCACAUGCGUCGUCUACCGGUGUCAGUAAAAAUAUGAAAACUUUAAAUCAUAGUCUAUAAAAUAUUCUACUAUUAUCACCAAUUUUUCCAUAAAAUUUGAGACUGGUGCAUUUUCGGCUAAUUUAUCUGUUCCGUAUUUCCAAAACAAAAUUCUAAAAUCUACUUUCAUUCCGAUUUCUGCACACAGUCCAUUCUGACUACUAUGUUACUUUCUAUAAUCUCAUAAAAAUAUUUACUCAAUAUUUUAUUAUUUUAUUUUUAUACCAAAUCUGGACGUUACCAUAUAUAAAAUAAAUAUAUUUAAUAAUAUACAUAACUAUAUAUUAAUUAUUUAAUAGAUAAUAUAAAUAUAAUAUAUUAAAGAUUGGUUAUUUAUAUAAACAAGAUUUCGAAAUACGAGUGAACUGAUUUUAAAUCGUAUUCGGCUCGUUUAUUUAAACGAGCUAAAAAAUUCAACUCAUAUUCGACUUAUUUAGGAGAAGAGCGGUUCGAUCUCGGCUUCAUUUCGAGCGGAGUACGAAUUGGCUAAGAAAUAGCGAUCAGGAUUGCCACCUAGCUAAUACUUGGAGUCCCGCGUAAGUGGCAGGUUAUUAAAUUCCAAGACAGUUGGAGGGCAAAACGGGAAAGAGAGCGCAGCUUCGCGGCACCAGGAUACUGGGGCUCUAAGAGGUCCAGCAUUUUCCCCAGCGCCCCCACGUAAUCUGUCAGAGAGAAAUACUACACUGUUAUACUUGUACCAUAUCAUUAAUAACAAGCUAAUCACAUUCCUUCUUUUCAAAUAAAAAUAUAAUAAAAAUAUUUUUUUACAAUCAUGAUGGAUAUAUAUUUUUAAAAGAAUUAAUUUGAUUGAUUUGUUACGUCACGUCACUAAUAUACAUGUUGCAUUCCAGAAUUUUUCAUAAACGGACCAAUCACGUCCCCCUUUGUAGCCAUACAAACUUGGUCUUUGAUGACGUGGUGAACCUGGUCUACGAGAGUAAUCAGACCUACAAUUGAAGGCGUAAUCCAUCGAACACGUCGACAUGAUGCCACGCUCGCUGGGCCGUAUGAUACGGCCAACGUGGUCCCCAGAAAUUUUCGCGCGUUUAGACGAUAAUACCCCUCGUCGGCUCCCGAAANAAUUUUCGCGCGUUUAGACGAUAAUACCCCUCGUCGGCUCCCGAAAGGGAAAGCAGUAAGUUAUGGGUAAAUUGUAUGAUAAAGCCUUCUUUUUUUUUUAAUUUUUCAAUAUAUUAAAAAUCAAAGUCUAAUUCAAGCAAAAAGAAAUUUACCAGAACUCUUCCAAUUUCUAGUCGACUACCUAAUGUUUCAAAAUUUUGAUAUUGCUACCAAACCUUUCGAUUUAUUUUAUUGGAUUCAGUCUAUACUACUUUAUUUUUAAAAUUUAAAUUAUAAUUGAUUAUUUUGAUAAAUUUAUAAUUAUAAGAAUUAUCUGAAAUAUACUAACUAAAUCUAUAAAAGUAAAUUAUAAAUUCAAAUUUUAAAGUCAAAAAACUAUUGACAAAUUCAAAUCAAAUAAAUUAAAAAAUUGGAUAGUAAAAUUAAAAAUUUUUAAAAUUUUGAUAAUCAACUAAAAAUGAUCGGUACUUUAAAUAAAUUUUAGAAAUUUUUACUUAAUUAGAAAGUAAGAAAAUUGAUCCAGAGUCACGUAAAAGUUAAGAACCUACUUGUGCCCCCUUGCAAUUAAGGGCUUAAUUAAAAAUUAGAUUAAAAAAAAAAACAAAUACCACUCUUGUGUUUCAGCAUUUUUUUAUUUUAGUUUACUAUAGUUUAAAUUGUAUCAUUUUAAUAUUUAUAGUUUUUUUUUUCUUUUUCGUAAUCCUCUCCGUUAAUUUUUUAUUAAAUAAGUGAGAAAAUUAAAAUCACAAUAUACUAAAGUAAAAAUAUCGUAAACUAUAAGAUAGUAAAGUAAAUAUUAGAACCUACUUGUGCCCCCUUGCAAUUAAGGACUUAAUUAAAAAUUUGAUUAAAAAAAAAACAAAUACCACUCUUGUGUUUCAGCAUUUUUUUAUUUUAGUUUACUAUAGUUUAAAUUGUAUCAUUUUAAUAUUUAUAGUUUUUUUUUUCUUUUUCGUAAUCCUCUCCGUUAAUUUUUUAUUAAAUAAGUGAGAAAAUUAAAAUCACAAUAUACUAAAGUAAAAAUAUCGUAAACUAUAAGAUAGUAAAGUAAAUAUUAGAACCACUUAGCGCCUUGCAAUUAAGGGCUUAUUGAAAUUAGAUAAAAAAAAAACAAAUACCACUCCCUGUGUUUCAAUUAUUUUUAAUUUAGAUUUUCUAAUAGUUUAAAUUGUUAAUAUUGUUAAUAUCUAUAGUUUUUUUUUCCUUUUUCGUAAUCCUCUCCGUUAACUUUUAUAUUAAAUAAGUGAGAAAAUUAAAAUCGAACAAUAUACUAAAGUAAAAAUAGGCGUAAACUAUAAGAUAGUAAAGUAAAUAUUAGAUAAAUCAUAAAAAUUGUCUAAAUUUUUUUAUAUGUUCUAAAAAAAAAGCUUAAACGGAGUUCUAAUGAAAGAAAAAAUAAAAAUAAAAUUAUAGAGUAAUAAAGUGAUAAAUUUAAAUUCUAUCGUAAUAAAAUAAUAAACAAAAAAACCAUAAGGAAAUAUUUGAAAUUUUUUUUAAAAAAAAAAAAGAAAAGUUAACGACCUUGGGUAAAUUACCCACAAAAUUUAGGAAUAAUUCCAGAUUAAAGAGUUGCCGUACGAUUGGGCCUUCGUGUAAACAAUCAGGGGCAAUGUUGUACUUCCAGUGGGAAAACAAACUCACAGUGACUUGACCCGCAAGCAUGUCAAUCCCUUCGACCGUCCUAAAAAUUAUCCCACUUGCCAAAAUACCCUCACCGCCUCACGAUUAUUACGAAAACACACCGCCCCCCGCUCCGUCCUUAUAUAAGCAAUUCCCCACCGCGUCCCCUUCGCUCUCCUCCUCCUCCCUAUCUAAACCCUAAACGCGACUCGUUCAAUCCCCGAUGCGUCUUCGUCUCCCCUCGACCCCCCGAAACCCUACCCGAGUAUGAUUGAGUAGAAGGUUCGCGAUGAGCAUGGCGGCGGCGGAGGCGGCCGGCGGUGAUCCCCCGGUGGUGUUCUUGACAGGGCGCACAGAACAUCAACCCUCGGCACGGUGGCGGUGACCCGCACGCUGGGGUUCAAAGAGGUUCCAAGCGGCGAUCGCGCAGCGGAUGCGGGGUGCGCCGCACCAGAUCUCGGCUCGCCUGGUGUCGGCCCGCGGUGCGGCGCGGACGGCGGCGGCGGAGCUGAGCGGGAGGAGGAUCCCGAUCGACGGGUCGUCCGACCUCGCCGCGAUCGCGCGCGACGCGGGGAUCCUACGUCUCGGCCGCGCUCCGAAGGCCGCGGCGGAGGGGGAGCGGUGAUGCCGCCGGGGGCCGGAACGGCGAGCGAAUAAAAGGCGCGACGGCGCCGGAGAAGAAACGAUUUCUUAGCGGAGCGCGGCGUCGGGAUCCCCCGAUGAUCGUCGCCGCAUCGCCGUGAGGCUGGGGCUAGAGUUAGGUUUCUGGGACUAACGAGACUCAGCUCCGGAACCUCCAGAGGCAGCGGGAGUCCUACCCUCCUCUCCACGGCGGCGGCGGCGGAUACCUACGCCUACGGCGGCGCCGCCGCCGCGCGGAGCCGGAUGAGGAGGAGCGGCGGCGUGUGCUGCGGAGAGUGCGAGGCGGCGGAGAGCAGGGAGGGGGCGGAGUUCCAUGGUGCGUGAGGACGCGGUGACGAGGGGGUUCCGUUCGCUCCCUGGCCCCACGAGAGGCCCCCGAAAAGCGCGUCGAAGCUUCCGCUUAGGUGGCGUACGCGCAUUCGGAUCAGGUCGCCGCCUCAAACCCUAAUUCUCUCCCUUUUUUUUUGCUUUUUUUUUUGCACUUUUCCCCCUAAAUCAUUACUAUUAUUAUUACCACUAUUUUAAAAUCCAAGAGAGAGAGAGAGAGAGAGAGAGAGAGAGAGAGAGAGAGAGGAAGAAGAUUUUCUGUUGAGAUCAGUAUGGGGCGGGGGUUUUUGUCAUUUGUGGUAUAGGUUGGGAGACACGUGUAGGUUUAGGAUAAGCGGUCUAAUUAGCCGUCAGAGAGAGAGAGAGAGAGACUCUUCAUUUGUGGAUAUUUUGUAGUUAGUGGUGGUGGUGGCCUGGUGGGUGUAAUUUGCUGGGAUUUGGUAAAAAAAACAUGAUGUAAUAAAAUUAGGAGAGAGAGAGACGAGAAAGAAGAGGGAGAGGAGGGGUGGGGGAUUAAGUGGGUCCACAUUAACGAGUGUGUGCUGUGGCUGUUGGUUUGACUGUUCUCCCCUUUGAGAUGAAAUGAAAUGAAUUGUUCUAGAACAAAAUAUCUAAAUAUAAACAAACCAAAAAAAGAAAGAAAGAAGAGUGGUUUUGUAUUUGUUGCGACACUGUUUCUUAUGGGGCCUCAUCUGCAAUCUGGAAUGGUCUGAAUGCCCAACAUGAGCUGGUUUGAUAACCACCUGGAAAAAUAUGACCAAACAAAUGAACUGUUUGGAUAUCUUGGAUCUCUUUGUAAUUACAUUUUUAAUGUUAAAAACAUAUUAAUAUCAUUCUUUUCCACAAUAAAGAAAGAGAAUGAAUGGAAGUAAAAAAAUCGAAUAAAUUAAUAAGGAAAAAAAAGAAGAGUAUAAAUAUAAUGUGUGUUUUUGUUUAUUGUAUAAAACAGAACCAAAGCUAUUUGUUGGUAAGUAGUUUUCAACACAACAUUACCGCUAACUAAGGAGAUCCCAAUUUGGAUGUUCAGAUUUGUAUAUAUUUUAUUUAAUUGGUGCAAUAAGUGUGAAAUUGUAUGAAUAGUGUCCAACUGUAGUAAUUAGAAUAGACAGAAUCCAAAAAUUUAUAGUAGGAGUUCGGCUGUAGGCAAAUUGAGGAAGUAGCAAGUAAAUUGUAAGGAAAAAUAGAAACCUUACCGUCAUAGAUUAUGAUUUAUAAUAAAAAGAGAUAUUGUUUUUUAUAUAAAGUGACGAAUAUAUAAAAAUAUAUUUUAAACUGUACUCCAUAUUUCUUCUUAUUAAAAAAAAUUAUUAUAUCGAGUAGUCAUUUUCUAUUAGAAUCUAACCAAUAAAAGUAUAUAAUAUAAUAUGAUAUAAUUUUCAAUGACGUAAUCUUAUUAAAAAUUUAUCUUUAUUUUCAAGGAUGUUCAAGCCAAACGAUUUCAACUAACUUCUCGCACAGCUAAUAUUGUACUGGAGUUAUAUCAAUCGACAAAGUCAGCCCUAAAAAUUAAAACAACGCUCCUAGCUGGAAAACGUGGAAAUUAAAACUCAGCUGUGAGUUCAUGUUUGGUAUCAAAAUUGUUGAACAGCGUGGUGUUUGGAAAUUAAUUUAUCUACUAAACACCAUGGUAGGACUUGCUUAGUCAGAAUUAACAUUUGCUUUGAAAAAAAUAAGACUUCAAGCAAUUGCGCUUUUACACGGGCCGCGAAGUGGCAAAAAGAUUUGAUGUUGAUAAAUUGUUCAACAAAUUUCUAUAAUUUGAAAGUCUAGUUAUUUCAUGAUUUUUAACUAAAAUCUUAUUUGAUAAAGAAAUACAACGAUGGAUAAUAUGUACUUUUCUCUUAAAAAAAUUUUCACAAAUAAAAAAAGAUGGCCAUUACUAAAAGGGAAAUGAUUGUAAUUAUAUUGGUAGCUGGCAAAACAGAAAUCAGAAAUUAAAAGGCUGCUUUUCAUAGUCUGAGGAAAACAUAAAGACGAUUUUAUAAAAAAUAGAUAAUGAAAAUAAUCAGUAAAGUAUCUGUUUGUUCGGGAUCAAAGUAACAAAAAGUGCCUAUUCCAAUGGAUAAAUAUAAAUUGAGGUAUACAACUGGGAAUUAGAUCAUUUUGUGUUUGGAUGAAAAUUGGAUUAUUCUAGAAUAAAAAAAUAGCGUUUGGUUAGGUAAGAGGAAUAAAAAUGACUGGAUGGUUUUAUAAAGUAAAAAUAAUGAUAAUUACCACCUUAUUAUAUUUGAAUUUGAAUUUUUAAAUUAUAUUUUUAAAUUUAAAAUUUUAACUUUGAAUUUUAAAAUUUAAAUUAAAAUUUAAAUUAAAAUCUCAAAUUUAAAUUCAAAAUUAAAUUUUAUAUUUCAAAAUAUAAUUUAAAUCAAAAUUUAAAUUUCAAAAAAUAUCCAAAAUAGUCAAAUUUUAAAUUUUAAAAAAAUUUAAAGAUAUUAAAAUUUAAGUUAAAAUUUGAAAUUUAGAUUUAAAAAUUAUAAACUUUAUAUUUUGAGAUAACAAAUUAUAAAUUUUUAAAAAUUCACAAAUUUUAAUUUUAAAUUUUAAAUAAAGAAUAGGGCGGAAACGCCAUUAAUAAAAAUAAUUAUAUUAUAAUAAAUUUAUAAUUUUUUUUAAAAUUCUACUUAAACUUUAAGGCCAAUUUGCAUAAAAAGUCCACAUAUUUGAUUUUUUGCAAAAUCGGCGCAUUUUUUCAAUUUUUUCGCAGAUUCGUCACGGCUUUUUCAUCAGCAAACUGACCAAGAAUACCCUUAUACUUUUUCUCAUUAUCCUCUUCUCUUUCUUCUUCGUUUCUUCUCGGUUCUUUUUUUUUAUCAGCGGUAGAUGGCGGAGGAGGAGCGGAGGCAAAAACGAUCCGUCUCGCCUAUCUCACCCUCAUACCUCGCCCUCAUGCCCUUGGGGCCCAUCGUGCCAUGCACCCCCCACCUUCCUCUGCCUGUUCGACCCGUAUAGAUGCCGCGCCGGACUUUUUUUUUUUUGCUUUUCUUCUUAUUCUUUUCUUCUACCGACUCUCUCUCUCCACCGUCUCCGAGACUGCAUCCUCUGCCGUCCCUUCCCACACCUUCUCAUACUCUCCCUCUCCCUCAUUUUCAGCGCGCCUUCUCCGACGACGAUUUAUUUUCGCCGGCGCGACGUCUUGAUCACCGUAAGGUUCUAUUCUGCGCGCUUACAGCCGUCGGACGGGGGUUCCUUAGCGGCGUCCGCCACCGCGCGUUCACUCGCUCCGUAGCUGUUUUGGCAGAGAGAUUGACAAAAAAAAUUAUAUAAAAACAGAAAAAAAAUAAAGAUAAAAAAUUAUAUAAAAAAAAUGAUGGAGAUAAAUUACAUCAUUAUUACAAAAAAAAAUUAUAGAGUUUGCACCAUUGUAAGAUGUAAACUGCUGCUUCUUAGAUAAAAAUUAUACUACUUGAACGAAAUAUACAUUUUAUCUUAAACUGGCAUCCUUUAAGUGAUAUUUGAUACUUUUCUUCUCUUGUUGCAAAUGUUCUCCACUUUGUUGCACUUUUACCUCUAUUUAGACACAGAAAUGGUGCAACCAAGAAGCAGAAAACAUGCAACAAGAGGAGAAACAGUAUAAAUAUCUCUUAAAAGGGUGCAGUUUCUCUUCUUAUUGUAUUAUUUCUCCUCUUGUUGCACUAUUUCUCUUAUUGUUUACACAGAAAUGGUGCAAUAAGAGAAGAAACAGUGCAACAAGAGAAGAAACGGUAGAUAUAUCUCUUAAAACAGUGCAGUUUCUCCUCUUGUUGCACUAUUUCUCCUCUUGUUUACACAAAAAUGGUGCAACAAGAGGAGAAACAAUAUAUAUAUCUCUUAAAACAGUGCAGUUUCUUCUCUUCUUGCACUGUUUCUCCUCUUGUUGCACUAUUUCUCCUCUCAUUUACACAGAAAUGGUGCAAUAAGAGGAGAAACAGUAUAAAUAUCUCUUAAAAGGGUACAGUUUAAGAUAAAAAAUAGUAUAACCAGAGGAGAAAUGGUGCAACAAGAGGAGAAACAGUGCAACUUUUGUUUAAAAAGUGUAACUUUCAUCUUAAUGGAUGCAGUUUACAUCUAAAAGAGUGUAAUAAGAAGAGAAACAGUGUAAAUAUUUCUCAAAGAGUGUAGUUUUCAUCUUAAAGCUGCAGUUUACAUUUUAAAUAGUGCAACUUAUAAUUUUUUUUGCAGUUAACGAUACAAUUUGAUGUUCAUCCUUCUUUUUAUAUAAUUUUUUAUCUUUAUUUUUUUUUUCUGUUUUUUCUAUAAUUUUUUUUUGUCACCUUCUCUGUCAACAGCCACGGUGCCGGCGACGACAACAGCCAAAAUCCCUUGCUAUUCCAGGAUAAUCGAGAAUAGUAAAAUUUGAUCGGAAUAAAAUAUCCCGAUAAUAAAUCUUUCCGUUUGGCGGAAUAGCGGGGAUAAUUUUCAUUAUCCCCGCUUAUCCCCUGAACCAAACGUGGCCAAAGAGUAUGAAGCAGGUGGUUAUUUACAGCGAAUAAUGUUAUGAAAUUGUAAAAGAAGCAAACUAAAUUUUUUUUUGGCAUAAUGAUUACUUUUUUAUUUUUUUUUCAAGAACUAUUUGGAUACACAGAGAUAUUUGGAUACUCAAAAUAAAAUAAAAUUGUAUAGUACAUUAUAUAUUUCCUGAAAUNAGUUUCGUUUGGAAAUUAAUCUUACACUAAACAGUGGUAGGACCUGCUUAGUUCAGCUUAACAUUUGUUUUGGAAAAAAAUAGACUUCACAGUUGCCUUUUACACGGGCCGCGUAAGUGGUAAAAGAUUUGAUGGUUGAUAUUCAAAAUUCUAAAUUUGAAGUCUAGUUAUUUCAUAUUUUUAACUAAAUUUAUUUAUAAAAGAAAUAAACGAGUGGAUAAUAUCUUACUUUUCUCUUAAAAAAUUUUCAAAAUAAAAAAAAAAUGCCAUUUACUAAAGGGAAAUGAUUUGGAAUUAUAUUGGACUGCAAAAGAAAGUAGAAAUAAAAAUGUUGCUGUUUCUUGUUGAGGAAAACAUAAAACAUUUUAAAAAAUAGAUAAUUGGAAAAUAAUCAUAAAGAGUAUGAAGCAGGUGGUUAUUUACAGCGAAUAAUGUUAUGAAAUUGUAAAAGAAGCAAACUAAAUUUUUUUUUGGCAUAAUGAUUACUUUUUUAUUUUUUUUUCAAGAACUAUUUGGAUACACAGAGAUAUUUGGAUACUCAAAAUAAAAUAAAAUUGUAUAGUACAUUGUAUAUUUCCUGAAAUUUUGAAAUUUUUAGGGGAAAAUAAAAUUUCAUUUUUAUCUAUGCAAGAAAGAGAAAAUAAACCAAGGCUUUCCAACAAAAUAAAAUUAGUGUAUUUAUAAAUAGGUAACUGUCUAUUGUAACACAACUUUCGAGUUAAAAGAAUUAUUUUAUAAAUGUUUUUAUGAGUUACCGAAUACGUUCUAAAGUGUAAAAGGAAAGGGCCAAUGAUACCUUUACUAUUUCAUAAGUUUAAUAUAUUUAGUAAGUUAUUGAUAAGAUCGGCAUAUAGAUAUUGUUUCAGAUUCUAGAAAUUGUCACGAAAUUCUAUGUGACCAAAAUGUCGAUUAAAUAUAUAUAUUUUUUUUUUUUUAAGUACACGAAAUAAGGGUCUGCCUGGAUACUCCACAAAACAGAGUAAUAAUUAAUUUAAAGUGUAUCUUUUACAACUCUUGAAAUAUUGCAAGAGGCAUAUUUGGAUAAGUUUUGAAAUAGUAAAAAAAAAAAAAAGGUAAUUAACUCAAAAUAGAGUUUUAUAUAUAUAUAUAUAGAGAGAGAGAGAGAGAGAGAGAGAGAAAAAGAGAGAGUCAAGUUCAAAUAACAAAAGUGUAAUAGUUAAUAGUAUUACAUUCUUUUUGAAUCAUAGAUCUAAAUACAAUUCAUGGGUUGAGAUAAACCAAUGGCAACUUUUUUUGUUUCUAUAUUAAAAUACUUUUUUUUACUCGAUGUGACAUUAUUUUACUAGCCUUGGAUGUGACACCACUUUCUUACCUCCAUCUUUUUUUUUUUGUUUCCGAGCAUAAAAGUUUACAUAAUAUUUUUUAUCUCAUACUUAGAUAUAAGGUUUGUUACUAUAAUUAUCUACAUUAACUUAAUUUUAUGUGCACAUAAAACAUUCAUUUUUCAAAAGUGUGAAAGCAUAUAAAGAAGUUUAACAGUAAAAUAUAUUAUAAGGAUUAUUGCUAUAAUUGGU
rnacentral:lncRNA from 1 species